UUGCAGAAGGCUUUGUUCUGAGCAAAGAAAAAAAUACACCAGAGGAGGUGGCUGAGGGAAAUCUCAUGGAACUAAUUCACCGCAAUAUGCUUGAAGUUGUGGACUAUGAUGAGCUCGGAAGGGUUAGCACUUGCAAGAUGCAUGAUAUUAUGCGGGAUCUGGCACUCUCCGUUGCCAAAGAAGAAAAGUUUGGUUCUGCAAAUGAUUAUGAAGCAAUAAUACAGGUGGACCCACAUGUUCGCCGAUUGUCAUUAUGUAGGUGGAAAGUUAAUACUUCACUUAAGGUUAAAUUUCCACGUCUUAGAAGCCUUGUGGCUCAUGGAAUGAUUUCGUCCACCCCUGAUUUGUUAUCCUCAAUUUUGUCUGAAUCAAAGCACUUGACUGCUCUAGAGCUGCAAGAUUCUAAUAUCACCGAGGUGCCCACAUUUAUAGGGAAUCUCUUUAAUCUGCGGUACAUUGGGUUAAGGCGCACCAAUGUCAAGUCACUACCAGAGUCCAUUGAGAAGCUCUUCAAUCUCCACACUCUGGACAUCAAGCAAACCCAAAUAGAGAAGCUACCACGAGGUAUUGUUAAGGUUAAGAAGUUGAGGCACCUUUUGGCUGACAGGUUCGCUGACGAAAAGCAGUCAGAUUUCAGAUAUUUUAUCGGAGUCGAAUCACCUAAAGGGCUGUCAAACCUGGAAGAACUGCAGACUCUAGAGACAGUGCAAGUGAGCAAAGACUUGGCUGAGCAGCUGAAGAAACUGAUGCAGCUCAGAAGCAUAUGGAUAGACAAUGUAAGUGCUUCUGAUUGUGAAAACCUUUUUGCGACCCUAUCGACGAUGCCACUUCUUUCCAGCCUGCUUAUCUCUGCAAGAGAUGUGAAUGAGACACUUUGCCUCCAAGCCCUUGAUCCGAUUUCCACAAAGCUCCACAGGUUAAUUGUAAGGGGCCAGUGGGCUUCUGGGACACUGAAGUAUCCGAUAUUUCGCAAUCAUGGGGAACAUCUCAAAUAUUUAGCGUUAAGCUGGUGUCAGCUUGGAGAAGAUCCACUGGGUGUGCUCGCUCCACACGUGCCAAAUCUCACCUAUUUAAGUCUUAACAGGGUGAAUAGUGCAAGCACUUUGGUUCUUUCUGCUGGGUGCUUUCCUCACCUGAAGACGCUCGUCUUGAAGCGAAUGCCGGAUGUCAAGCAGAUGGAAAUCGGAGAUGGUGCUCUUCCACGUAUUGAAGGUCUUUACAUUGUGUCCCUAACACAGCUGGAUAAGGUUCCUCAAGGCAUCGAGUUGCUUCUUUCUCUGAAGAGGCUUUGGCUGCUGUACCUGCACGAUGAGUUUAAAACUCUGUGGCAAACGAGUGGGAUGCACCAGAAGAUGCAGCACGUUCCAGAGAUUCGUAUCUAGGACAACUAGAUGGUAAAUCUCCAUUGGUAUGCUUGUAUGAUGUGUCUGCUCAGAACUGUGUUUGUUGGGCACUUUAUCUCUUUUUAUUCCAAUAAGCCAUGAAUUCUUCCUUUUGAUUUUUUUUAUUGUACAUUGAAACACCCAUGUAUGUGCUGUGUGUUGGUUCAGUUGCUUUAGGAAUACUACUUUUGUUCAAGAACACUUCCCUUCUGUAUUUAACUUUUGUAAAUGAUGUUAUGGUCAACAGAUUUUGUGCAUGUGAGGUGCAUAAUAUGUGAACUUACGAACCAGCAGAAUAUUCAUAAUUUCAGGGCGUUUACUUUAUUUAUAUGCUACUAAAUUGAACAGUGCUCUUCACUUUGCCACUAACUUUUUGCUUUUCAUUUUUUAUGCUGUUAUUCCACGAUGGUGCUUCUAGAAAGUUCAAUUUCUCGUAAUUCUCAGCCAAUUUUCCAUUAGCACCCAAAAAUACUGAAAAAAAUAUUUUCUAAAACAAUAUGUGCAGGGACAACUAUCCUAAAAUUUACUUUUGUUGAAAUGUGUACGUUUCGAUCUAUAUCAGCUCUUAUGGUACAUCCUUUUUAAAGGAUUUCUACUAUAUUGUUUUUCUUCAAAGAUGAUAUAAAAAAAUUUGUUUAAAUGGUCCUGGGUUUUUUCAUGCUCUUUUUUAUAUUUCCUAUAAUAUUUCCUGCGCUUUCUGUGAUCUUUAGCACAUUCUUUUACGUAUUUUUAGAGACCAUGUAGAUGAGCUUUCGCAAUAGAAUCAAAGUUGUGAUAGCAUGUUUAUUACUUGCAUUCUAAGGAAAUAGUGCCAUGAAUAAAUGAGAUGUGCUAAUUUCAAAUGGCCAAGUUAAGAGCAUUGUUUGAGUUAAUGUUAUAAAGUAAAUGAUCUCGUAGAAAAAUAAAACAUUUGGGCCCUAAUACACAUACUUGAUAAAAAACUAGCAAAAUACCCAUGCGUUGCUACGGUAAAAGAUCAAUUGUGUUUUUUAAACUUAUGACAUUUUUUAUUUCCAUCACUAAAUUUUUAUUGCACUUAUUGGAUGUUUGCACGUUUAAUAGAAAACCAAAAGAAUUUUAAAUUAAUUAUUUCUUUCAACUCAAAUACUCAUUAAAUUAAAACUUUUUUAUUCAAGCAAGAGAGUUGCUAUAGAAAAAUAUGUAAUGAUGUUGUACCAUACAAAGCAACCAUAUUUCAUAUAUAUUCUGGCUUAGUAAACCCCGGCUUAGUAAACCCCGUUGUUGUCCGAACAUAGAGUAUAUGUGUUGGUAGAUGCGGAUCCAUUUCUAAGUGCAAGUAGCAUAGCAUACAACCAGCCUGCACCGACACGGCUCAAUAUGCGAUAAUUUUUAUUUUCAUGUAUUUUUUGUACUCUAGUAUAUAUUGGACUCCUAAUAAAUAUCAUGUUUUUUCAAGCGACAAACAGUUCUUAAAGUUUGGAAACUAAAUAGAUAGCUUGAAAUAUUUUAAAAAAAAAUAUUUACAUGUAUGUUCCUUGCAAACUAAGAAUAUUUUUUUACCGCGAUACCAAAAGGAAAGUAUGGCUACGACCAUUACCAUACGUCGCAGGGGAUGGUGGUUGCCCUAUAGAAUUUCCUUAUUUUUACUCGUAUAAUCUGAAAUGGUAGGAGAGCUUCUCAGGGAGAGGUCAAAGAAUCAAAUACCUUCAUGCAUUUUCUUUGAGUUUUUACUUGCCUAUUUAAUUUCCAGCGUCGGUUUUCCUCGUGGGCAGGUGCCGGUUUUCCCUGGUUCGCUUUUCCUCUCCUCCCUCCCUCUCUCCUCCCUCUCCUUCUCCUCCGUCGGAUCCGGCCGGCCCCCACUCCCUCUCCCCCAACUCCUCCUCCCUCUUCCCCAGCCGAGGCGGCGCGGUCGGGGCCGGGCCAGACGAAAAAAAGAGGCAGAAGAAUAUUAAGUAGAGUUGGAGCCUCCGACGCCGGCGCCCAGACGUGCGAGGACCCUAGCCUCUCCCCUUCGCAUCCUUCUCGCUCUCCCUCAACAUCCAUGCACCGACCGCCCCCACACUCACCUCCAUCCCGUCCACCAUCCACCUUUUCAACCAAAUCUCCACACUCGCCGUCUGCCUCCACCCCUCCGACGCGCAGUCCCCGUCUCGCCACCCCCACCCGCCUUAACUUUGCCACCUCCUCCGUCAUCUCGCCACUGCCCGCCUCCAACCGGGCCUCUCCCGCUCCUUCCCGUCCGGCGCGCCCGUCACCGUGGGCUGCUGCCGCACGCUCGUCAUGUUCCGGGCCAACCUCAGAUUCCAUGACCACGAGCCGUUCCACGCCGCGGUCGGGGCGUCGUCCUCCCUCCUCUCUGUCUUCGUCUUCGACCCGCGGGACUUCGGCAAGUCACCCUCGGCCUCUCCCGCACCUCCUCUCCUCCCCCCUCUCUCUCUUCCCUCUCCUUCUCCGUCGGAUCCGGCCGGCCCCCACCUCCUAUCCUCCCUCUCCUUCUCCUCCGUCGGAUUCGGCCGGCCCCCACUCCCUCUUCCCAGGUCAAGGCAGCGGCGCGGCCGAGGCGGCACGGGUGCGACCGGGGCUAGGGCCGGGGUAGGGCGGCGUGGGAGCCCUCUGACAAGUGGGACCCACAGGACGGACGAAAAAAUUUGGCAGAAGCGUUACUCGCUUUAAUAUUAGGUAGACAUAAGUUUCCUUUAGGAAACUAAAGGUUAUUACAAAUGAACUUCCUUUUUGUAGAUUUAUUCAUCAAUAAAGAUAUUAUGUAAAUCACAAUCAGUUAAGAGUUUGCAAAAACGGUUGGAAGACCUUUCCGCCGCUGCUGCCCGCUGGAAUCGAUGAAACCCAUGGUUGAAGGGCGGGAAGGCGAGGUCCUACUACUCGACCGUCCGACCCCUCCCACCAUUGAACUUUGGUUUGGAUCAGAACUCAGGUGAUCGUCCGCUUCCAUCUCCCCUGUGUAUUCCUUUUGCGUUUGUUCCAAUCAAACACUAUUAUUGAACUGAAACCAUCUCCCAAACGAACUGAACAAAUCUCCUAAGAAAUCUGUUGACGUAUCAGCAAACAACGGUGCAUUUGCAUUCCAUUACCCGUCAUUCCGUUGUGUGUAUGAAGUAAUAAUCCGUAGCAGGCCUCAAGUUUCCGAAUGUCAUAUGUUCAUUGACAUCUUGGAUAGCAUAAUUAUCAAACGAACUAUGUUCACUUUAAUACAGAUUCUAAAUGGGGGAAAACAUGUAGACAUGCAGAAAGGGUGCAUGAAAGACUCCUGGUUUACAAGAAAAUGAUACAAUACUUGCAACCUAUGAGGCUAUGACUGAAUUCAAAUACGAUGGAAAAGGUAUUGUAGCUAUAACUCAAGAGUGGAGUAAUUUAGACAAUGGAAUGAUAAGAUACUUCAAUGAUCAUUAAGGAAGGAAAUUUUAUGACUUGAGAUUGACCGCCUUGAAAUAUUCUUCACAGUAGUCUGGCAAACCAAAUUAUCUAGUAACUCUACCAACUGACGAGAAUCCUCUACUGAAUGCUUCACCUUUUGCUGCAAAUAAAAAGGGCAUCAUAAACCAUGGCGACCUAUCUUUGGGUAGAGGUACGUGGAUUAAUUUUAAAUUUUUAUUUUCACUUAUCUUUAAUUUGCAGUUAUUGCCUUGUGCUAAUUCAGGUAGCUGCAAAAAUUUACUAAUUUUAGAGUUAGUGUUAGAGUUUUAUUUGUUUCUGUAAAGGUGAGGUCGAUAUCCCUAAAGGUACAAAAACUUUAUGAUAAAUGAAUUGCACGUAUCCUAUGUGAAGUUGGGCAUAGUUGGUCACAUAAUAUUGCAAGCACUAAAUGUGUGCACUUUGCAGCCCUAUGGCUGGUUGCUAUCUGCAUGUGGCAUGCUACGAAAGUACCUCUGACAUCUGAACAGAGCAAAUUCGAGCUAAGUACCGUAAAAUAGGUACGUCGAUAGAUGUAUAUGAGAGAACUGACCCGAUUAAAUUUGCAAAAGAUAGUAUAUUAGACAUUUCUGGAGGGAAAUUGGCUGCACAUGAGAAUAAAAAGAGAAGGGAAAGAAAGCUGACCAUCAUGCUCCCACAAGGAUCAGAAUCCUUGUCAUGCAUGUAUGAAAUGACGAACUACGAAGCCACUCGGCCAUUGUUAGCAAUGGAUGAACCAGUUGAAGCGGCACAAAUCACUUGCUGUCCCAUAUUAUUGAAAGCAGAAUCUGGGGGUGUUUUCUUCCCGUGUCUUAUUUUUAGCACGUGUCACAUCGAAUGUUUAGAUACUAAUUAGGAGUAGUAAACGUAGAGUAUUUACAAAACCAAUUACAUAAGUGGAAUCUAAACGGCGAGACGAAUCUAUUAAGCCUAAUUAAGCCUAAUUAUUCCAUCAUUAGCAAAUAUUUACUGUAGCAACACAUUGUCAAAUCAUGGACUAAUUAGGCUUAAUAGAUUCGUCUCGCCGUUUAGAUUCGUCUUAUGUAAUGGGUUUUGUAAAUAGUCUACGUUUAAUACUUCUAAUUAGUAUCUAAACAUUUGAUGUGACGGGUGCUAAAGUUUAGCAAGUGGAAGAAAAUAGGCCCUCUGUUUCGUCAUGUGGCAUUUGGGUGUGAGUCUCCUGUACCUGUUCCUCUGACAAAACAGAACAAUCUACAAUCUCAUUCUCAGUUUUCCCUGGUACAGUGGAAUCUCCUCCAUGAUCUACCUUAGGUGGUAUAGCCCUUUUGAGGACAACUAUUGGCCUGUUGGGAUGUUCCUUAGCUGCCCUCACCCAGUUUGCUUUAGUACCAUCAGUGACUCUACAAUCAAGCAUUACUUCGCUCAGUCGUGUGAAACCUUUGAUCUGGAUUCCACAGAGGCCAUUCAUAUCUUUACAGAGCAGCUGAAGAGAUUUAAGAAAUGGCAAAGCACCUUCUUCGACCUUUGGAAAUGUUGGACGCUGCAGCACAAAACAUAGGCCGAGCUCUAGGGAUCAAAACUACUAUACUUUUCUAAAGAUGCAGUAGUAAGGUGGAAUAGUGCAGUGUGGAAGGGGGAGGAGAGCAGGAUUUGUGGAGCUUAGUUGCAACUGUGAACUCCUAACUGCGAUUCAAUGAUUGCUUCAAAGCAUGAUGUAAAUUUCUUCAAGCCAACGUCAAAUAUUGAAGAACUGGGGUUGUAUUACAAGAUCUUUAAAUAAAAUCUAUGGUGAACUAAUCAAGUGAAAAAAAUUUCUUCAAUUUCUUUUGUGGAAAAAAAUCAGCGCAUUAUUAUUUCCUCGGAAAGAUGCAUAGCUAUAGAAAAUGACAGAGAUUUCUUGCCAAAUAAAAACUCUGAUGACCAAAUAGUAAGCUUGAAGAUCUGGAUGUAGAUGAACAGCACCGGGCACACCGCACACAGGCAUAAGACUUUAGAAGAGAGUAGUACACCUUACUACCUCAGAGCUUUUCCAGAAUUAGACUAGGAGUGUUUGAAUCCAUGGACUAAUUUUUAGUUUAGGUCACCUUGGAUGUUUGGAUACCAAUUAAAAAGACUAAAUGUGAACUUAUUAUAAAACUAAUUGCAUAAGCCGUUGGUAAUUCGCGAGAUGAAUCCAUUAAGCCUAAUUAAUCUAUGAUUAGCAUUAUAUUUACUGUAGCAUCGCAUGGUCAAAUCAUGGACUAAUUAGACUAAACAGAUUCAUCUUACAAAUUAAUCUUUAUUUAUGCAAUUGGUUUUGUAAAAAACCUAUAUUUAAUACUUCUAAUUAGUAUCUACGUAUUCGAUAUGUAUUCGAUGUGAUUGUUCGAUGUGACACAGGGACUAAACAGUUUGUGCGGCCGGCUGCUGCUCGAGCUCGCUGGUGGGGAAAGACUUUGACCCGGACUUGGGAGAGAUGCACUAUUUGUUUUCUUUUCUUAAUUUUUCAACGAAAGACAACAAGACCCCUGUCUUCUUUCUCUUUCCUAUUUGUAGUCUGAACACAAGAAAACAAAUUAAAGCGCAGUGUUUGGCAUAAAUUUUGUACGCGCAUCAGACUUCAGCAAUACCUGUCAAAGCUCGCUGGCACCAACCGCCUCCCUCGCCUCUGUCGUCACAAUUUUUUGUCAAAGCUUGCUGGCACCAACGAGCCCCGGACCAGCACUGGUGUCUGAUUGCCUCCAGGCAGUUAAAUACAUUCAGAGUCCAUUCCUGGAGGCUCCAUGGAAGCUUCGUCCUUGGAUUUCUCAAUGCCAGCAACACGGUCUUGAUGUGGAUUUGCAGGUUACAAAAAUUUCGAGGGUUCAAAACCAGGCAGCCCAUCUUCUUGCUGUCAAAUAGCUAGGACUUCAUCUUCUUAUACACAGCUCAAUCCUGUUUGUACAAAACCAAGACAUGAUCCUGCUUGUGCUGUUCUCUCAGCACUUCUUUCUGUACAAUUGGGUCACCUAACCCUCACCCAUGUACACUGCUUUUAGCUCUUGAAUGAAGUUCUUUUUCAAAAAAAAAAAAAACGAGCCCUCUUUACCAGCCACAACUCCUCUACGGGCUCCACUAGCUCCUCGGCCACCACCAGAUCCAUCAACAGCAUCUGACGGCCAUAGUGGCUCGAAUUUAUCAUGCCAAGCAUAACUCGCCCAAUUCAUGCCAAAGAGGCUGGCUCACCAAGUGGAAACCUCAUUACUGGAAAAAAUAAAAGAAAUUGAGGUGCGACCGUGGGAGGGGUUUUCUGUCUUUUAGCAAGCUACCAUUUUCAUUAUCUCUUCUCACUACGGGAAACACUUAAUUUGCCAAGUGCCACAGGCACUCGGCGAAGACCCAAAAAUACUCGGUAAAGGCUUUGCCGAGUGUUACACUCGGCAUAUAGCACACGACAAAUAUUGCGUCGGCAAACACGACUUUGCCGAGUGUCAAAACUCGCGCACUCGGCAAACACUUUGCCGAAGGCCAAAAAAACACUCGGCGAAAAGACACACUCGGCGAAAUUGGCUUUGACGACGUCAGGCUAACGACAGCUUUGCCAAAUGCCAUACGGCAGGCACUCGGCAAACAAGCCCUAUUUGUCGAGUGCCAACACAUGGCAAACAAGCCCUGUUUGUUGAGUGCCAACACACGGGAAAGACGGGAUGUUUGCCGAGUGCCAACACACGGCAAACAGGGCUUGUUUGCCGAGUGCCGGGGCCCUGACACUCGGCAAAGAACGGAAAAAAGGGGGGUNNNNNNNNNNNNNNNNNNNNNNNNNNNNNNNNNNNNNNNNNNNNNNNNNNNNNNNNNNNNNNNNNNNNNNNNNNNNNNNNNNNNNNNNNNNNNNNNNNNNCAAGGUUCCCAUUGUUGUUUUCAUCCUUAUUAGUUAGGAUUUGUUAGUGAGUGAUGGUGCGCAACGCAAGACGUAAAUCUUGGACCCUUAUCCCUCUGAACAUGUAACAGAGUCCGCCGACUGGGGACCUCUAUAGUUUAUUUUUUAUUCAUCUAUGCGGCAGAGACUAUGUCUUCUUACUCAUCUAAAUCUAAGUCCAUCGUAGAGCGGACGUGAGUGAUUUCGUAGUCUUCACAGUGAUAUUUCAAAACACCCGGUGUACAUAUGGCCAGUAUAAUCUGGAUCGCGACGAUCUACGAGCUGGUGUCCCUUGUCCCUGACCCCAGACAGUGAGUGAUAGCCUUCUCUCGGAAACGUUCAUAACCAGGAAUCAGUAGUUUGUAGUAAUGCUGCCCCUUGGCCUUAGGCAGAGGCCCAUCUUUUGCAAAAGGCGCCUGUUUGCCGAGUGUAACACUCGGCAAAGUGGUCUGUAUCCCCCUUUUUUCCCGUUUUGUCACGUAUAACGGACCCCUCUCAAUUCACAAUACACAUCAUCACAAGUAUUUGUAAUGAACAAUCACAUGCAUAAUUCACAACCACCAUUAGAAACAUUAUUCAUAAACAUCACAGGCAUAAUCCAACAUAAGCACGAAACAAUCCGUAAAUCCAAGUUUAAGUCACAAUUUAGUUUCAACAAAGUUCACAACCAAGUAUAGUUCCGUGGAGGUCAAGGAGACCACUGCGACAAAUCUUGAUCUUCAUUAUUCGAAGCCGCCGAUUGAUUCUGCACAUAGGAUAGGACAUUCUGAGCUAACAUCUAAAGUUGUCAAAAUUAAAGUAUUGAAUCUUAAGCACAAUGUGUCAAGUGACUCACAGGAGUAGUUGUGGGUGGCUGAGGCGGAGGGAACAGCAUCGGCGGUGGCGGAGGCAAAGACUGAUCCAUGCUCGAAGCAAAAUUCUGCAUGUACGGGAACAUCUGGUCCAUCCUCAUCCGAUUUUCUUCCUCUAUCCUCCACCGCAUGUCCUCCAUCUGCGCCGCCAUCUCCUCUUGUUUCUUCCUUGCUUCUUCCACCUGGGCCUACAAUAUUUCAUUGCAAUGUUAUAAUGCAAAGCUAAAGUAUAACAACAAACGAACGAUGAAUGGAAGAGAAAGAACCUGGAGAGCCUCCAUCUGGAACUGUGCAGUGGUGGGUCGUGGCCGUAUCGCCGAGCUCGAGUCCGUGCUCCUAGCUCGGAUCUGGGAGAGAGUGGGAGUAGAGGCCGUGUCGAUUACGCCGUCGCCAAUCCAAUAUCGGCCAUGCUUCUUGCCUCCUCCCACCCUCAUCACAAUUUCUCCAUCAAUGUCCUCGGAGCUCGGAUCGAAGUCUGGCCCGUGAACCUCCCUAGCCAUCGCUGUAUACUCGGUGACACGACUGUGUAUGCUAGGAUGGCUGUACGCCUCGGAUGGGUUGUCUGGGUUGAAAUCGAUAUCGGCCGUCGCCUUGCCCUUUUUGGAGAGGACCCAUGCCUUGAGCUGGGAGCAAGGUCGGCCAUCAUGUGAUGCCGAUCGCGGAAAAAAAAUACAAUAUGAUUAGGAAUUUAUAGAAUUGAACGUUACAAUAAAGAAUUGAAGUUGCGUACCCAUUUUUCUCUAUAUUCAUCAAGGCUUAGGCUGCCUUAAUGGUGUGGUGCAGUCGGCAUCUGCAAACGCCGCUGUCGGCAAGCAAGGUGGUUCUCCAACCACCCGGGCUCCAACCACACGUCGACCAUCUUCUCCCAGCGCUGGAUAUGCGCACGACACCACCACGGAGGCACCUACAUCAUCAAACGUGUGACAUAUGAAAAAAGAAAUUGAGCCUAAUUAAUCUUAAAUAGUAAGUAUCAACGUUCUUUACUUACCCUCAUGAAUUGGUCCUUGGUUAGGUUCAUUGUCCUUGCCUCCUCUUUUCUAACCUUCAUCCGUCUGCAUUAAGCCGGGGGCUGGCCGGGGGCCGACCGGGGGCGGCCGGAGGCCGGCCGGUCGGGGGUCGGGGCCGGCUAGGGGCGGCGCGGGGCAGCCGGGGGCGGCGCGUCGGGCGGCCGGGGGGCCAGCGCGGGGGGCGGCGGGCUUGCGGCGGGUGGCACGGGGCGGGCGGCACGGGUCUGGCGAGCGGCACGGGGCGGGCGGCGCGUGCGGUGCGUGUGCGUGGGCCUGUGCAUGUGCGGGUGUGUGCGCGUGCGUGACUUAGGGCUGGCUUAAUGUCCAGUCUUUGUCUAGUGCCCCUGAUCUAGCACUCGGCAAAGGCAUUUUUUAAUAUUUUCGAAGUUUUCAGCCUUUGCCGAGUGCUAGAUCAGGGGCACUCGGCAAAGGAUUUUUUUCCCUGAAUUUUGGACUAACACUGACAUGUGGACCCGCGGCGAGCUUUGACGAGUGUCCGAGGGAUGACACUAGGCAAACAUAUUCUUUGCCGAGUGCCUUAUUGCGACCCUCGGCAAAUCAAUACUUAUAUUGCAUGUGCAAAGUAGUUUUAGUAAUUAAAAGUAUGUAAACUUUGCAAAAACCUAGUCAAAUUCACUAAACAUUGCGUAUUUUAUUUUUUUAAGUAAUAUUAUUCCAUGAUUUCAUGGAUUUAUAGCUCAUAUUGAAUUUAUAUCUAUUAAAUUCAUAUACUUGCAAUUAAUAAAUAAAAAUUAUCAAACAGAUCUGAAAAAUUCCUAAAAUUUGACAUGAACCAAUCUAUGUUCUCUAUGGCUUAUAAAAAUAAAUUUGAACUCAAUGAAAAAUUCAAGUAUCGAUUCGACUCAAAAUCUUACCAGAUCCUUCCAACUUCUACGAAUCCUCUCCGAAGAUGCUUCGAAUUCUAAGCAUCAUAUGUCAAAAAUUUUACGAAACCUUCUCAAUUUUUUACCACAGCCUCUGCAUAUGAAAUCAUAGCAUAUUGGAAAAUCUUGUGAUUUUCAAACUUCGUUUGUAUUUUUGAGAAUUAAAAAAUCAUUCGGCCACACGUUCGUAGUCGUGUUUCCUUAACAAAAUGUUCGAAAUUUCUUUUCAUUUUCCGGAUGAGACCUCAAUUUGGACUCACUAACAUGAAUACGAUUUUUCCACUCAUAUUAUUCCAUUAUUCCAAUCACCUGCAGUUCAAAUUUGACUUAAAUUAAUAAAUUUUAAAUAAAAUUAAUUCAUUAAAUAUAGCAAACAGGUCAAUAAAUAGUCCACCUUCUACCAUGCAGUGCCAAAUAUCAUACAUGGAGAGUAUAAAAAGUUUGGAGGGUGGAGGAGGGAAAAAAUGUUUUAGUUUUGCCGAGUGUGUCAAAAAACACUCGGCAAACCUUCAUGUUUGCCGAGUGUCCCAUCAAAACACUCAGCAAACAUGAAGGUUUGCCGAGUGUCGCACCUAACACUCGGCAAACCCUGAGCUUUGCCGAGUGUCCCCCGUCGACACUCGGCAAACAGCUAACGCCCGUCACACCCCCUACUGAACGCCGCACGUGCUGGUCACGUGCUUAAGGGUUUGCCGAGUGUAUUUUAUUUGCCGAGUGUCCCCCGUGAGUUUGCCAAGUAUUUUUUUUGGCAAUCGACAAAUCAUAUUUUCGCCGAGUGUAAUAUGUUUGCCGAGUGUUGUCAGGGAUACACUCGGCAAACGCGACCUUCGCUGAGUGCCCGCAAUAAUGCACUCGACGAACAAAUUACACUCGACAACUUUAGUGUUUCCCGUAGUGUCUACAUUUAUUUUAAUUGGGCAACGUAAAACAAUGCCUCACGUCGGUAGGGAAUGGCCAAGGUUUGGUUUCUUUCUUCUGUGGGUCUACCAGUCUAGUCUUGCUUGUCUUUUUGUUACGUACAUAAUUAUAAUAUUUUAUUUGGUAGCCAUUAUUGGAGUUUGGCCUAGUCACGAGAUGGCAUAGUCCAAAUAAUCAGACAGAACUUUGUCGACCGCAGAACUCUGUAAGCAGAGCCACUUUAGUUUCUAAUUCCCUAGUUUUCCUUUCCUCUCAGAGAUAUUUUUCAACGAGUCCUCCCUCAGAUUUGCAUCUGUGGUGUCAAUCCAAGGCUACAUAUAUAAUAAGGAACGAAGAAUAGAUUAAAGGGGUGUUUGGGAACACCGUGCUAAACUUUAGCACCCGUCACAUCGGAUGUUUGGAUACUAAUUAGGAGUAUUAAACAUAGUUUAAUUACAAAACUAAUUGCACAGAUGCAGUCUAAUUCGCGAGACGAAUCUAUUAAGUCUAAUUAGUCCAUGAUUUGACAAUGUGGUGCUACAGUAACCAUUUGCUAAUGAUGGAUUAAUUAGCCUUAAUAGAUUUGUCUCGCGAAUUAGACUCCAUCUGUGCAAUUAGUUUUGUAAUUAGCUCAUGUUUAGUCUUUCUAAUUAGCAUCCGAAUAUCUGAUAUGACCCUACUAAAGUUUAGCACCUCAUAUCCAAACACCCCCUUAAUAAUAAAAAAAGGAAUGGAAUAAAGUGGCAAGGAGCAUUAAGGAACGGCUGGUUCACUGCAUUAUUGAGUUGCAUCUCACUGCAGCCCUCCUCACACUGGUACGGUGAGCUCCGGCUGCAGCUGCAAGACGACUAGCAGGUGCGUACUUGCUUCUCUGAAUUCCCGCUUUGAAAGACAAGGCUCAACUCUGAAUUCCUUUCUCUGGGUAUAUAUAUGAUCCUCCACAACUGCUUCAGUUUAUUUCUUUUUUGUGAACGUCCUGUAAGGCUGUGAGAUCUAUCAAAUCGGUUUGGCAACUUUCAUCGCAGAGAGAUCUGCUUCUACUGCCAUGGCAUCCCCAACAUCCAGUAUGGUUUCAUCACAAAACUCUACUACUUUUGCAUCUAUUGGUAACUGGUUUCGUGUUUCUUUCUAAUUUCGUUCUUUUUGUUUUCAAAAGAUUGAUUUGAUAGGAUGUGGUAGGAAACGAAGAGAAGGUUUUCUUGGUAGUACCUGUACAAGGCUGCUAGUCUUGAUGUAGAAGAAUAACGCCAUGAAGAGUUGGACAGAUGACCAUCCAAGGAAGCUACAAUACUCAUUAGUUAAAGAGAUUACAAAUAAUUUUACAGAUGAACUUGGACGCGGUGCAUUUGGACGUGUGUUUAAGGUACCCCUAUUAAAUUAAAAAUCUCCUUUGUAAUGUUUGUUGUAAAACAUAUGAUGUUUUGUAAAUUUAUUUACAUUCAUAAUCUGUGACCUCCUUCUAUCUCUUACAGUGAUUGUGGGUAAACCUUUACACUAAAUAUCUUUUCUUGCCAACCUAACGUUUGAACCAGGGUCAUGGGAUAAUUAUGUUAAAAGUGUAGUUUAUAAUCCAAAGCUCUAUUUGUUGCAUAGGUGUCCUUUGAGCCAUGGGAUUUAAUUUGAAAGAAUGUCUCCAGAAAAACAUAUGUGGAAAAUAUAUCAAAGAUGUUUUCUGUUUCUAGACCUUAUCAUUAGCAGUUUUAAAUAAAAGAACAAUUUGCGUUGAGCUCAUAUCACAGAAAGUAUUACAAAAUAUAUCGCAAAUGGUUUUAUGUCUAAACCUUGCCACAGAUACUAGUUUUGAAAGCAAAACAGUCAUUGGUGGCCUUGAGACUAUCUGUAGUAGUGAAUGUUGGAUGAUAUUGUUGUUUAUUGUCUUAACAUCGGUUAUAUGAGGAUGUGUACAAAAGGAACAGAGCUAAUCAUAUUCAUUUUCAUUUUUAAUUCUCUGUUACUAUAUAUCAGCAUAGAAAAAACAAAAUUAUUACGUGUAAUUAAAGAAGGUGUUUAAUAGGGGCUGCUUGAUGAUGGAGAAGAGGUUGCUGUGAAGGUGCUUCGUUAUUUCACGCCUGAGAUCAGUGACCAGCAGUUCCAAAAUGAAUUUGGAAACCUUAAGAAGCUCAAGCAUCCUAAUAUUGUACGAUUGUUGGGGUUCUGCGAUGAAACUGAGGAAGAAAUUAUUGAGCACAAAGGAAAAUUAGUAGUUUGUUAUAGGAUACACAGGGCACUGUGUCUUGAGUAUGUGCCCAAUGGAAACCUUCGCAAGUUUCUUUCAGGUAAGGUGCUCAUGUGUUAUUGGGUAAUAUUAUUUCGGACAUGUGAAUAAAAAUAUUCUUUGCAUUAUGUAUAUUGAGAAUAUUAUGUUUGUUCUUGUAGGUGGAUGUCUUAGCAAGAAUUGGCCCAUACGCUACAAAAUAAUUAAGGGAAUCUGCGAGGGUCUACAGUACCUUCACAAGAUUCCCAUUUUCCAUUUUGACUUAAAACCUGAUAAUAUACUGCUAGAUGAGAAGAUGUUGCCAAAAAUCACCGAUUUUGGUUUAUCUAGGCUCAUUGGUGAAGGGAACACCAAAAAGACAAUGACGCCUCUAGGGACAGUGUAAGAUUAUUGUCUCAUGUGAACUUUUGGUCUGCUAAAUUGUAGUUAUUCCUUAGUCUCACUUUGCUAUGUCAUUUAUGUUCUGCUGCAGUGGAUACUUGCCUCCAGAGUUCAUUGACAAUCAAAUAAUCUCCAGGGAAUAUGACAUAUAUAGUUUAGGUGUUAUAAUUAUGCAGAUAAUCACUGGUGUUACAAGCUUCUCUGAUUUUGCUGACAUGGAGCCCCAAGAAUUUAUUGAACAUGUAAGAAUAAUUUAAUUAAUCUUAAUUUAUAAGCCUCUUAGAUACUAGCUAGAACAUGUAAGAAUAAUUUAAAUAAUCUUGAGCGGGUUACGUAUAAUGGAUCGAUUGAUUGUUAUUGCAUUGAGCCUCUUGGCUGGUACAUAUUAAGUACAAGAUUUGGAGGGCAAGACUCCUCUGGAUACAUGUGGCAGUCUACGACACGUAUAUCUACAACUACCAAAUAUACUCGUUUUGGAGAUUCUUAUUGUAUAUAAAGUUGGCAGCACGCCAUGUUGAUAGUCCUGUUGGAACAAUAUCCAUGAAUUUAUCACCAUUUAAUAGCAGAUGCAUGCAAGUAGAGUGUCACUCCAUCAGCUUUCAACCACUUUAGAUUCAAGGGAGAUCUUUCUGUAAAUCACACUGUGGACUCUACAUGUUGUGGUUAUUAUUUCACUCAUCACAUUUGGUCAGAACUCUAAAGUUCAUUAUAGUGCAACGAGCCUAAACGUGACAGUUCAUAUCGAUUUACUGUUACAAUCAAUUCCGAUAUUCAAAACAAAACAACAUGUAUUUGCAAUAGGGCGGAGUACUAAAUUCCAUAAUAUUAACCGCCCUUGUACUUGUUUUACUCCGUGUUUUAACUUCAAAGGUACAUGACAACUGGAAAAGAAGUCUAGAAGAGAUCCCAGAGUAUGCGUCACUUGAAGCGGAUUGCAAACAAGUGAAAAGAUGUAUGGAAAUUGCAAUAAACUGCAGGAAGAAGAAGCGUCAUGAAAGGCCUACAAUAGAGGAUAUUGUCAGCAAAUUAGAUGAGAUGGAAAGCAAAUUAGAUGAGAUGGAAACUGUUAAAAUUGACACGCAGUUGUCAAUUAAAAAGGUACAACCUAUCAUUCAUCUUAUGUAUGUAAAAAAUAUAGAACCCAUAGUUUAUUUGUCCCUAAAUAUUACCAGUGGUCGAAAAUACUUGGCUCUUUAUACGUCCACGUGGCAACUUUCACUAUGUUUGUUUUUAAAUAUUUAAGUUGGAAACAGGGAAAAUAAAUUGCUUGAUUUGUGUCGGAAAGAUGCAUAUAUCGGAUAUAAAAGUGAGCAAAAUACUCAUAUGACUCUCAGUAUAUUAAUGUCUCUCUUUCUUGCCACUGUUAAUUUUAUGUAUGCUGUAAUUCUAACUAGAGGUGUGCGCGCGCGUUAGGACUGCAGUUUAAUUUCCCAACCAAACAGCACCUUAGUUCUCUGAUAUAAAAUAAGUCUACAACAGAUCCCAGAGUAUGCCAUCAUGUGAAUUCAUACCGACACAAGUCGAUGAGAUAAACGAGAGGCCGACGUCUCUCGAAUUAGCCACCGUCUCCUAGGAGAAGGAAUGAACCAUGACGAAACAUGAUUAGUCUGUGCAAAAUCACUAACAAUGUGCCAAAACUAAAUUAAUUAGCUUUAGGAUCCGUGCUAUUUUUUCAAAGGAGCACCGGAGCAAAAUCCACAAUGUAAUUUUUACUUCAUUUCGUAGGAUGAGCAAACACCAUUUUCCUAAGAUUUCCCAUUUGUUUUUAUUGACAGGGUUACUUUGAAGAAUCUAGUGGCAUCCUGGGCAGGCCAUGUCAAUGUUAGUAAUGUUACAUUUAAAAUAGAUCCCUUCAUUUACUAAAUAUUUUAUUUAUUUUUAUUGAAGUUUGAUAUUGAUAUAAUGUAGCAUGCUGUGUGUUGGUGUAAUUGUGUUGUUCAGUACAAUCGGCUGGAGCGGUACUCCUUGCUGUCACGAAGAUUGGUUCCAUUUUAGGAGAUGAAACCUCCAAGGCUGUUAUAUAUAAGCUGUCUGGAAAAGUUCAUUCUCUGAAGGAGCUGCCAUGGAAAGUCGAUCAAAUAAGGAAGAAACUGACAUUCAUGAGCCAAAUUAUACAGCAGAUUGGAACAGUUUACCUCACAGAUGAGCUUGUCAAUAAUUGGAUCGGGGAGGUCCGGAAGGUGGCUUACCGUGUUGAAGAUGUAGUAGACAAAUACUCAUACCAUGUUUUUCAACUGAUGCAAGAAGGGUUCCUGAAGAAGUUCUUCAUCAAGGGAACCCAUUAUUCCAUUGUUUUCAGCGCAAUUACAGAUGAGAUAGCUGAUAUAGAAGAGGAGAUUAACCAAGUUAUUCAUAUGAAGGAUAAUUGGUUACACGAAACACAGCUUGUCUCUAACCAACAACAACUUGCUGAGAUUGAAAGACAUCGCUCGGAAGAACAAAUGGCAAAAGCUGUACUCCUUGUUGUUAUUCACGAUGAUCUUGUGGGAAUUGAAGAAAACAGGAGACUGCUGACUGGAUGGUUGAACUCAGACGAGCAAAUUACCAGAUUAAUAACAGUAUCUGGUAUGGGUGGAUUGGGGAAAACCACCCUUGUCACAAAUGUGUACGAGCGGGAGAAGAACAAUUUCACCACUCAUGCUUGGAUCGUUGUAUCUCAGAAUUAUGAUGUGGUUAAAUUGCUGAGGAAACUGCUGAGGAAGAUUGGGGAGCCAGAACAGUCACAGCUAGUGGAUUUGGAUGCCCGUGACUUGAAAGCAAAAGUAAAGGAAAGACUAGCUGGUAGGAAGUGCUUGAUUGUACUGGAUGAUGUAUGGAAUCAAGAAGCAUACACUCAGAUAAGGGAUGCAUUCCAGAACCUCCAAGCAAGUUGUGUUAUCAUCACGACGCGACAGGAACAGGUCGCAGUCCUUGCUCACCCCACUCGUCAACUCAAACUCAAGCCAUUGGAUCACGGUGAUGCACACGUGCUGUUUUGCAGAAAGGCUUUCUAUAACACCAUAAAUUGCAGCUGCCCCGAUGAACUUGAGAAGCUGGCCAACAAUAUAGUGGAUAGGUGUCAAGGACUUCCACUUGCAAUCGUAACCAUGGGUGGCCUGCUGUCUGCACUGCCACCAAUUAAACAAGUUUGGAACGAAACAUACAAGCAAUUUCAGGAUGAGCUGACGAACAAUGAUCAUGUUCGUGCAAUUCUAAAUCUGAGCUACCACGACUUACCUGGAAAUCUUAGAAACUGCUUCCUUUAUUGUAGCUUGUACCCUGAGGAUCACCUAAUGUCACGAGAGAGCCUUGUUUGGCUAUGGGUUGCAGAAGGUUUUGCGCUUCAAAAUGAACAAAGCACACCAGAGGAGGUGGCCGACAGAUACCUACGGGAACUGAUCCAAAGGAAUAUGCUGGAAGCUGUUGAGAACGAUGAGCUAGGAAGGGUCCGCACCUGUAAGAUGCAUGACCUUGUACGUGACCUGGCACUUUCUGUUGCUAAAGAGGAGAAGUUUGGUUUUGCGUAUGAUUUUGGCACAUUGGUGAAGAUGGACAAGGGUGUUCGUCGCCUGUCUUCCUGUGGAUGGCAGGACAAAACUUCACUGAAAGUUAAAAUUCAACUGCCACGCCUUCGAACCGCAGUUGCACUCGGAAUAAUUGGAUCCUCCCCUCAGUUGUUAUCUUCAGUUCUUUCUGAAUCCACGUACCUGACAGUUCUCGAGUUGCAAGAUUCUGAAAUAAGUGAAGUGCCAGCAUCCAUAGGAAAUAUGUUUAAUCUACGCUACAUUGGUCUGCGUCGCACAAGAGUUAAAUCACUCCCAGAAUCGAUUGGAAAGCUCUCCAACCUCCAAACACUGGACAUAAAGGCAACAAAAAUAGAGAAGCUACCAAGAGGUGUUGUUAAAAUCAAGAAGUUACGGCACCUUCUGGCAGACAGAUUUGCAGAUGAGAAGCAGUCAGAGUUCCGAUACUUCAUUGGAGUGCAAGCACCAAAAGAGCUAUCCAACUUGGAAGAACUUCAGACUCUAGAAACUUUGGAAGCCAACAAGGACCUGGCUGAGCAGCUGAUAAAACUUACGAAACUAAGGAGUGUGUGGAUUGACAACAUAAGUGCAGCGGAUUGCGCAAACCUUUUCUCUAUACUGUCAAAGAUGCCUCUUCUUUCCAGCUUGCUUCUCUCUACAAGUGAUGAGAACGAGACACUUCAUUUGGAAAAUCUGAAGCCAGCAUCUGAAAACUUCCACAGAUUGAUAAUCAGAGGGUGCUGGGCAGAUAAGACACUUGAGUGCCCUGUAUUCCGUGACAGUGGCAGAAAUCUCAAAUAUCUAGCUAUUAGCUGGUGCCACCUUCAGGAAGAUCCACUGCAGCUGCUUGCACCUUACGUGCCGAAUCUCACCUAUCUUAGUCUUAACAGGGUGAGUACUGCAGACACCUUAGUUCUUUCUAAAGGGUGCUUCCCACAGCUGAAGACGCUUGUCUUGAAGCGCAUGCCCAAUGUUGACAAGGUGGAGAUCAGAGUCGGUGCCCUUCAACAGAUCGAGGGUUUAUAUGUUUUGUCACUUCUAAAGCUCGACAAGGUCCCCCAAGGUAUUGAAUCCCUUCGUUCUCUUAAGAAACUGUGGCUGCUGAGUUUGCACAAGGACUUCAGAGGUCAUUGGGAUAGCAAAAAGAUGCAGCAGAAGAUGCAGUAUGUUCAAGAGCUCCGCAUCUGAAGUGGCACACGUGUACCACAGGAGUAGAAAUGCACUUCACAUCUGCUCGCAGCAACGUCAGGCGUUUAAUCCUUUCCAAAUAACUAAAUAAGUCAUCAGAUCUUUGACAUUGUUGAUGCAACUACAAUUGCAGUUAUGCCAUGCUUUAGCAUUUUCCUUUUUAAUGGACCCUGACUUUAUCUGCGAUCAGGGCGUGCCCAGCCUCAUCGCAGCUGUGGUAUAUUUUUCCCCAUUGAUUCAGAUUUUGAUUCCCAUCCGAGGACUUGGACCUUCGACCCUCGACUUCUCGAGAGGCCUCGCUGUGGCAGCUGCCGCCGGCACCGCGCCGAAGAAGCAGGAAGCCAUUCCGCCACGAACUACGAGAAAGGGAGAAGGCCUGCCUGCAGACGGCGCUAGUCUUGGAGGCCCAGUUCAGCUGGGCAAAGGCCACGGAUUGCCCACCCCAUGCAUCCUUUCAGAAAACGCGGACCCGGUCUGCGCCACUGAAUUGUUAGCCCGUUGGGCUGGCAGCUUGGGAUCAAAGCAGCCAGUGAGUGAGCGCGGAAUUCCUAUCCACAGACUAAGAUUUGUUUAAGAUUUGUUCGGAGUACAAUCAACUAAUGAGAUUAAGGGGUUGUUUGGAUACCCCGUGUUAAGUUUAGCACAUGUCACAUCGGAUGUUUGGAUAUUAAUUAGAAGUAUUAAAUAUAGACUAAUUAUAAAACUAAUUGCACAGAUGGAGUCUAAUUCGCGAGACAAAUCUGUUAAGCCUAAUUAGUCCAUGAUUUGAUAAUGUGGUGCUACAGUAACUAUUUGCUAAUGAUGGAUUAAUUAGGCUUAAUAGAUUUGUCUCACGAAUUAGCAUAGGGUUCUGCAAUUAGUUUUAUAAUUAGCUCAUGUUUAGUCCUAAUUAGCAUCCGAACAUCCGAUGUGACACUGCUAAAGUUUAGCACCUUGUAUCUGUCGGUGUUUUAGACUGGCAACCCACCUAGGGGGUACCCUAGGUGGUCUUUUGUGCGGUAAGGGUCGUCGAGAAUCAAGGAAUUAAUGGUGACACAAGGAACACGAUUUAGACAGGUUCGGGCCGCUAGAUCGCGUAAUACCCUACGUCCUGUGUGUUGGUUUGUAUUGAUGAACUGGAGUUGUUGUUGAGGGGAGUCCCUGCCCACCCUUAUAUACACGGGAGGGCAGGGUUACAAGUCUGAGUCCUAGUUGAGUACUAUUACAGAGUUUUACUCGGUAAGGCCCGUGUAGUUUUCCAUAUACAUACUUGACUAGUUUGAAUGGGAUACGCCUAUCCCUUGUCCUGAUCAUGUCCGAGUACGCCCCUGAGUGGGCCGUCCAAGGUCUACUCGUGGGCCUGGGGUGCAUGCCCGACAAGCCCCCUAGUACUUUGUAGUCGUGCGCCACAGUCUUAGGCACUGCGGGCACUAUCCGAGUAGCUGGUCGUAGAGGUUGCAGACUGAAGUACUCGAGUACUGUCGCGUGGCUGGAAUGUACUCUUUUUGUUCUUUCAAGUUGUCUCUGUUCCGAGAAAUUUUAUAUGGUAGUGCGAUGUCAAUCCCACUUCAUAUGGAGUAGCCCCCGAGCCUUAGGUUGAGUCGAAGAGUCAGGCUUAGGGUCAAACCAGCUUUUUUGUCUGUUUUACCCUUGGAAGUCUUUGAAAAAUAGAAAACUGACCAACGGGUACGGUACCCGCAGCCCCCGAGCACUUAGGCGAUCUCUGUCGUUGAAGUGGUCAGCAGUCCGUUGAAAAGAGUAGCCGUUGAGUGUUUAAGGUGAUUAAUCUGCCAUUAAUCUGUUAGAAUCCGUCCGUUGCGUAACCGACGCGUGGAAACCGGAGCUGACGGAGAUAAAACUGGAAAGCCCCCUUUCGGUUGGUUUUACGCCGCACGGCAAUCUUCUUUGGAAGUUUAACUCGAUACACUAUGGGUCCACAAACUUCUACAAUCUCAUAGGGACCAAUAUAGCGCGGAGCCAACUUUCCUUUUACUCCAAAAUGUUGUACGCCUUUGGUCGGUGAAACCCGCAGGUAUACAAAAUCCCCAACCUCAAAUUGGAUAGGUCUUCUUCUUUGAUCGGAAUAGCUCUUUUGUCGAGAUUGGGCGGCCUUGAGAUUUUCGCGGAUAACUCUCACUUUUUCUUCGGCCUCCAUGACCAGGUCAGGUCCAUACACUGUUCGCUCUCCAGGUUGCGACCAGCUUAGCGGGGUUUGACAUCUACGUCCAUACAAAGCUUCAAAAGGCGCCAUUUUCAGGCUAGCUUGGUAACUAUUGUUGUAUGAGAAUUCCGCUAAUGGCAAACACUUAUCCCAGUUCUUGUCAUAAUGAAUGGUACAGGCACGUAGCAUAUCUUCCAAAAUCUGGUUAACCCUUUCAGUUUGUCCAUCAGUUUUGAGGAUGAUAUGUGGAACUACGAAUCAAUUUAGUGCCAAGUGAAAACUGCAACUGCUCCAAAAAGCGUGGUACAAACUAACUACCUCGAUCAAAGAUGAUCGUUUUAGGUACACCAUGCAAGGAAAUAAUCCGGUCAAGGUACAGUUCUGCAUAUUUCUGUAUGGCGUGGGUGGUGUGUACUGGAAGGAAAUGCGCUGUUUUGGUUAGUCGGUCUACUAUAACCCAUAUGGAAUCAUGCUUGCGGGAGGUAUUAGGUAGUCUAACUAUAAAGUCUAUGCUUAUGUCCUCCCACUUCCACGAGGGAAUAGGCAGCGGCUGCAAGGGGCCAGCUACCCUCAAGUGGAUUGCUUUGACUCGCUGACAGGUAUCACACUCUAAAACAUAUCGUGCAAUGUCGGGUUUCAUCCCACUCCACCAGAAAUUUUGUCGGAGGUCGUGGUAAAUCUUGGUACUACUAGGGUGGAUCGAGAACUUGGAAAGGUGUGCUUCGUCCAGAAUUUUUUUGUUAAGAUCGGGAUCAUUUGGAACUACAAGUCGAGCUUCAUAAUGUACCACUCCUUUCCAAUCCUGUCGGAAAUGCUUAUAUCCCUCAUCCUCCUGUGCGAGUUUCUCUUUGAUAAGGUUUAUCUCUUCAUCCUCUAGUUGUGCUAGAAUUAUUUGGUCAAGCAGGGUAGGCUCCAGAGAAAUAUGACUUAAGGUACCGUGGGGAACAAUUUCCAAGUUGAGUUUAGCCAUUUCAUGACAUAGGGUCUCGGCAUAAUUAAUCGCCGAUAAGCAGUUACAAUGGACCUUGCGGCUGAGAGCAUCUGCAACUACGUUGGCCUUGCCUGGGUGAUAAUGCACUUCUAGGUCAUAAUCUUUGAUUAAUUCUAACCAUCUUCUCUGAUGCAUGUUGAGGUCUGCUUGAGUGAAGAUAUACUUAAGGCUCUUGUGAUCUGUAUAGAUGUUGCAUCGAGUUCCCAUAAGAUAAUGCCUCCAGAUUUUCAGAGCAUGAACAACUGCUGCUAACUCGAGAUCAUGGGUAGGGUAAUUCAACUCAUGUGGCCGUAGCGCUCGCGAGGCAUAGGCAAUGACUCGGCUAUCUUGCAUAAGAACACAACCAAGUCCAGUGCCAGAGGCAUCGCAAUAUACGCCAAAUGGUCUAGUGGUGUUGGGCUGAGCUAAAACCGGCGCAGAGGCUAGCAAUUGUCUCAGGGUGUGGAAGGCUUCUUCACAUUUGUCGCUCCACACAAACUUAAUUCCCUUCUUCAGCAGUUCCGUCAUUGACUUAGCUAUUUUUGAGAAGUCAGGAAUGAAGAGACGGUAGUAACCUGCUAAACCGAGAAAACUUUGAAUCUGAUGAACUGAAGUGGGCGGCUUCCAGUCCAUUACUUCUUCCACUUUGCUUGGGUCUACUGCUAUACCGUCUCUAGAUAUGGUGUGCCCCAAGAAUUUAACACUGUCUAGCUAGAAGUCACACUUAGAGAAUUUGGCAUAGAUUUGGUGAUCUCUUAAGCAUUGGAGUACAGUAUGAAGGUGCUCUGCAUGCUCUUCCUCAUUCUUCGAGUACACCAAGAUAUCGUCAAUGAAUACCAUGACGAAUUUGUCGAGUUCGGGCAUAAACACCGAAUUCAUGAGGUACAUGAAAUAAGUCGGUGCAUUAGUAAGCCCAAAUGACAUGACUAAGUACUCAUAGAGUCCAUACCGUGUAGAGAAGGUAGUCUUUGGAAUGUCGCAAGGGCGGAUCUUGAUUUGAUGGUAGCCAGAACGGAGGUCAAUUUUGGAAAACACUCUAGCUCCAGCUAACUGAUCGAACAGAACAUCAAUGCGGGGUAGUGGGUACUUGUUCUUUAUCGUCACCGCAUUGAGAGGUCAGUAGUCCACACACAUACGCAGACUAUCGUCCUUCUUUUUCACAAACAAGCCGGGACAACCCCAAGGUGAUGUACUUGGACGAAUAAAACCCUUUUCCAACAAAUCAUGCAACUGAGUUUUCAUUUCUGCCAGCUCGGCUGGUGGCAUCCGGUACGGUCUCUUUGAAAUUGGGGCAGUACCUGGUUUCAAUUCAAUAGCAAACUCGAUAUCUCUAUCAGGCGGCAUACCCGGCAAAUCAUCUGGAAACACAUCGGGAUACUCGCACACCACUGGGAUGUCUUCCAAACGGGCUUCAGUCAUGGGAUAGGCACAAGAAGUUUGGCACUCUCGGUGGGGUAAGUGUAUAAUUGAGCUACCAUAAAUGGGUGAAUUUAUAUGGACGGCUCUGGCAGGGAUAUCUAGUGCCACUCGAUGCUGAGUCAUCCAAUCCAUACCCAAGAUAAUAUCUAUUCCUUCUAUCCCAAGGAUAAGGAGGUUUUCCUUAAAAAGGGUUCUCCCCAACUGGAUGGGCACCUUGCGGCUCACUUGGUGUGAAGUUACUUUCCCACCCGGGGUAGAGAUGAUAUAAGCACCUUUUGUGUGACAAAAAUCUAACCCACACUUAGCACUGGUUCUAGUCCCAAUGAAACUAUGAGAUGCUCCCGAAUCAAACAGAAUAAGGACGGGUUGGUUAUAGAUAGAAAAGGUACCCGUCAUCACUGGUGCGCCCUCUGGAAGUUCAGCAAGGGUGGUGAAGUUUAGCCGGCCUUGUCGAACCUGAACCCUCGGCUUCUUCCCCUUGUUGCCCAGUGCAUUGCUCUGAUCAGGUUGUUGAUUCUUGUUGCGGGGGCAGUCCUUGGCAAAGUGUCCUGGGUUCCCACAGGUGAAACAGCGGUUUCCAGUGACUGGGUACGACGGCAUAGGGAGAGCAGGUCGGGGCCCUUGCGGCUAGAAUCCAGGGAAACAAGGUGCUGCCUGCGGUGGAGGUCGAGCAACCCAUCUCCCAGGCUGUGCGGGCCUGCGAGACGCCUGUGGGGGAACCAUUCUGUAUUUCUGGGCAGGUGGGCUGGGUGCCGGCAUCGGAGCCUUCCGCUUCAGGUCGGCCUUGAGAGCCCUCAUGCAAUCUUCUCGGAAAUUGCCAGGUUCACCAGUUCAUUGUAGGAAUCCACCUUGAUGGGAUUCAGCCUUUCCUUGAGCUCCAAACUCAAGCCUCUGCGGAAGCGGUCCCUCUUCUUCUCAUCGGAGUCCGCAUGGUAGCCUGCAUAGCGACACAGGUCAUUGAAAGCCUGCGCAUAGUGCAGGACAUCGUGGCCUCCCUGGGUGAGAGCCAGGAACUCAUUGAGCUUGCGCUCCAGAAGACCCUCAGGGAUGUGAUGGCCCCUGAACGCCGUCUUGAAUUCCUCCCAGCUGACGACGUGGUCGGCCGGCUGCAUGGCGUGGUAGUGAGCAGAACCACGCAACUGCUGUGCGGCGAACUGAACCUUGUUCUCCUCCGGGCAAUGGGUGGUGAGGAGGGAGAACUUGGACUCGAUAGCACGAAUCCAGGUAUCGGCGUCAAGCGGGUCCUCCGUCUUGUGGAACAGAGGAGGCUGGGUCCCUAGAAAUUCUUCGUAACGAGCAACAUGAGGUUGCUGAUGGGCUCUUUCUCCCUGGGGCUGCUGCUGCUGCCCCUGAGCGAUGUGCCUCAGCAGCUCGGUUUGAGCCGCCAAGAUCACCUCGAGGGUGGUUGGAGGUGGAGGUGGGGGAGGCACCUCGCUGCCACUGGGAACAGAGCCAGAGCGUGUGCGAUGCGCCAUUUGCAAGAUUCACCUUUCCAUUAGUCACAUAACCCCAAAAACUUGUUUAACCAUAAGGAAACAUUAUGUGCGGAAAUGAUAUAAGCUAGUCUUGAGGAUGGUGCAAAAGCAACAAUCAAAACUUUUAUUGAGUAGGUGCAUAUCGCUUCUUCGAAGUGCACAAGGUUCUCUUCCUUAUGCGAGGGUUAGAAUAUGUCAUACACAACCACUUUGAUGUUACGCUUGUUGACCGAAAAGGAAGGGAAAGGGGUCGUUUAGACGUUCUAGCAAGUUGCUGUCCGGCUGAAUUUUCAGCAAGCUGAGCAGUGGGGUUUUGGCUCUAGCAGGCGUUUGACAGAUCCGAAGGAGCUGAAAAUUUACGAGUAGUUAGAACAGAAGUUUUUGCACAACUUUGGUAUUCAAACUUUGGCUCAAAAACGAGUGGAGACAGGGGUAAAACUGAGGAGAAACAGUCACUGCAGUUCUGCCAUAAAUUUCAGACAUUACACUAAAGAUAGCAACGGCAACCCUACAUAGAAUCAGUUUUUCAACACCCAAAUACUCAACUCAAGCUAACCUAUUAUAUCACUGGCCAAAAUAUAGGUCGCCGAGGAGCAAAAACAAAAGAGAACCGCUCAACAAUAAGUCAACACAACUAGAAAUCGUCGAGGUUGCCCACGGAGACAAAGCUGAGGAUAGGAGAGUGAGCAUCGCUAACUGGAGGCUGCGGAGAGGCCUCCUCAUAGUCCAUGCUCGAAAAGCCCUCGAUCUCCUCGGGCUCCUCCUCCUGGGCCAACGGCUCAUCCUGCUGCAUCUCUAAAGCGUGAAUGGCAUUAAGCUCAUUGCGAUGCUCCUGCAGGUGCUCAUUGGCGUUCGCCAGCUCCAUGUUCACAUCAUAGAACUGGUCAACCAAGAUCUCCAUAUCGUGCUCCAUAUCCACGAUCUCCUCCUCCAAACGAGUGAUCUUAUCCUACAUCUCAGAAAUCUGGACAUCCUUCUGUACUAGCUCAAGCGACUGGUCCACCAUGCCACUCUGCACGGCAGAUAAAGCGACCUGGUUGGCCACUGCCAUCCCGAUCACCGUAGCCAUCGCUCGGCUCUGCAUCUCGACCAUCCUGUAGAACACGUUCAGGUAACAAGCUGAAACAAAAAUCGUGCACUGUGGAUCCAUAACCCCGAGCAAGUCCAUAUGCUCCAUACGAUCCAACCUCGUAUCCCGGGCAGGGAACAACCCAAUCGGGUCCAGCACAAUCUCAAGAGGGUGUGCCCGACAGAACUGUGUCAGGAUCUGCAAGGCUGCGAACUCCCAGGUGUCCUGUAGCGUGUGUCCCUUGGCCACCACCUCCAAAAGCGGCCACUGUGGCUGAUCCGGAGGCGGGGGCACCCGCAUGUGCACGCGACUCCACGGAAUCCCGUGAUCCUGGUACGCACGUCCCGCGUAAACCGGCGGUGACGGGUACCCAAAAGAGCGCAGGGUGUCCCACAGUACGGAUGGGAAACCCUCGUAGUGAAGGCACCGUGAGUAGGUGGUGCCAUCCGUACCGACUGCAACGUGCACGGGCUGAGCCAUCUGUAACCAAAGGACAAGUGAGAAAUGGAGUUAACACUCGAAAAUCAAAACAGAUUUCUAGCAGUUAGAGAAAAGCUCAUAACUCAACAAGUAUUCAUCCAAAAUUUCUCAAAUUUUACCAGCACAUUCUUUAGAUUGUGUGUAACAGUUUUGGUAUUCAAAGCUAGGGCUAGAACUGGACCUAACAAGGUGAUAAUCUCAGAUUUCCAUUAAGUGUUCAUGCUGGAAUUUUGCAGACCUGAGCCAAAGUAAACUGAACAUAAAUUCAAUUACAGAGACCUAAUGAAUCUGAAAUUUUACCAGUAAGUCCUUUAAUAAUUUUUGAGAAACUUUGCUUAAGGGACUCCUAGCAGAAAAAGUCAUUAAGGUGGUCGAAACAGUAGAAUUUCAACUGGUGUGCACUCAGGGCUAACAGCCAACAGGGGGUCACAAAACUGAUCACAACUCUCAACCCAAGUGGUAGUACUUUGUGAAAAUUUUUCAGCAGUUUACUUGGGAGUUUUAACACAAAUUUCUUAUAUAAAGUUUCUGGAGUUAUCAUAUGGAACAACCCGAAAGAUUUAUUAAACGUGCGUGGUGGAAAAAGACAGCUAGACAAUCCUUAUCGCGGUGCAUCUCUUUUUUUUUUCUUUACGGCGCACUCAAGCUUGGUUUUAUUUCCUUAGGUUGCGAUUUUUAUUUCUUAAUGCAUGCACGUCCUAGUCGUCCUUUCAACCAAAAAUAAUCGCCAAAAAUCUUUGGACUUACGUGGUUAGUGCCGGUGGCAAGGCAACAAUACGACUCUCACUAUAAUAACUAGUCGAUUUACUAGGCAUCGUUUCGUACGCAACGUUGUUAGUGUACCUGCAGAAAAAUACAUCACAGCUUGAACCUUCCGUGCCAGCACUCACGAAAGCGUCCACAAUCAUUACCGUUCACUAUAGAAAUGGCACCCAUGCGUUUAACGCUGCAUGGACAGCGCAACAACCGUGGAAAUAUGUUCCUUUGAAUAGAACCAUAUAACCCUUCGCAUUCUCGUGAUGUGGAAUCAUGCACACGUAUAAUAAACGUGGGCGAACAACUGUGAUGGUAGGCUCAUUGGAAUCGAACCAUACCAUCCUUCGCAUGCAUUAGCAUACGGAACCUGCACACGUAUAAUAGACGUGGGCGAAACAACCGUGAUGAUAGGCUCGUUGGAAUCAAAUUCCUAUCACCCUUUGCAUGCAUUAGCAUAUAGAACUUGCGCACGUAUAAUAGACGUGGGCGAAACAAUCGUGAUGAUAGGCUCGUUGGAAUCGAAUUCCUAUCACUCUUCGCAUACUCGCGAUGGGGAUCUCGGCACACGUAUGAUAGACGUGGCAACAAGUGCUGGAAGUCAGAAGAUAACCAAUAAUUAUUAGCCACCUUAAAAGACCCAAAAUUCCCCUAGGGCUCCUCGUACUAAACUCAUCCUUAAUGAACUUACGAAUUUCUCGACUCAUUUCUUGCAAAUUUUAGUUAGAAGAAGUGUUUUAAGGUUUGUUGUUCUCCGUACCGUGCUUCGAGCUCUGAUGCCAGCUGUGGCGGAACCGCCCAAAUUAACCUGACUAAAAUGCAUUGAAGUCGCCUGACACGCGAUUAUGCACUUUAAGCAAGUCAACCUGGUCGACCGUCAGAUUUCAUCCGAUUAACCACAUAAACAGGAUCGAGAAGCAUCGCUCACACGAAGGUGAGUAGCACAGAGAUUACAACAUUCCAUCACAUUAACUUAGUCUCACAAUUUAUUACAUAAGGGUUUCUGAAAAUUUGAACAAGUUGCAAGGUUCGAAGAGUCGGAUAAAACAAGCAGAAGCUAAAUGUUGAUACAUGACAUCACGACGGAGCCGAUCAUGACAUCAAAAAUCCCUUCCCUCGCCGUCCGAGGAGGGAUCCCACUCGACUGUCCUACCCGGAGGGAACUGGGUAGGCCAAGUGGUGCCAGCAACCAAACUAUUGACAUCACCUGAAAAGACUAAGCCACAACAAGGCUGAGCAACUAAUACUCAGCAAGGCUGACCCGUCGAGUGAAAAGCUUUACCAAGAGCUUGACAUGCAAGGCUUUCUGGCUCUGGGAUUUCUUUGCCAAAAGCAUCUAAAGUCGGUCCUUACUUUCAAUAUUUUAGCUCAAGUUCUACAUUCUUUAUCCAGUCUAGAUUAGCAACUUAUACUAAACAAGUAUAAUUUCCCAGCAGUUAAAUAACAAGCAUCAAUUUAAUCUCGUAAUCAUAUUUCAUCGUUACUCAGUGCAGAAUAGCGAUCAAGUAGUCCCAACUUGUGAGAGGUAGACGAAUCGAUUCGAAUUUAUUAACUAUGCAUGGCGAACCUAAUCUCACGACAUCCGCGCACCACGAAGGGUCGCUUCAUUUGUUAGCCGUCCCCAUCGAUCCCUUAGGCACGUGUCAGGGCCAACUGCCUUUGGCAUGCAAUGCUCCAUAAUCCCAGCCUCUGCCGUACUAUGACCACACUUGCACCCACAUGAUGCACCAUGGGAACGACGUUCCAAGGACAGCCGGGGGAGUAUGCCACGCCCCAGUUCAAUCAGGUACUAGGCUUCCCCAUCAUAUACUAGGUAUGAGAUUAGUACUUUCAAGCACUUGAUCACGAACGCCGACACGUUUCGACCUUAGAUCAAUUUCAUUUAAACAGAUGGGGAAAACCACCAAGUAUCGAACAUCAGCCCGACCCCAUCCGUCGUCCUUAUAGUUGCAACAUAAAUAAAACAUUCAACUCCUAUAACUCGCGAGUGACAGGAAAUCACUCGACUUUUACCAAAGCCUAUUAAGCAUUGCAACUACUCGACUUUAGCAACUAGUAUUCAAACAAGACACUAAGUUCAUGCAUUUAAGGUUUCAUUACAACUCCUAGAAACGUAAAUGCGCAAUCAAAGUAUUCAAUAGUAUUGCAAGUAUUCAAGAUAGGAAUUUAUGCUCCGGGGCUUGCCUUCAGGAAAAGUUAGCGGGUCCUCGGGGUCUUGCUCUGGUUCGGGCUCGCCUUCCAAGGAAUGAAGCUCCGCAGCGGGGUCUUCGUUUGGUGCCGGGUGUAGCUCGUAGGUUCCGUCGGCGAGAUUUGCUUCUAUACGACAUGCACAUGCAAAAGUUUAGUUGGACUCGCGCGUUCAUUCAACGACACAAGGCAUGGCUUAAGACAAAGAGUUGCAACAGCCACAAACACUUUGACGAGGUUAAACUUUCAUGCAAUUUCAACGAAUGAGGUCGGUUUAAACUUGAGUUCGAGUUGGAUGGCGAUUGUGUACAUAUAUAGUUUUCUUGCACUUAGAGUUGCAUAAAGAGAGUGAAAGGUCAUGUUUGGGUGGUUUGGGUGCAUUAGAAUAGUGACUUACUUCUGAAUGUUUUUAUGUACCUCUUUCAAUUUCCACUUAUUUAUCGUAUUAGAAUUUGUGCUUUCCUUUUAUUCCUUUAGGUUGAUUAAUUAACCAAAAUGACUUCAUAUCCAAACAGUGGCUAAAGGCACCGAUAAAAUUACAACACCUUAUUAAGGCCAUCACUAGGUUACUGUAAAAGUUUGGGGGCCAAAGGAUGGCUUAAAAAGGAGUUACAUGCAUUUUAUUAUUAAAGGUAAAAUUAACUUAACUUUUUCUAUCUUCAAAGUUACUGUGCAACAGAGGGUGAAACUUAACCAGUGUGUUAAGGGUAUGUUACAGGAGCUUUGGUGAAUUUUUCACAAUUUUUGGAGAAGAUUAACUAUUUACUCUAUUUCCUUUUUAAAUUAAACAUGCUUAACAAGGAAGGUGUUUUUCUUUCUAAUUUGCACAACAAUUUAUAUUUUUUCUGCAAACUUCACAACAAAACAAAAUUAACCCAACUAGUUUCACAUUUUUCUGAGCUCUGAAACAAAACUUAUGCAAAAAGGAAGAUUUAUGUAUAGAUUAUCAAUUUUAAGUCAAAACAGUGACUUAAAGUGUUAGACCAGAGCCCUACCAUUUUUCUGAGCUUCUAUAUAUAGAAAUAAGCAUCACAGAGUUGGUCUCACAUUUUCCCCACUUUUCUUCUAUUUAUUAGGAUUUAAAAGGCCUAAAACAAGAUUAAAAGUGUAGCAUAUUAUUUACAACAGUAACAUGAGCAAACUUAUUUUUCUUAGGAACUAGACAGAGCAAGGAUUCCAACAAAAGUAGUUUGGCAUUUUUAUGCUUUUUCUACGAUUUACUGGGCAUUUCCAAAGUUCAACCAUUUUUCUGCCUAUUAUUAAAAGAAAAGCCGUGGCAAACUUGCAAGCUAGCCCCUGGGUUUAAGGUUUAACUACGCAGAGGUCCCUGAGUUUUGCGCGCAGGCCCCUGGAAAGAAUGGGGACGAUGCAAUGUAGUCCCCGGGAGGCGCGCGGCGGCGGCGGAGAAAUUCCCGGCGGUUCGCCGGCGAGGAUCGGGCAACAAGUGGCCGGAGGGGUGCGGGGGCUCACCUAAGCUCGGUUUGGCGGGGUUGGGGCGAUGGAGAUGGCCGGCGGGGAUCAAAACGUGGCGGCGGCGGCAGAGCUUGGCUGGCGGCGGUACAGGCGGCGUUCUGGCGCACCGGCGGCGUCGGGGAGGCCACGGGCUGCUUGGAGACGUGCGUGGAGGGGUGGCAAAGCGGGCGGCGAAGUCGCCGGAGUGUGGAGUGGCAUGGAGGGGUGAGCUCCACAGAAGCUUAGCGGUGGCACAGAGGAGGAAGCGAUGGCGCAAUUGUGGGCGGUGGCAAAAGGGUGGUGUUGCCGGCGAGGGGGACCUUUUUAUAGGGCAGCGGUGGAGCGGAGGGUCGAGGCGGGGUUUCGGUGGGGGAAGGAUAAGGUCAGGAGCGGCGAGUGCGUGGCCGAGGCAGCCAUUGGCUAGCGGUGCCAUUGGGCAGAGGAGGCGGAGCUCCGGGUGGUCUCCGGCGGUGAUUGGCCUUGGGCGGUGCGUGUCUGGGGCUUCCGGUCUGUCGGGCGGGCGAAGCGAGGGCUACCGUGGGGGUUGCGCGAGCGGGCGGAGGCGCAGGAUGUCAUCGGCAUGGUGGCUUCUCCGGCGGACGAGCGGAGCGUGGUUGGCGGAUCAGAGCCGCGGCAGGGGGAAAAGGACAAGCGCGCGGCCGGCGGUUGGCCAGCCCGGAGUUCGCCCCGUCCAAUCACAGGCGCGGGUUAGGCGCCGUGGCCCUUGCCCUGUUGCUGUCUCGCCGGGGAUAGGGCACCGACGAGCUGCCGGAGGCCGGCGGCCACGCGGUGCGCGGCGCGUGGGCGAACGUGCUCUGGCACGCGGGCGUCGAGGUCCCCUUCGGGCAGCAAGCCCGACCAGCUUUGGGAGAUCCUAUCUCAAGAUUUUGCAACACAACUUCCAAAACUCUUUUAAACAAACUUGUUCAACUCUGGACGUAUUUCAAACUUGGUAUAAGGCGCUGGUUUAUAUUGUGAAAGGAUUUGGAGAUAUCUCGUGCGAAAGUUUGCCAAAAAUCUGGAAAUCCAGACUUAGCCAAUUUUGGCCGGAGAGGUGGAAUUCAGAGGUUUAGCCAUCUUUGGCUCGAUUUUUGGAUAGCUUCUGAGUUGAAUUAGACUAAGGUGUUAUUUGAGGAGUUGCUCUCAAACCUGAGGACUUCAACUUCUAUUUAGGGUAUUUCUUGAGUUUAGUUCAAAAAUUUGGAGGAAUGCCCUCGCCAAGAGGUGCACUCUGAGCAGUUUUUCAGACUUAGCGUUGUGGGGCUCAGGGGCUGAGUUGACUGUUUUACCUUACUUUGACCAAGAAUUUGAAUAGGUUCUAGCCCGAUUUGGACCUGAGUCAUUGUAACAAAGUUGGAACACACUCGAGGGACUACAACUUUUAUUAAGAGCCUGACUUGAGUUUUAGAUAGGAAAUCGUGAGAUAAUAGCUUGCAAAGUUGGAGGAAAACUUGAAUUCCAGGACUUUGGAGGUUUAUAGGGUUCUUUAGUACUCCGCUUUUGAUUGCUGUUUUUGACUUCCUUCCAUUCCGAAUUAGUCAAAGUGCCUUUAACAAAAGUUAUUUGAAAUUAAAAGUUUUACAACUCUUAUUUGGGCAGCAUUUUAAGUUUGCAUAUAAAAUUCCAAGUUUUAUUUCAAACUCCAAAAAGAGCUUCUUAGGGUUAAAAUGGUCAUUUGACCUCUUUAAUUAGGUAUUAACCACUGGUUUUCUUUAAAAGCACUUAAUUUAGGUAGAGUUGUUACAGCCAACUACUCGACCGCCUGUUGUCGAGAAGAAGCGUGUGCGAUUGCCACCACGCUCGACUCGGUGAGCCUGCUUAGCCGGUGUAUAUCUUUAAGUUGUCUGGAAGUCGUAUAAUGAUGUUUCUUGAUGCAGGGAUGCAGAGGAGACUAUCCCUGUGGAGAUAGGGGUAGAGUUGGAUCCCCUGAAUACAUUAUCUGCUCCUUUGGAAUAUUUAAUUGUUGAGGAGGUACCCGAAGUUGACGCCGGUCGUCUUGGAGCUACUAUGUCGAUGCUUCCAGACGUCAUCCGUUCGGUGGAAGUUCCCGCUGCUGCAUCGGGUUCAGGAAGUGCUGCCUUAUCAACAUCUACUAGCGGAUCGCUGGUCGUAGUGGGUGUUGAAAAAGCCAAAUUGGCGACUGCUCCAGGUAUGUUUCUGUAGUCUUGUUAUUGUAGUCGUAGCAAGCAGUUGACUGAUGAUAAAUGUUGUAGGUGCCAUUUUUGGUACAACUCCUCAUCUUGCAGAGAGUACUCAAAGAUCGGUGAUCAGCCUGCCAUCCGACUUGGAGUUCCAGAAGGUCAUCAAUGUUUUCCGGAGCUUCCAAGUAGAAUUCCUUUUUGAGUUGUCACAUGGACCAAGUAGUUGUGAGGAUUUUAACUCACCAUAGUACCUUGCAUACUUGGACCUUUUCAGGAAUGAAGUCAUCAACUAGAGCAGGAGUGCGCCCGUCUGACAGAAACUCUGAGGGUUCACGAGGUUGGAGCGAAGUCUUUUGCUGUGGAGCGUACGGAUCACGCGGUCCUGCAGCAAAAACUGGAGAGCCGCUACAAGUCGCUGAACAAAAAGUAUCAAGGUAAGUACUUUGCAUACUCCGAGUAUGUCCGAUUGUAGUCAGCUAUGGUUGAAUACUUGCCCGGUGCUUGAGGUGAUUGUCUUGCGAAGAGUAAUUUUAUUCCGUGUUGGUUGACCCGAAGUCCCAGGGUCAGCUGAGCCCGACCCUUUGGGGAAAACUCCGCUUCACCCGACCCCUUGGAGGGGGCCAGCUACGCCUCGCCCAACCCCAAGUCCUGGGGUCGGCUAAGCCCGACCCUUUGGGGGAGAAGCUCCGCCUUGCCCGAACCUGAGUCCUGGGGUCAGGUGCGCCCGACCCCUAAGCAGAAGGUCGGAGUAGUCCAAACCCUCGAGAUAAUGGUGUGAGCGUAGGCCGCACUUGGCUUGUAGUAGUUCCGAGUGUCGAGUAGUCGCAAUGCUGUCGAGUACUCUUCUUUUGAGGGACACGGGUGUACUGUACUCCUUUGUCCUUUUGUGGAUGCACGGGUGUACUAUACUCUUUUGUCCUGUGUAUCAUAAGUGCCAUCACGUGGGCAGAGUCAGCAGUCAUCAGACUCAUUGAUCACGGGCGCAUAGUAACUCUUGGGCAGGUGGUAGUUGCAUCUUUCGGCUAUAAAUAGAGCCAUCUGGAGAGCGAACCAAACCAAGUUUCUGAGUAGCAAUGGAUUUCUUUCAGUUGCUUCUUUUUGAGUGUAGAGAGCCAUCAGAGAGUGCACCGGUGCUAGAAGAUUCCUCGUAGAUUGAGGCCGCCUUCCCUCCACAGACUCCUGCGCUCGUAGGGAUAGCCGCGAUGCUAGAAGAAUCCUCGUAGGAGGUUUCUUCGCACGCCUCAUCUUGCAGCUCAUGAUCCAGUGGGGUACGCGCUGGAACUCAUGGGUGAUGGGUGAUGAGUGCCGUGGUCUUUAUCCCGCUCUCUUAGAGGUGGAGAUGUGGCCAUAGAGUGGAUUGGCUCCGCAAGGCUAGCAAAAGAGCAGCCUUGGUUCCCUCUAGGCGCGUCACGCCGGAUUCAUCGUUGCCGCUGUCAAGGCAGUGGCGAUGCAGGAGUUCCUGGCAUUGCCUUGGGUAGAGUACCUGGAUAUGGCUGCAUUUUGCGCAGCUUCCUUGCGUGUGGGCCCUUCCCAUUGUAGUCGGCAGACCUGAGUGGCCUUGUGAUAUAGUAAAAGCCUGAGGCUUAAAUGCAGCCCGCCAGUAGGCAGGUGCUUGUAGUCUUCGUGUAUUCCGAGUGUUUGUACUCGUAUGUAUGUUUGAAGAUGUAUCUUCGGUUCUCAGUAAAGAAAUACUGAAUGGAAAUUUUGUACCAGGGCAAUGAUCCUUGUUGAGUUGAUAACUCUUGUCAAAGCUGAGGUAUCUUGAAGUCGGUAGUCGGGUGGUUAGCCCGAGUAGUCAUCAUGAGUUAUUGCCUUGAAGCGAUUACUCGGAUGCUGCUAUGGGUAAUAGCGACAAAGAUGUUCUAUAUUCCAAGAGUUUGGUACUUGGAGUCUGUAAGAUCCAGGUCCCGUAACCUUUGACACGAUGUAAGGACCUUCCCAUGGUGAAUUGAGUUUAUGCAACCCUAAUGUGUCUUGGAUACGCUUAAGGACCAUAUCGCCCAAGUUGAAAGAUCUUUCCUUCACGUUGCGGUCGUGGUAACGCCUUAAACCGUCAAGAUAUCUGGCAGAUUGCACUAGUGCUGCACAUCUUGUUUCUUCUAGACUGUCUAUAUCUGUUCGCCUUGUUUCUGCUGCCAGUUCUUCGUCAUAUUGUUCAACGGAUGGUGAUUGCCACAUGAUGUCGGCGGGUAGUAUGGCUUCUGAGCCAUAGACAAGGAAAUAGGGCGAUAGCCCAGUAGUCUUGCAUGGUUGGGUACGUAGGCCCCACAGAGCAUUGGGAACUCUUUGAGCCAUUUGCCGCCUUUGGUGUUGCCAACGUCAUGUAGUCUUUUCUCCAGGGCGUCGAGUAUCAUGCCAUUAGCAUGCUCGACUUAUCCAUUGGAUCGCGGAUGAGUGACCGAGACAUAGCGGACGUCGAUGCCGCUAUUCUCGCAGUAUUCCCAAAAGUCAUGAUUGUUGAAGUUCGACCCUAGGUCUGUGAUAAUCUUGUUGGGAAAAUCGUAGCGGUGUACGAUUUCAUCUAAGAAGUCGAGGACCCGGUCUGCCUUGGGGCAAGUGACUGGUUUGACCUCGAUCCACUUGGUGAAUUUGUCGAUUGCCACGAGUACUCGGUUGAAUCCUCCUAGCGCAGUUGGUAGCGGCCCUAUCAUGUCGAGCCCCCAGCAGGCAAACGGCCAUGUUGGAGGUAUUGUGACUAGCUUGUAGGUCGGUACAUGUUACUGUUUUGUGAAGAAUUAACAACCUUUGCAUUUUUGAACUAGUUGUUUAGCGUCGGCCAGAGCCAUUGGCCAGUAGAAGCCUGCUCUGAAAGCCUUGCCAACUGGUGUCCUUGAGGAGGGUGGUUGCCACAGAUUCCUCUGUGAAUUUCCUCUAGGAUUUCUUGGCCGUCUUCUCUGGUAAUGCACUUCAUGAGUACCCCAGACGAUGCACCUUUUUUGUAGAGCUUGUCUCCGACUAGAACGUAAUUUUUUACUCGCCGGGAGAUUUGCUCAGCCUUAUUUUUGUUGGAUGGUAACUGGUAAUCUUUGAUGUAGCCGAUGAAGGGUGUCCUCCAGUCGACUUCUAUCAUCAUGAUUUCACGAGACACGUCAGCAGUCGUGACUGCUGGUGUGGUGACUUGUUCAGGUAUGGACGGCUUGCGCAGUUCGUGUAUGAAGAUUCCUGCUGGAACUUCUGCACGAGUUGAGCCCAUUUUGGAUAAGACGUCGGCAGCAACAUUGUUGCCGCAGACGAUGUGAUGAAAUUCCAAGCCUGAGAACCUGUUUUCCAGUUUAUGGACUUCUUUGCAGUAAGCAUCCAUGUUGUCCUUGUUCCGGUCCCACUCAUCAUUGACCUGGUUUAUAACGACUAGAGAGUCGCCGUACACCAGUAGUCAUUUGAUGCCGAGGGAGAUUGCAAGGCGAAGGCCGUGGAGUAGUGCUUCAUACUCGGCUUCGUUAUUAGAUGCUUCCCAGAAUAUUUGCAGCAUGUACUUGAGCUGGUCUCCCCUGGGGGAGAUGAGUAAUACGCCUGCGCUGGCUCCUUCGAGUUUGAGGGAUCCGUCAAAGUACAUUACCCAAUGUUCUGGCCGUUCCACUGGUGUUGGCACUUGAUUUUCAGUCCAUUUAGCUAUAAAGUCGACCAAAGAUUGGGAUUUGAUAGCUGUCCUUGGCUUAAAGUUCAAGGUGAGAGCUUCGAGUUCAACUGCCCAUUUGGAGAUUUUGCCCGUAGCGUCUCUGUUGUGAAGAAUUCGCCGAGCGGGAAGUCAGAGAUGAUUGUGAUGUUGUGCUCUUUGAAGUAAUGGUGCAGUUUCCGGGAGGUGAGCAAAAUUGCGUAUAAGAGUUUUGUAUCGGUGAAUACCGAGUUUUGGAGUCCGAGAGUACUUCGCUGACGAAGUAGACAGGUCGUUGGACCUUGUAAGCGUGGCCUAGUUCAGACCGUUCGACUACUAUUGCCGUGCUGACGACAUGAGUAGUAGCUGAGAUGUAUAGGAGCAAGUCUUCGUUCGAAGAAGGAGCGGUGAGUACAGGAGGCUUUGACAGAAAGUCUUUGAGUUGUGUUAGUGCCUUAUCUGCCUCUUCCGUCCAUUUGAACUUGUCUUGGCGUUUGAGAACCUUGAAGAAGGGUAGUCCCCGUUCUCCAAGUCUCGAGAUGAACCGGUUGAGAGCGGCCAUGCAGCCUGUGAGUUUCUGCACAUCCUUAAUGCUAGCUGGUGCUUGCAUGUUUGUGAUGGCAGAAAUUUUUUCCGGGUUGGCCUCAAUGCCGCGAUGGCUAAUGAUGAACCCGAGUAAUUUGCUGGAAGGUACUCCAAAGACGCACUUAGUAGGAUUGAGUUUCCAUCGGAAAGUGCGUAGACUAGAGAAAGUUUCCUCCUAGUCUGCGAUGAGUUCCUCCCAGUUUCUUGUUUUCAUGACUACGUCGUCGACAUAAGCUUCAACAUUGCGGUGAAGUUGCUUUUCGAAGCACAUUUGUAUGGCCCUUUGAUAAGUUGCCCCUGCAUUUUUUAGUCCAAAGGACAUUGUUUUGUAGCACAAAGCUCCGAAAGGCAUGAUGAACGCUGUUUUGGCUUGAUCUUCCUCUUUGAGGCUUAUCUAGUGAUAGCCGAAGUAGCAGUUGAGAAAACAUAGUAAAGCGCACCCAGCGGUGGAGUCGACCACUUGAUCGAUCCUGGGUAGCCCGAAAGGGUCUUUAGGGCAGUGUUUGUUGAGGUCGGUAUAGUCAACACACAUUCUCCACUCGUUGUUUUUCUUACGAACGAGCACGGGGUUGGCAAGCCAGUCAGGGUGAAAGACUUCUUUGAUGAAUCCUGCCACAAGUAGCAAGCUAACUCUUUUUUGAUUGCUUCUCAUCUGUCUUGAGCGAACCGGCGUAGUCGUUGCCGUUUUGGAGUAGCUUUGGGAUCGACAUUGAGAGAAUGCUCAAUCAGCUCCUUGGGCACACCUGGCAUGUCAGUCGGUUUCCAAGCGAAGAUAUCAUGGUUAGCCCGAAGGAAGCUGACGAGCGCAGAUUCCUAUUUAGGAUCUAGCCCUGUUCCGAUCAGGGCUGUCUUGGAAGGGUCGCCCGUCUAGAGGUCGACUGAUUUGAAGUCUUGCUCACUGGCGGGUUUCACCUUUGUGGACCCCGACUUGUUUUCUGGGAUCUCUAAUUCGGUUGGAUGGAGCUUCUUUGAAGCUGUGAAGACUUGUUGCAUGGGACUAGGUGCUUGAGUAGUCACAGCAAUUUUCACGCCUUCAGUGUCGCAUUCAUAGGAUCGCCGUAGAUCUCCUCGCAGCAUAAGUUCUCCCUUGGGGCUUGGCAUUUUGAGUACCAGGUAAACAUAAUGUGGUAUGCCCAUGAACUUGGGGAGUGCUGGCCUUCUGAGUAUGGCAUGGUAAGAUGUCUCGAAGUCGGCGAUUUCAAAUCUGAUGUAUUCGGUACGGUAAUGCUCCUUAGUUCCGAAGGUAACCGGAAAGAAAAACCUUGUCGUAAUGGUAUAGCCGCAUUUCCAGGCACGAUGCCUUAGAAAGGUGAAUCUGUUGGAGUAAGCAUUUCAGUAACGUCGAGGCACAUCUUCUUCAAUGUCUUGGUGAAAAUAACGUUGAGUCCACUUCCGCCGUCAAUGAGUACUUUGGUUAACUUUGAGCCUGCCACAACCGGAUCCAGUACUGGUGGGAAACGUCCUGGCUCUGAAAACUUGGUCCAUUGAUCUUUUCUGCUGAAAGAAAUGGGCACUUCUGACCAUUUUAACGGUAUUGGAUCCGUUGGUUCGAUGGCCAUGAUUUCCCUUAGUACGAGUUUGUUGGCUCGCUUGGAUGCGGUGCCUGGAAUACCGCCGAAGAUGAUGUUGACAGUUUUUGAGGUAGUCUGGAAGUCGCCUUCUUCGUCUUCGUCGUUGUGGACUUUGUUCUUGCCCUUAUCUUUUUUCUUGGUGUACUCUUCAGGAGGCGGUGGUGCGGGUAAGUCUUGCAUGACUCGGCGCAUGCUGUAGCAAUCUAUUGCUGAGUGCUUGCUAGUCGGGUGCCAUGGGCACUGCUUUUUGAGUAGUUCAGUGAAGGUUGGCCCUUCAUCGUUUUUACGGGGUCCCUUUUUCCCAAAGUUGGUCAUGGCGGCAACAGUGUUGUCGAGCUUCCUUUUGCAGUUGUGAUUACUCGAGUAGUUGUUUCGAGUGUUGUUGUUUUGACUUCUAUCUUGGUCAUUGUUGUGGUUGUUGUCGCGUCCACGGUUAUGGUGGGAGCUGAACCGUUCUCGCUCUUUGUCUUCUUCAUCUGCCCACUGCUGCACCAUGACUUUGAGGUCUUUGACAUUAGCUGGUCGUCGGCGACCGAAGUCUUGGUAUGUUCGCCGAUCGUAGAGUCCAUUCUGGAAGCACUCGAUGACGUCUGUUACUGAGAUGUCGUCUAUGGUAGCCUUCUUAUCGAAGAAGCAUCACAAAUAGUCGCGUAAGGUCUCGCCUUCUUUUUGCUUGAUUUGACCUAAGUCAAUCUUGUUGCCUGGUCUAGCCAUGGAACCGGCGAAGUUGUUGGUGAAAGUCUUUGUCAAGUCUGCCCAAGAGUCAAUGGACUUGGGUUUGAGUGACUCAAGCCAGGUCAAUGGUGCCGGUUCCAUGCAUAUGGGGAAGUGGAUAACUUUGGUGUCAUUAUUGCCCCCGACUGCUUGGACGGCUAGCGAGUAGCAUCGUAGCCAUUGUAUUGGAUCUUGUUUGCCAUCAUAUUUGGUGAUUCCAGUAGGCUUGAACUUCUCGGGUAGUUUUGUUUUCGUUACCCGAUUUGUGAAAGCAGGAAAGUGGUUGUAGUUGUCUACUUCUCGCUCGCGCUGACUGCUGAGAAUUUCUCGCAGAUCACUAAAGUUAGACACUUCAUGGUUCUUCCGAGUAGGGCGGAUGCUUUUAACCGAGUUGGUACAGCUGACCUCGCCAACAUCCUUGUGGCGAGCUGGAGCCUUGUGCUUGCUUGGACCUUGGCUGUGUUGCCUAGGUUGGUUGACAACUUCAUUGUUGUUUCUUGGGGCAUUAUUGUUGUCUGCAGCCCCCCUGCUGCCUCCUUGGUGAGCUGUGAUACGAGGAAGAGACGGAAUUGGUGAUUCUUUGUCGAGUAACUUGUAGGCUUGCUCCAUGAGUUGUGCGAUUAGUCCGUUGCCACGCUGCACGAGUUGAGUUGUGGCUUCAUUAUCCCUGUCUUGAGGCAUCAAUGUUGUUAGAAGAUUGAUUGAGGCGAUUGCCGCGAGUGGAGUAUUGUGCUCCUGAGCCUGGACUGCGUCGAAAGCCCUUUCAAGAUUUGUAAUGGGAAUAUUUGUAGCCAUCGACUGCCGUCGCUCGUCUCGAGUAGCGUUGCACAUCCUUCUUUGGUUUCUUUGCUCGGAGGUUUCAUUGUGAGGGGCGUCAGCUGUAGACUCAUCUUCGGAGAUGUUGUCGAGUUGUGGUAAUCUCCUAAGGGUUCUGUUCUGGCUAGUACUCGGGUUGUUAUUCUGAGUAAUAACAAGUAUCUCCCUGUCCGGGUAGUAGCUUUCGGAGCUUGACGUUGCAAUCUCUGUGGAGCUUUCCUCAUGAUUGGGAGUGAGCGGAACGCCCUCUUGAUAUGGGAGGUUGUCUAUAUGAGCGACAAGAUGCGAGUCGUAGUCAUGGGCAAGAAGGGAUGGUCAUAGUCCUAGCCAAUGUACGAAUCUACCUUAUGAUGUUGAUGUUAUUACCAAUCCUUGGGCUGGACCAGAUAAUGGUAUUCUAGCGGAUAAACCAAGUCGGAGUUGAGGUCUUCAUCAUGCCCAAGUUCGAGUUGGAUUCAAGUAAGAAAACCUUGGUGAACUUUAGUUGCGUUGUGGAGUCCGUGCGGGGACCGCUUCAAAGUCGAAACCGACUUGGGCACUGGUUGGGACUGACUAGUCCGAAGCGAAGUCGCAUCCGACGCGUAGUCGAACUCGAACUCGUCGACUUUUAAAUCUUGGUUUUUUUUCGAUCAGAUCUUCUGGUUUCUUCUCCUGAGCGUCGACGAUCUGGCGCCGGAACGAACCCGAGCCAUCGGCAACGCAAAGCCAGGAUCCGAAAACGAAGGUGGCGCCAGCUUCGAUGAAGAAAACGGGCCUGACGAUGACCUUUACCAUUGAGUUCGCGCUGAGAAACUCAACGAGUGCCCCUACUUGGCGCGCCAGCUGUCGGUGUUUUAGACCGGCAACUCGCCUAGGGGGUACCCUAGGUGGUCUUUUGUGUGGUAAGGGUCGUCGAGAAUCAAGGAAUCAAUGGUGACGCAAGGAACACGAUUUAGACAGGUUCGGGCCGCUAGAUCACGUAAUACCCUACGUCCUAUGUGUUGGUUUGUAUUGAUGAACUGGAGUUGUUGUUGAGGGGGGUCCCUGCCCGCCCUUAUAUACACGGGAGGGCAGGGUUACAAGUCUGAGUCCUAGUCGAGUACUAUUACAGAGUUCUACUCAGUAAGGCUCGAGUAGUUUUCCAUAUACACACUUGACUAGUCCGAAUGGGAUACGCCUAUCCCUUGUCCUGAUCGUGUCCGAGUACGCCCCUGAGUGGGCCGUCCAAGGUCUACUCGUGGGCCUGGGGUGCAUGCCCGACACCCUCUAAAGCGGGUGGGAGCACACACACAGUUUGGAUACAGCUGUGAACAGGUGUCAGCGCGUGGGUAGGUGGCUGGCUGGCUGCAUGUAGGGCAUGGGUGGUUGGUGGUGGAUGGGUGAGAUUCCUUUUACAUUCAAAAUUUUAAUCUCUUUUUUCUCUCAAACUGUAAACAUGUUUUAGAUUCUGUUUGAACCAUGAUGCUAUUUAGAAUUUAUGCAACGAAACAAGAUCCAACAUAAAUAUAUUUUGAUUUUUUUAAAAAUCAACAUUUCAAAUGCACUCUUGAACAUUUGAAAUGUUGAAUUAGUGUGUAUAUAAAUGUUAAAUCUAGUCUUCUAAAAUAUUGACUAUAUUGUAGUAAUAUCUUAAACAUACAUUGGAAGAAAAAUUGUUGAAAUAGUAUUUUUUUUUAAAAAAAAGUUGGUGUGUGUAUAAAAAAUGUUGAGCCAUAAUGUUGGCGAAUGUAAAAAAGUUGAAGAAAAAUGUUGGUGUGUGUAAAACAAAUGAUUAGCCAGAAUGUUGGUGAAUGUAAAAAGGUUGAGGAAAAAUGUUGGUGUGUGUAAAAAAAAGAGCGGGUGAAUGUAAAAAAGUUGAAUAAAAAUGUUGGUGCAUAUAAAAAUAUUAAUGAACAUCAAGAAAGGGAAAAUGUUUACGAAUAUUAAGAAAUAUUAGUUAAUGUAAAAAAAUGUUGCUACAUGUAAAAAAUAAAGAAAAAAUGUUCAAAAAGAAAAAUGUGGAUCAACAUGAACAAAAUGUUGGUGUAUUAGAAAAAUGUUCAAAAAUAAUUUCAUUCAAAAUAUUAUCAAGUGUGAUAUUAUUUUGUAGAUCUCAUCGUAAGAAAUGGUAUGGUUCAAUCGAAACUUGAUUCGGACAUUUGGUUUGGAAGCUACAGAUUUUUUUUCGAAUUUUGUUUUGCACAAAAGCUGACCUAAACCCUGUCAGACCUGCUACUUGCACUUGCACCAGCCAAUCAUGCACUGCACUGGGAAAAAUGACGUCUAGUAUCGGUUGCGCAACCAGUACUGGCCAAUCGAUACUAGAGGGGGAGCCCUUUAGUAGCGGUUCAAAUAACCGGUAGGGUACCCUUUAGUACCGGUUGCGAACAUCAACCGGUACUAAAGGGCUUCCCACACCGCGCAGGGGGUGUCCUCAUUGGUACCAACCGGUACUAAUGUGUUUUUCCAUUAUUUUCUUAUUUUAUAUUCCUUUAUUGUAUUUUCAUAUUUUGUAUUUGUUUCCUUUACGUAUACUCGUUCUAAUACGUUUACGCUAAUAUAUGUAAAGUUCUAUUUAUCUUUAAUAUAACAUUUGAGAUAAUAUUAUAUAUAUAUACAUAUUGUGCAUAUACAUAUAUGAAUAAUAUUACACAUUGCAUACUGUUGGCGCUAGAAAUUAGCCGAUUAAACUUCCAGCGUCACACACACGACCCGGGAGAAUCUGCUUAACUCCUGUUCGGGUGAUCGCCCUGGUGCGGUUCGCGCGGCGUGCUAGCCAAUCUGACCUGUUGAUUGGCAAGGAAAGAAACGUGUCAGAUCCCAGAGGUUGCGAUCGGCUAAGGUUCCGAUCUCGAGGAAGCUUAUCAGCGAGUCGGCCGAUUUGCUGUAAUAAAGAAAUCGGCUAUAAUACAGCCGAUUACCAGGCAACGUUGGUGAAGAAAGCUACUAGAGUAAACUAAACAACGCUACAGUAGCAACACUAGGAACAGAUCUAAUCGGCUAUGCAAAAAGCGGUAGAUUAAACACCAAGAUACAAGUAAGCCGAAAGCUCUAAUUCCCAGCCGGAUAACUGGUGAUAAAAACUAGAACAAUAGGUAAAACCUAGAAUUCUAGUAAAUAUCGAUAACGGAUGAAUAAAUCUAACGAAACGAUAGCGAUGCGCCCGAAGUUAGAGCUUAGAUAUUACUCGAUAAACGGAACUUACAGAAUCGGCCGGAGAUCAAGCUGAUGCAGCCCCGCCAACCCGCAUGAACUCGUGAAAGUAAGAAAAGUAUUGGCGAAGUCGCCUGCUUGAAAGUAAAGUGCGAGGAAAUAGUAGGUUGUUGUAUUGAUUUGAUGAUUGAUUACAGAUCUAUGAAGGUGGCUAUUUAUAGCAUGUUACAACCAAUCCCUUAACCGACUAGGACUCUAUCUCUAAUUUUAAACGAAAACGAAUAUUUAGAAGUAUGACUCGUGCCGGAGUUGAUUGCUGUGUUCUGUGGGCCGACCACUUUUAUCCUCAUAAUCCACUCCGAGCCCAUAUUGGCCCAACUAUUCCAGCCUCUCGAUCGGUCGAUUUCCAUCAACUCCCUUCGCUGAAACAUUGCAGCACCAAUCGGCCAAUCUCCAACCGUAGCACCAAUCGGCCGAUUCCCAAUCGUGACCUCCGUGCCUCGCCACAUCAGCUGAUUCUUUCCCUUCUUGAUGCCGAUUCCAUACGUGUCAAAAUCUGGCAUUAACACAUGCCCCCCAGUUUCAGAGUAAAACAUAAUCUUUACUUCAAAAUUCCUUUCAACUUCCCUUCCGAAACAAACGCAUUGAAAAUACCCUUCCGUUUCGCGGUCUUCUGCCUGAUGAUUGCAAUCUUUUCGAAACGGGCGCCCACGACAACCACUCCUCCCAAAAAAAUCGAACCGCCGACGCGGUAAAAAUCCUGCUUUUACCCCUUCUCAGACCACCCUUAAAUAUCAGCACAUCCCGUACUUCUUUUUCACGAGCCCACGUCUUCCUUCUUUGGCGCACUGAUCUCCUUCUUCCUCCGGCGUCUCCUUAGCCUCCAAUCUUUCCUUCCGGUGACCUUUUCCAUCUACAUUCCAUCCCAUCUCUCCGAUGGUGACACCCUCAGGCACUUCACCAACAUCCAAAGUCCCGGAGACAGCCCCACCAACGGCGGCUCCAGUGGCAAUGGUGGCGGCUCCAUCGGCAGGAGCGGGAGCUCCAUCGGCGGGAGCGGGAGCUUCGACGGAGGCCCCAACGACGGCUUCAGCACCUAUAGCUCCACCGGCGAUCCCGUCAACCACGAUGAGCUUCAUACCGGAGGUUUUUACCAAAACUUCUCUUUCUUUAAUACCAAUGCAUUUACCUUAGAUCCGUUCUUACUUCCGCCCCCUUUUUCCUUUUUUAGGUAGUUAGACACUAGAUUACCAUCCGCCUUACCGAAACCCCUUGUCUUAUCUGCCUUGCUCCCAUGGGAAACCCAGAUCCAACUGACUUGAUCAAUUUGGAAACACAUAGAAUUCCAUUCAAGUAAUCAACCAUGGACCUAGACCACUGGUCAGGCACUUUCAGAUCAUGGCCGAAUGAAACCUCCGGUUGGAGGGAAUGGUACGAACGGAUAGCCGCCUCCAAGAGAGUCCAAUGGGACGAGCACAAAAUCGGCCAGUGCAUCGAUCUGUCUUUGUCCCAAAUGGAAAGGAAUGAGCCCUUAGUAAUAGCAGCCUCCUACUCUUGGUCCAACGCUCUCAACGCGUUUCUCUUCGGACAUGGGCCUAUGACUCCCACCUUGGCCGAUGUGGUCAUGUUGACCGGCCUUGACAUUUCCUCCCCUGAUACUCCUUUCCGUUACCUGGCCAAAACAUCCCAUCGGCUGGACACGAAAGGAAUCGACGGAUGGAAAGGAUUCAUCAAGUGCAAUAGGAGAGCCGGGACAGUCGCAGAAAGGGAGCAUGCGGCCUUCCUGAUGAUGUGGCUAGAGAAACACCUCUUUUGCAGGAGGGCAGCUGGUCCAUCUAUUAACACACAGGUUCUGGCCGAGGCGCUAUCUAUAGGAGCUUCUGUUCCUUUUGGAAAGCAUUUAUUGGGAUCAGUUUAUCAUAUGUUGCACCAGAUCGGUGUAAAGCUAUCCAAAGGAGAGCCGAUUGGAAACCCAGGUGGACCCUGGUGGUUCAUCAACUUGUGGCUCAACCUGUACAUGAGCAAGAUCUUCCAGUAGUGAGUGGAGUACAUGACAUUCCCCAACAUCGAAUCGGCAGAGAACCCCACUGUACGGCACCGGUGCACUUCCUUUGGUGAAGCAGCAUCGGCCUUCUCUGGUUUCCCAUAUUUUGCUACCAAGGUGGCCGAAUAUUUUAGAUGCUUCUACAAUGGUUUCAGCGAAGAUGCAACCAGCUGGUUCCCUUAUCAAAAAGAGGAACCACUCUUCGAGCUCCCCUCUUGCUUUGACUCGGCCACCAAUAAAUUUGAUGAGGACCAAAUAGAUGAGUUGAUCAAGCCAGAGAUUCUGCCGGCGAAUUUCUUCUCGUGGAAGGACGCCCCCACUUAUGAGUUUUACAACCCUUCUGUUGCAGCACGGCAAUUUGGCUUAGGUCAACUGCCGAUUUAUGCAUACUUCGCCGAUCGAGCAAAAGUCCGAGACGAGCUCACCAAAGGUCUCAACUACAGUCGGCUGUAUGAUCGGAUCCCAGACUCCAGCACCAUAGACCUGACCAAUUGGAUAGUGGCCCCUUUCGCCGUUCAGCAGUUCAAGCUAUGGUGGGCCGAAUGGAAACAACAUCUAUUCUGCGCUUCUGCAGCGAUAUAUUGCAAUCUCCUGGAUCCCAACAACAUCAACCCGAAUGUCGAGGUAUCGCUCUCUUUUUAGCCGAUUUUCAACUCCCUCUUUUUUUAUAUACUGACCCUUAUCAUUUUUUCAGUCUGAGAGUCGUGCUCCCCCAAGACGUAGUCGGAAUGGCCGGCCGAUAGAGGACCGUUAUCCAUACACAGAAUUUCCCCUCAUCGGCUAUCAUGCCCCCUCCGUUGACGACAUAGCUGGCCGGGCGAAACAAGCGCAGAAAAAGAUCAUCAAGAAAACCAGUCGCCGGGUGCGAGCCCGCACAGAAUCGACCGAUCCAUCCGCGGUUGCAUCGGCGGAAAUUUUGGCUGCGCCGACCCUUCCGGUUGCUGAAGAAGUUGACCUCCAAGCUGCUAUAGAGGCCGGAGCGGCUGCCGCUUCAUUAUUGGUGGAGGCCGUUCAGGUAAACUCACCAUUUGAUUGUCCCCCGGUCAUCACUUCAACGCUAACUUUCCUUAUACCAGGCUGCACAAACCGCUCCGGUGGGCCCAAAGCAAUCGGCGAUGUCUCAAACUGAAGUACCAGUACUACCGCCUACUGAGGUAUAGGGCCUCCCAACUUAACUCUUUUAAUAUUUAAGCGAUAACCUUACUGAUUUUGAUGCAGGUCAUCAGCACACUAACUGUGCUCCCUGAACAGCCACCUGUCAGAGAAGCCCUUCAAGAAGCUGGCCUAAGCAAAACGUCGAUUAUCGUCGAAUCCUCCUCUUCCGAUGAGCCGAUCGUGUCAGUCCCCGAACCAAAGGUAGUGAUUCCGCAGACGCGGAUGGAAGAGAUCUGUUUCACAGAAGUAAGAAGUCUCAUAACCUGCAUUAGCCGAUUCACUAUCAUCAUCGGUUGACUUAUUUCUUCCUUUUGUCUAUUACCUUGCAGGAACAGGACACUCCCAAUAACAGCUUCUUCUUGUUUGCGGUUGCGCUCUCUGUCGAUGAAGAAGUCGCCUCUCGUCAAGUGACCUUGAGCUCAGUACCCGACGACGUCCGUGCCAAGCUCGAAAGUAUACAGACCCUCCUUUAAGAAGACAUCGGCCGAUUGGUAGAGGACGCUUUGCCGAUUCGGUAGCUCUUCGAUGACAUCAGUGGCCGAGUCCCAGAAGAGGCCGAAGAAGCCUUGGCACCCGCCGCAUAUAUCGAAUCGAUGCGGAUCCCGAUUUUUAGGGCUCUGCGUCACAUGGCCGAUCGUGCCAAGCUGGCCAAGACUCAUGAGGAGCAGGACUCAUACAAGCAUCGGGCCCAAGAGGUACACCACCGGAUUCACUUCCUCGAGAACUCCCGUCCUGGGAUUGUUGGCAUGAUAGAUCGCCUCAAACGUCGAAGGGCAGAACUCGCCAAAGAGAUGGAGCAAGUAACCAAAGAGAUAGCCGUUGAAGAGAAGAAGCUUCAGGAGCUCCCUUCCGUUAUCGCCGAUUUAAAGCAGGAGAGGCAGCAUCUGGCCCACGAGGCCCUCAGACUUCAUCGUCACAUGCCAGAAGUCCCGGGGUCGGCGGAGGAUGACCAGCGCGUCUUAGACUCGGCCGAUCAGAUCAGGCGAUGAGCGAUCGCGGCCAUUAAUGCCCUUCUGGGAUGAUCUGUAAAAGUACUGGCCGUUUUGUAAGAACAUUAAUAUCUUUUGACCGACCUUCGCGACGCCUUCUUAUUUAUUACCCCUUUUACUCUGACAGGACGCGUCUUACCAAACCUCCGCCCUUUCUCUUCUUAUAAAUACUGGCCCUGGUUUUGCUCUCGAGAAUACCUGCUCCACUUGAUUCCUCUCUCCCCGAUUACGUUUUCAUCGGGACAUUCGUAGUCAUUUCUUCUUCGCCUUCUUCUUUCUCCUUUUCUUCCGUCAAUCAGGUACGAGAUCCGUCUCCGCUUUUUUCAGUUUGAUUCCUUUAAAUUGUCCUAACUUUUAGGCGGUUAUAUGUUAACCCUUUCAGCCAAGGCGCCUUAGCCCCGAACUCGAACGGGCAAUCGAACUCAUGCACUCUGACGAGCCAUUGUCGCAAGAGGACAGGGACUUGAUCAAGGCACACCAUGAAGAACUCAGAGAUCACGUUCCUGCCGACAUCCAACGGAUCUGGGACUUCAUUGACGACAAUGGUUACAGACGACCGCAAGUUGACAGGAGCCACCCACUCCCUCGUCCGGUUGUUCUUGAAAACGCCACAGCGGGGACAUCUCGCCCGGUGUUGGAUUGGAGCCAUCCUCUUCCUCGCCAGGCUAAGGCGGAGGCCGCAAUGAAAGAUGUGGAAGAACGAAGCACCCGCCUUCUGAUAGAAUUAGGUCAGAUUGAGAGGGAACUCAAGAAGAAAUGCAGUUGAGUAUUUUUGUUCUAAGGGCGACUUGUACCGCGUCUGCCGUGUAACUCAUCGUCCGUACCAAAUGACAAAUCGGCCGAUUUGAACGAUUACUUUUCUCCUCUAGGCGAUUUCAUUUUCUGCAUCGGCUACAUGAUUAUCUAGGAAAUAACCGUUCUGUCCUGCCAUGCCUCAUAAUGAUUCUUAUGCAUCGACCCAUAUACUGGGGUAGUAUCUUUUCAAGUACCUCCUGUUCAAUGCCCUAGUAAAUUCUUCCCCUUCGAUUGUCUCCAGAAUGUACGCGUUUCCCGGAGCGCAUCGACCGAUUCUAUACGGCCCUUCCCUAGUGGGAGACCAUUUACCGAAUUUAGGAUCUUUAGAUCCAAUCAGCACCACUAACUUCCAUACCAAAUCCCCUUGGGAGAACUGCUUGACUUUGACCUUCUUGUCAUACCAUCUGGCCACUUUCGUUUUGUUUUCCUCGAUACCGAUCAAGGCUCUCAAACGCUGACCCGCCAAAUUGUCGAGUUCCCUCUUCAUUUGCGAGGAGUAAUCAUCGGCCGUCAGCUGAUCUUGAAGCGACGUACGUCUUGAUCCCGUUCUCAACUCCCAUGGCAUACGGCCUCAUGACCGUACACCAGUUGAUAAGGAGACACCUUGGUAGCCCCAUGGCAGGCCAUCCUGUAUGCUCAUAGAGCUUCGGUUAGACAUAAGUGCCAUUUUUUGGGUUGUUCCUCAAUCUUCCUCUUGAUCAACUUAAUUAUCCCCUUAUUGGAAUAUUCGGCCUGGCCGUUAGCCUGAGCAUAAUACGGGGAGGGAUUUAGCAGCUUGAUCCCCAUAUCGGCCGUGAACUCCUCGAACUCUCCUGAUGUGAACAUCGUCCCUUGAUCGGUUGUGAUAGUCUGAGGGAUGCCGACACGAUAGACAAUAUGGUCCCUUACGAAAUUGACCAUAGCAGCUGACGUUACGGCCUUUAAUGGAAUCGCCUCCACCCAUUUGGUGAAAUAAUCUGUGGCUACCAGAAUGAAUUUAUGUCCUUUACUUGACGGAGGAUAAAUUUGUCCGAUGAUGUCUAUUCCCCAACCUCUGAACGGCCAUGGCUUGAUAAUUGGAUUCAUAGCCGAUGCGGGUGCGCGUUGCACAUUCCCAUAUUUUUGACAGUCCUGGCAUCCUUUAUAAUAUUUGAAACAGUCCUCAAGGAUUGUCGGCCAAUAAUAUCCAUUAUUCCUAAUCAUCCACUUCAUCUUUUGCGCCGAUUGGUGGGCUCCACACACUCCUUCGUGGAUUUCUCAAAUCAGGGUCUUUGCCUCCUCCGUCCCUAGGCAUUUGAGCAGAACACCAUCAAUCGUUCGGUAGAACAAGUCAUUUUCCAGUAACACAUAUUUUGUGGCCUGAAAUCGUAUUCGCCGAUCCACUUUCUUAGACGGGUCUUUUAAAUAAUCGGCGAUCUCUUUUCAUCAGUCGUCGGCCGCGUGUUCUAGAAUCAUGGCGCCUUGAAUCGGCCGAAAUCCGGACGCGUGAUGGGCAAGCCUGUUGGCUUCUUCAUUAUAAUUCCUGGAGAUAUGCUCAAUAACCGCGGAUUUGAAUUCUUUUAGAAGCUGGAGGCAAUCUUCAUAAUAAAUCCUUAAUACGUCAUCCUUGCACUCGGAUCUUCCUGUCAAUUGGUCCACGAUGAGCAUGGAAUCUCCAAAAAUCUCGACGGCGUUGGCCUUAAUCUCUCUUAACAAUUGUAACCCUUUUAGGACGGCCCGGUAUUCUGCCUGGUUAUUGGUGGCGGAUGCUUCUAUCGGCAGAGAGAAAUCAUAACUUGCUCCCCGAGGCGAUAUGAGAACGAUGCCGAUUCCCGAUCCGGCCCCACAUGACGAGCCAUCAAAAUAUAAGGUCCACGGUACUGGUUCCACGACGGUGAUUUCUGGUCUGCAGUGCUAGGCGACGAAAUCGACCAUAACCUGACCUUUGAUGGCUUUUGUCAAUUCGUAUCGUAGAUCAAACUCCAAUAAAGCCAAAAUCCACUUUUCGAUCUGCCCUUUUAAAAUCGGCAAUGACAGCAUGUAUUUCACUACGUCGUCCUUGCAUACGACUACGCAUUCUGCUGAUAAUAAGUAGUGCCUGAGCUUGGUGCAUGAGAAGUAAAGACAUAAGCAUAGCCGCUCUACCGAGGGAUAUCUUGUUUCGGCAUCCAAAAGUCUUCUGCUAACAUAAUAUAUCACCCGUUCCUUUCCUUCAAACUCCUGGAUUAACGCCGACCCGAUAGCUCGCUCAUCGGCCGAUAAAUAUAGCUUGAACGGCUUACCAGUUUGUGGUGGGACCAACAUGGGAGGAGAGACCAAGUACUGCUUGAUGUCUUCUAGUGCCUUGCGUUGCUCUUCUCCCCAUAUGAAUUCUUGGUCGGGUUUUAAUUUUAAUAACGGUGUAAAAGCUUGGACACGUCCGGAUAGGUUGGAUAUGAAUCUUCUGAUGAAAUUGACUUUGCCGAUUAAUGACUGCAACUCGGUUUUAUUCUGUGGGGCUACGACUUUAUUGAUUGCCACUAUAAUCUUCCGGUUGAUCUCUAUCCCACGCUCAUGAACCAUGAAACCCAAGAAUUAUCCGGCGGAUACGCCGAAAGCACAUUUGUUCGGAUUCAUUUUUAACCCAUGCCUUCUCGUGCAUUCCAAUACUUGCCGCAAAUCGGCCAGAUGUUCCUGGUGUCCUUUUGAUUUGACCACAACGUCGUCGAUGUAAAUUUCUACCAGUAUGCCGAUAAGUUUGUGAAAUAUGUAAUUCAUGGCUCGUUGAUAUGUAGCACCGACGUUCUUCAAACCGAAAGUCAUUACCACCCAUUCGAACAAUCCGAGGUGACCUGGGCACCUGAAAGCUGUUUUCGAUAUGUCCUCUUCGGCCAUUACUUUGUGACCCGCGGCGGCGUCUAUUAAUACGUCGGCCGUCGGCAUCGGGUAUCCGUCCAUCGGCGUAGCCUGAUUAAGGUUCCUGAAGUCAAUGCACACGCGUAGUUUUUUGUUCUUCUUAUAUACGGGCAUGAUGUUCGAAAUCCACUCGGCAUAACGGCAUUGCCGAAUAAAUUUCUCUUCAAUCAACCUCGUGAUUUCGGCCUUUAUAUCAGGCAAGAUUUUAGGAUUACAUCGUCGUGCGGGCUGCUGAUAUGGCCGAUAUCCCAGCUUUAUGGGCAGUCGGUGUUCGACAAUGGACCGGUCUAAUCCGGGCAUUUCAUGGUAUUCCCAAGCAAAGUAAUCUUUAAACUCUUUCAAUAAAUUUGUCAAUUUACAUUUGUACUCUGGGUCCAAAUUAGCACUAAUGUACAUCGGCCUCAACUUGGUACCAUCGCCUAAAGCUAUCAUUUCUAGUGAAUCGGCCGACGUGAAUCCGUGCCCCAGCUUCCCGUCUUCUCGGGCGAACUGAUCCAUUUAAUCUGAAUCUUUAGAGCCGACUGCUCGGAUCGGCUGUAGACCAAAAUCGAACACCUUCAGGAAAUUGGUGUCCCACGUCCUCCCGGAUAUGCACUUGACGUGCUUGUAGCUCCAUUGUUGUGUAUCGGUCGCCGCGACACUGUAUGCGGAAUCGGUGGUGACUAUUUCGAUGUUGUCGCCGACCCAUUGUACGAAGCAUUGGUGCAUUGUAGACAGGAUGCAACAAUUUGCAUGUAUCCAAUCUAGGCCGAGUAGCAUGUUGUAGGACCCUUUGCCAUUAAUAAUAAAGAAAGUGGUGGGAAGAGUCUUACUGCCGAUGGUGAGGUCGACGCAAAGCGCGCCGCGGGCAGGAGACACAUUGCCUUCGAAGUCCUUGAGCAUCAUGUCCAUCUUGGUCAAAUCAUCGUUGCUUUUUCCCAACUUCCGAAACAUGGCGUAUGGCAUGAUGUUGACCGCAGCGCCUCCAUCGACUAGUAGCCUGGUGACAAGUCGACCGUUAACAUGUCCUUUGAGGAAUAAUGCCUUGAGGUGCUGUCAUUUUUCGUCCUCGGGUUUCUCGAAUGUGGCUGUCAUUGGCUCCAAAGCCAAUUGCGCCAUCUGUUCCUCUAUCGCCGAUAUGUUAUGUCGGUCGGCCGGAGUCAUGAAUUCCAUCGGCAGAAUGAAAACCAUGCUGACAUCGGCUGCCGAUUCUUGGUUGUCGUCGUCUUCCCUAUCGUUUCUUUUGGGGUGCCAAACUCGAGGCCUGUCGUUUUUCUUGUCCAUCACCUGUUGCUGCUCUUCUUCCUGCUGUUCCCAUUGGCGGAGAUGCUGGAUUCUUUGUUUUUGAGAUUUAGUCAAUCUGUCAGGGCACCACCUGGGGUUUACCGGUUUAUCCGAUGGUUUGGCGCGUUCCCAUUCUGGUUCCCGUCCCAAGGGGUUCUCGUCUGAUACUCGAGCAUCGGCCAUCUCCUUCAGCCGAUUGUGUGCGCUGACUCUAUCUUCUAGUCGGUUGUGUCGAUUGGUCCUGCCCCCCGGCCUGUCAUAUCGCUUGCGCCUGUCAUCCGACCGAUCAUAUUGGUCACUUCUGCCACCCAGCCGAUCACGUACUGAAAGGCACCGAUCUUCUUGCUCGUGCCAGUUUCCGCUGAUCGGCUCUAGCCUUCCAUCUCUGGAGCGAGAUCUUCUGAAUGAAUGAUUGUUGCGAUAUGGGCCGUUGCAUUCUGGGCAAUUGUUGGCCGAUGGCAACCUUAGGUUACUCUCCCAGCAGUGGAUGAACAACGGGCAUCGCCAGUGAUCUUCAUGUCGCCGCAUCAUCUCUUCCCGGAAUCUUGAACUUUCUUGUUGCCGUUGAUAAUUGUUGAGCAAAAAUUGGAAGGUGAUGGGCCUACGUGGCUCUCCCGAUCCUUCGCCUUCAUCCUCUAUCCGUCACUUCCCUUUGACAUCUUCAGACACCGCUUGAUUCCUGGGGUCUAUGGUGCCGGUCUUUUUAGCUGAUUCUGAUGUUAGCACCUUGGUCUGGAGUUAAUUCCUUCCUGUAUCAACCAUGUUGGUGGGGAAGAGAUGCUGAUCGAUUUUCAUCGGCUUUACUGGCUUUGUCGGGACCUUGAACUUGAGCCUACCUUGCUCAAUGGCUGAUUGUAUUUGCUGUCGGAAGAUUUUGCACUCGUUCGUAUCAUGGGAGGUGGCAUUAUGCCACUUGCAAUAUUUCAUCUUCUUUAGCUGUUCAGCUGACGGGAUCGUAUGGUAUGGUGAGAGAUUGAUUUGUCCUUCCUGGAGGAGGAGAUCAAAGAUUUUAUCAGCCUUUGACGUGUCGAAACCGAAUGCCUCUAGCUCCUUUUUCUCGAACGGACAUGAUAUCGGCUUCUUCCCUUUAACCCACUCUGCCAGGCCGAUUUCUAUUUCUUCUUCGGACUCAGCCCCUUCUAAGUACGCCACCUUCUUCUGGAAAUUCCUCCGUGGAUCAAAGGGAUGUACUUCCUGACCGGACAAUCGAUGUACGAUUUGGCUCAGGCUCUCAAAUUCUUGUGAAGCAUAUUUUUCCUUGAUGUGAGGCAGGAGACCUUGGAAGGCUAUAUCGGCCAGCUGUGCAUCGGUUAGGACUAGGGUGUAGUGUUUGUUCCUGACUUCCCUGAACCUCUGCACGUAUGUGGACAACGGCUCAUCACUCCUUUGUCUGAGGCUAGUCAGAUCUGAAAGUUUCAUCUCAUGCACCCCUGCGUAGAAGUACUUGUGGAACUGCUUCUCCAAGUCGGCCCAAGUGACUAUGGAAUUGGGUGGUAGUGUAGUAAACCAUUGGAAGGCCGACCCGGACAGAGAUGAUGAGAAAAGGCGCACCCGUAGAGCAUCUUGUGUAGCUGCCUCCCCACAUUGGAUGAUGAAUCUGUUUACGUGUUCCACAAUUGAGGUAUCAUCAAGCCCCGAAAACUUGGUGAAAUCAGGAACUUUGUACCGAUGGGGAAACGGUAGUAAGUCAUAGGUAGGUGGGUACGGCGUUCUGUAUGUGUAGGUUUGCACCUUCGGCUUUAAACCGAAUUGCUCUUGAAUCACCUCUGCUAUCCGUGCCGUCCAAUCUGCUUGUUGUUGAUGAACUAUAGGCUGGGGGACCGGCACGUGUUGGUAGAUCGGCAGUGGGAUGACAGGGUGGUGGACGAAGGCGUGCGGCGCCUGAGGUGACGCGGCCGGCUGUGUAGUCGGCAUCGGUUGUCUCAGUGAACCAGCCGUUUCAUCAUAUAGUACAAUCGGCGCAGCACCCCGAAGUGCUUCCGUUGUUUCUGCCCCCCUGCCCAUCUCCAGCGUGGUUGGUUGAUACUGUGGAAUCAUCGGCCACACGGCCGAUUGGAAAGGUGCCUGGAUCGGAGAGCUUCCAUAGCUACUCCAACAAUUUUCUAUAAUUUCUAGCUACCACUGCAGAAAUAAAACAAUAAAUGACAUGAUUUCCAACACUUAUAUACAAAUUUCCUGCAAUUUUUCUAUAAUUUCCUACAAUUUCUAGAUAAUUUCUCUACAUAAUUUUCUAGAUAAGAAAAACAUAAUGACGUCACAGCGGCCACGGGGGCUUACAUCACGGCGGCUGCGAGCUUACGUCAGCGUGAGUUUGCAGGGGCGCCACGCGCGCGCAUUGGGGACAGAGCGGCCGACGUUGGGGACGCAGGCCAAGCGGCGCCGGGGGCGCGGACAGCUGGCAAGGCGGCGACAGUGUCGGGGGUGGCACCGUUGGGGCCGGCGCGGCCAGGGCGGCGUUGGGGGUGGCGGCUUCGGGGUCGGGGUGUGGAUAGGAGGCGGCGACAGCGUUGGAGGGGAAGCGAUGCAGGAGACGGCAGCGGCGCAAUGUCGUUGGAGUCGACGGGGGCGGCCGGCGUUGCGGGAGACGGCAGCGUGUGCCAGGCGGCGUCGAGGGCGCGGACAGCCGGCGAAGCGGCGACGGCGUUGGGGGUUGCGGUGUCAGGGCCGGCGCGGCUGGGGUGAUGUUGGGGGCGACAAUGUCGGGGUCGAGGCGCAGACGGGGAGCAGUGACAGCGUCGGAGGGGAAGCGAUGGAGGAGACGGGGGUGGCGUAGCGUCAUCGGAGUCAUUGGAGGCGACGAGGCUGGGGCGGCGCAGCGUCGGAGAGGAUGGGGGCGACAGCUUCGACGGGGGCGAGAGACGGGGGUGCGGGCAUUAGAGGCGACAGGGCAGCGUUGGAGGAGAUCGACAAGGUGGCGGUGGAUCGCGCAGAGGAAGACGAAACGAGUGAAAAUGGCUAAGUGUUGGCCAGGGCUAGCACUGAGUGGCCUAUAACCCCUAUAACCCCCAUCUAGUAUCGGUUCCAAACUACACCCGGUACAAGAGCCCCUCUAGUACCGGGUAUAAACAACAACCGGUACUAGAGGGGGGGGUGUCUAGUACCGGAGGGUCUCCCCGCGCGGCAAAUGAAAAUGCCCCUCUAGUAUCGGUUGUUGUUAAGCACCGGUACUAGAGCGGUUGCAUGACCGUGUUUUCAUUUUUCUUUUAUUUUACAAUUGCUAUUAUAUCAAUUUAUUGCAUAGUAAAUUAAAUAACAUUCAUAAAAAUUGUAACAAAAAUUUGGUAGCUUCAUGCUUAUUAGAUAUAGACUAUAAAAAUGUCAGAUGCGGUCAAAUAUCAAACAUGGUAAAGUUAUUAAUUUUAAUGAUAGGUUGUAAUGGUCAUAAUACUUAUAUUAACUUUAAAUUUCAAAAAAAUAGAUUUUUUGCCAUGCAAAAAUUUAGAAGAAUAGUGACACUGGUGUUUCUUGAAAUGUUUACCAUGACUUAACCAUGUUCUUGUUUAAUUGUACGUAAAUUUAUUGUUUAAUAUUUAGUGGUGCUUAAAAAAUUGAAAUAUUUAAUAUUUUAACCAUGCAAAAAUCAGUUAAAAAAUAUUUUAGCCAGACAAGAAAGUUAAAUAAGACAUGAGAAUUGUAUUUGGAAAAAAAAGAUCUAACCAUUCAUAUUACAUUAAUGCCUUUGUUGAUAACCAAAAACACAACAUAAUUGCUCAAAUACCUUACGCGUCAUCAUCUAAUGGAACGUUAAUAAUCCUCCUCUUGACGAACAUCCCUUGGUUGUGAUCGCGGCGUAAGUAUGGAGCGUCCUCUUUUGCUAAUAGGAUGCUUGGGUCAACCUCAACUGAAAAUGGAGGAAGAUCAUCAAACUGAUCAUAAUCUUCUGAAAUGUCAGUCUUGUACUCAACUCCAACGAUUUUUCUUUUUUCUAGAAGAACAAUGUGGCGCUUGGGCUGAUCAUCUGACCUAUUAGCACCCUUCCUUAUUGGUUUACUUGCCAUGUCUUUCACAUAGAAAACUUGAGUCACGUCAUUGGCUAGGACGAAUGGUUCGUCUAUGUAUCCAAUCUUGUUGAGGUCCACUAUUGUCAUCCCAUAGUUGUCUGUUAUUACGCCUCCUCCAGUAAGUGUCACCCAUUGGCACCGAAAAAAAGGGAUUUUCAAAGUUCCAUAGUCGAGUUCCCAUAUCUCCUCAAUGACACCAUAGUAUCUGUCUUUUUUUCCACUGCUGUCUAUUGCAUCAAUACAGACACCACUAUUUUAGUUUGUGCUCUUUUGUUCUUGGGCUCUGGUGUAAAAUGUGUACCCAUUUAUCUUGUAUCCUUGGAAUGUCGAUACUAACAUAGAUGGACCCCUAGCCAACCAUGCUAGUUGUUCUUCAAUGGUGUCAUCACCCAUCAGUUUACGCCCCAACCAAGUGCCAAAAGUUUCAAUGUGACGACGUGUAAUCCAGGCCUCAAUCUACCCUUGGUUUCAGGACCGUACAUUAGCCAUGUGCUCCUCCAUGUAUGGAGCGACCAGGGAUGAUUUCUGCAAGAUCGUGAAGUGUGCUUCAUGUAAUAUCUCCUCAUCGAUGUCCAACCAAGCGUUUCUCCCUAGUGUGCCCUUUCCCUUCAAUCUCCCCUCAUGGCAUGAUUCAGGGACUCCAAUCGAACUCAGGUCGUCUAUAAAGUCAACACAAAACUCAAUUACCUCCUCUGUUCCAUAUCCAUUUGCGAUUCUUCCUUCCAGAUGGGCACAGUUACGAACAUACCUCUUCAGAAUUGCCAUAAACCUCUCAAAAGGGAACAUAUUGUGUAGAAAUACAGGACCGAGGACAAAAAUCUCUUCAAUAAGGUGGAGUAGAAGGAAGGUCAUGCUAUUAAAGAAGGAAGGUGGGAAUACGAUCUCAAAGCUGACAAGGCAUUGCACCACAUCCUUCUGCAGCUUUAGUAGAUUGUCUAGAUGGAUUGCCUUCAUUGAAAUCACGUUGAGGAAUGCACAUAGCUUCACGAUUGUCAUUCUCACAUUCUCUGUAAGAAUACCCCUCAGUGCAACAGACAGCAAUUGUGUCAUAAGGACAUGGCAGUCAUGGGCCUUUAUAUUUAUGAAUUUCUUGUGUUUCAAAUUUAUUAAUGCCUUUAUAUUCGAGGAGCGAUGGGACCUUGAUACUAUUCAAGCACUCAAACAUGCCUUCCUUCUCUUCCUUACUAAAGUGUAACUGGUAGGAUGCAAGUAAUGCCCAUUAUCUCUCUUUUCCGGAUGUAGGACAUCUCGUUGAUUCAUACGUUUCAGGUCCCGAUGUGCUUCAAUUGUAUCCUUUGCCUUUCCAUAUACACCUAGGAAGCCAAGCACAUUAACGUAGAUAUUUUUCAUCAGGUGCAUCACAUCAAUUGCAUUACGGACCUCAAGGACUUCCCAAUAAGGUAGCUCGCAAAAUAUAGACUUCUUCUUCCACAUGGGUGCAUGUCCAUCCUCGUUGUUCGGAACAGGUUGGCUACAAGAGCCCUUGCCAAAGACUACCCUCACAUCCUUUAUCAUAGAAAAUACAGGAGGCUUCAAUUCUGAAGGGGCUUAGUACCUUUUUCUUCCUUCCCUUCAAAAUGCUUCCCUUUAUUUCUUAGAGGGUGCUUAUCAAGAGGAAAUCGACGAUGGCCCGUAUACAUGACCUUCUUACAGUGCUUCAAAUACAUGCUGCAAGUAUCAUCUAAACAGUGCGUGCAUGCUUAGAAUCCCUUCUUUGACUGUCUAGACAGAUUACCAAACACCGGCCAAUCAUUGAUGGUUACGAACAACAAUGCUCGUAGAUUAAAUGUCUACUUUUUUGUCCCCAUCCCACACAUGUACACCUUCUUCCUUCCAUAACAGUAGAAGUUCAUCAACCAACAGUCUUAGGUAAACAUCAAUGUCGUUGCCAGGUUGUUCUGGGCCUUGGAUAAUUAUAGGCAUCAUAAUGAACUUCCGAUUCAUGCACAACCAUGGCAGAAUGUUGAACAUAAAUAAGGUCACAGGCCAAGUGCUAAGACCACUGCUGAACUCUCCGAAUGGAUUGAAUCCAUCCGUACUUAAACCAAAAUGUAUGUUCCUUGCAUCAUUUUCAAACUCGGAGCAUAGACUAUCAACUGUUCUCCACUGGGACCGAUAAGUGGGAUGUCUGAUCAUUUCAUCUUGCUUACGUUCUUCUUUGUGCCAACGCAUCAACUUUGCAUGUGCCUUGUUCCUGAAUAAGCGCUUCAACCGUGGUACUAUAGAGAAAUACCACAUUACCUUCGUAGGAACUUUCUUCUUGAUGGCCUCCCCCUCAACAUCACCGGGGUCAUCUUGCCUGAUCUUAUAACGCAGCACUUUGCACACAGGACAAGUCUCCAAUUUCUCGUAUUCCUAACCCCGAUAGAGGAUACAGUCAUUAGGACAUGCAUGUAUCUUUUGGACCUCCAAACACAGUGGGCAGACAACAUUUUUUGCUUCCUACGUUGAGGAUGGCAAUUCGUUCCCCUCAGGAAGCAUGUUCUUUAUGAUUUUCGUUAACUUAUCAAAACUCUUGUAAGAAACUCCAUUUCUUGCCUUCCAUUGCAGCAUUUCCAGUGUGGUACCCAAAUUUUUUUGCCCUUGUUUGCAAUCUGGGUACAACAAUUUCUUAUGAUCAUCUAACAUACGCUCGAACAGUUUUGACUCCUUCACAUUCUCACAGUCUUCCUUUGCAUCUCGCAAUACUUGACCUAGCUCAUCGAGAGGACCUUCUGCCUCGCCCAUCUCUUCUUCGACCUCGCCCAUUGGAGCAUCCGCAAAGACACUUCCUUGAAUCCAGUCAGAAUGUUGUCAUUUUCUUCUUCUUCAUCAUCAUCCAUCAUAACUCCUCCUUCCCUGUGCUUGAUCCAAACCAAAUAGUUUGCCAUGAAUCUAGAACUGUAUAUGUGGGCGUGAAUAGUCUUGCUAUAUGAGUAAUCCUUCUCAUUUUUGCAAUUUCUGCAUGGACAACAAAUAAAAUUGGACGGUGGUUUGUUGGAUUCUGCUUGAUCAAGAAAACCACGCAAGCCAUUAAUGUACUCCUUGGAACGUUUGUCCACGUUGUACAUCUGUUGCCUAUCCAUCUACAAAAUAUUACACAUGGAUUGGUUUUUGAACUAUAAGAAAAUGAGUUGAAAUACUAAUCUAAUUUUUCUAAGUAUAUACACAUGGAUUGGUUUUUGAAGUUGGCUAUCCAUGUACCAAUGGAGGAUGAAGUUUCUAACCUUUAGAACACUUGAAUGAUUGCAAUCCCCAAGAAAUGGUCACAAAUCUGGUAGCACCUCUCCUAUGGUGCUAUGGAUAGGGUGAAGCUUGAGCUGUGAAAAUUGUAGUAAAAAUGUUGAAUAGCUAGAGAAUAUAGAAAAAUUCUUUAAUUAGCGAGAAAUAAACAUUAUUUAUUUAGCUCAUAUUUGCAACUGACUAAACUAUGAAAAAAUUCUAUAUUUCCCACAUAAUUUACUUACCUCAAACAUAACAUAUAAAUGAAAAAUUUCUCCAUUGUAGCUUAUUCUAAAAAUGACUAAUUACGUACCUCUAUUUGAAAAGUACUAAACUAUAAAAUUAUUCCUCUAACCUCAUAUCAAUUUAUUUGACUAGUACGAAUCAUGGCAUCCAAAAUUUUGUAGCUUAUUCUACAAAUCACAAAUAUAAGCCCUAAAUGACACAUUCAUAUAAAUGAAAUUUUUUUCCGUUGUACCUUAUUCUAAAAAUCACAAAAUACUCUAGCUCUUAAGCAUAAAACUUAGUAUACUAAACAUGUAUCAAGGGAGGAUGAAGUUUAGAACACUUGAAUAAGUGAAAUCCCCUAAAUAACACAUUCAUAUAAAUGAAAAUUUUCCCCAUUGUACCUUAUUCUAAAAAUCAUAAAAUACCCUAGCCCUUAAGCAUAAAACUUAGUAUACUAACCAUGUAUCAAGGGAGGAUGAAGUUUAGAACACUUGAAUGAGUGAAAUUCCCUAAAUAACACAUUCAUAUAAAUGAAAAAAUUUCCCAUUGUACCUUAUUCUAAUAUUCACAAAUUACUCUAGCUCUAAAGGAUAAAACUUAGUGUACUAACCAUGUAUCAAGGGAGGAUGAAGUUUCUAACCUUUAGAACACUUGAGUGAAUGAAAUCCCCAAGAAAUGGUCACAAAUCUGGCAAAACCUCCCCCAAUGGAACCAUGGACAGGGUGAAGCUCGAGCUGGAGGAUCUGGCUCGGGCUGGAGGAAGAAGGAGGGUAUUUAUAGAAAGGAAAUUACUACUGGUUGGGGUCACCACAUGGUACUAACGGGGUGCCCUCUAGUACCGGUUGGUGCCUCGAACUGGUACUAGAAGGGGGUUCCACACUAGUACCAGUUGGUGGAAGCAACCGGUACUAGAGGGUUCCCCCUUUAGUACCGGUUGAUGUCAACAACUGGUACUAGAGGGUGGGUGGAGCAUUAGUACCGGAUGGUGGCUGCAACCGGUUGGUGGCUGCAACCGGUAUAAUGCUCACUCUUUAGUACCGGUUGUUGUCCCCAACCGGUACUAAAGGGGUCCUAGCAGGGCGCUCCAGGCCCCUUUGGAACCAGUACUAAUGUUAGCAUUAGUACCGGUUUCAAAUGCAACCGGUACUGAGGCUAGGGAUGAGAGAUCAAUUUUCUAGUAGUGUUCUCUUUUUGGGGGCUCCUAUCUGGCUUCCACAAGCCAGAUAGGAGCCAUGGCUUAGAGCCCAUUAAAAUCCAUCGCACAGCCCAUCAAGCCACCAUAGCUCAGCAAUCACUUCAUUGCCCUAUUGCACGCACCCAGUAUAUAUCUUGGUCUCCCAGGACAGCAACAGCUAGAGGUAGCAACCAUGAUUCUGAAAAUGGAUCAAAUAAGGAUGAAAUUGACAUUGAUGAGUGAUACUAUAGAACAGAUCGGCACAGUCUACCUCAUAGAUAAGCCUGUCAAGAGUUGGAUUGGGGAGGUCCGAAAGGUGGCUUACCAUGUUGAAGAUGUCAUAGACAAAUACUCAUAUCAUAUUCUUCAGAUAGAGGAAGAAGGGUUCCUGAUGAAGUACUUCAUCAAGGGUACCCAUUAUGUCAAAGUUUUCAGUGACAUUCCGUAGGUUGAUGCUUACCAUGAGUCUAGUUUUAGUUGUGUACCUCUGAUCCAUGUCGCAAAAAGAUUGUAAGGUGUUGUGUUAGAAUGUUCGUGGGCUUAAUGCGGCCGCUAGGAGAGCAAGUGUAUGAAGCAUGGUUCAUUCAUCCGGAGCAACGAUAGUAUGUCUGCAAGAGACUAAAAUAGCACACUGGACAUCUAAACUCGUGGCAGAGACCUUGGGAAAUAAUUUUGCAAAGAACUUUGUUGUGUUAGCAACCAUUGGCACAAGAGGAGGCAUUCUGAUAGCGGCAAUAGUGAACCAUUUCGAUGUGCACAACAUCCACACCACCGAUCACACAGUAUCCACAACAAUCACUAUGAAAGCAGACAACAAAUAUUGGACACUCACAUGCGUCUAUGGCCCUCAGGAUGACCACGACAAGCUACUUUUUCUAGAGGAACUGAAGAGCCUACAAGGACAAGUACUCACGGAAUGGGUCAUAGUUGGUGAUUUUAACCUUAUAUAUAAGGCAGAGGACAAAAGUAACAAUAGGCUCAAUAGAAACUUGAUGAACCAUUUCAAGCAGGAAAUUGACGAGAACCAACUAAUGAAAUCAACCUCCAUGGAUGGCGUUUCACCUGGAGCAACGAACAAGAUCACCCAAUGUUCACAAGGAUAGACUGGUUCUUCGGUACAGCAGAAUGGCAUCUUUUCUUCCCAAAUCUUGACUUGCAAGCCUUGCUAACCAUGGGCUCAGAUCACUUCCCAUUAUUUUUGACAGGAGAUGUAGAGAGACAAAACUAUGAGGGCUUUCGCUUUGAAUCUUAUUGGGUGAACAUGCCAGGUUUCUUAGAGAUUAUACAAGAAGUAUGGAGCCAGUCAGUGCAUACUCAAAAUGCCAUACUACAUAUGCAUGUCAAACUCAUUCACACAACAAAGGCGCUUAAAUUGUGGAAGAGAUAGAACCUGGGCAAUCUAGCCCUUCGAUUGGCAAUAGCCAACGAGGUGCUGCCUUUCUUGGAUGCAACUAAAGAACAAAGAGCUCUUACAACAGAGGAAUUAGAAUUUCGAUGAUAUCUAAAAGCGAAAUCGGUGGGCUUAGCUGCGGUUCAGAGAGCCUGUGCAAGACAACACUCCCGGCUCACAUGGAUACGUAAAGGAGACGCAUGCACACGCCUGUUUAUGCUGCAUGCUAACAACAGAAGAAGAAAGCUACACAUCCCGUCCUUAACCACCGUAAAUGGAACAAUGACCAACAACCACCACCAAAAAGAAGAAACAAUAUACAAUCACUUCCUAAAUCUGUUGGGAAUAACACAAGAGAGAUCCCUCAGCCUAAACUGGACAAAUCUCGGAUAUCAACCACAUGACCUGACCGACCUGGAAGCACCAUUUGAGGCGGAAGAAAUAAAAAAGGUCAUCAUGCACUUACCAGCAGAAAAUCACCUGGCCCGGAUGAAUUUAUUGGUCUAUUCUAUAAGAAGUGUUGGGACGUGAUCGGAGAGGAUUUGAUUCAAGCUCUCCAUACCUUCCACUCUCUUAGGACUAGGCGUAUGGAGUUGAUUAACAAGGCCAAUAUCAUUUUGCUGCCAAAGAAAGAAGGAGCGACCAUGGUUGCAGAUUUCCAGCCUAUAAGUCUCAUUAACAGUCUAGCCAAGAUCAUAACAAAGGUGCUAGGAGAUAGGUUGCCUCCGAGAUUGAAUGAACUAGUUUCCGAAUGUCAGAACACCUUCAUAAAAAAAAUAUGCAUUCAUGACAACUUCGUCUAUGUACAGAGUGUGAUCAAGGCCAUGCAUAAAUCAAGGAGACCGGCACGUAAUCUUUGUAAAACUCGAUAUCUCUAAAGCUUUUGACUCGCUUAGUUGGGUAUUUCUCAUCGAAGCAUUACAGGCCCUAGGUUUUGGCCAAAAAUGGAGAGAUUGGAUCACAAUGCUAUUAGCCACCUCAUCAUCCAAGGUGCUACUUAACGGGAGACCCGGGAAAAAAUUCAAGCAUGCUAGAGGCCUCCGUCAAUAAGAUCCACUAUCACCCAUGUUGUUCAUCCUCACCAUUGAACCACUCCAUAAAACUGGUGGAAUUGGCAGCUAGCAACAACAUCAUAAGACCAAUCCUCCCUAGAGUGGCAAAGCUACGGUGCUCCCUUUAUGUAGACGACGCAGAUAUUUUCGCAAACCUGGACAGAACGUAUUGGACAAUUGUUACAUAUCUUUGGAGAAUGUUCAGGACUCAAGAUAAAUAUGACUAAAAUGGAAAUAUUCCCUAUCCGGUGUACCAACGAAACCAUUUCAGAAGCUCUAGAGGACUUCCUGGGAAAAAAAUUUCAUCCUUCCCUGGAAAAUAUUUGGGUUUGCCUCUUCACACGCGCAAACUCAGAAGGGUGGACGUCCAACCAUUAAUUGACAAGAUCGGUGGAAGGCUCCCUGGAUGGAAAGGUAAAAGUUUAUCAUCGGUUGGGAGAGAAACACUGGUGAAGAGUGUGUUAACAUCAUAACCAAUAUAUCACCUCACAGUUUUCCCUACUAAAAAAUGGCUAAUCAAAUAGAUUGAUCACCUGCGUUUCCUUUGCAAAGGAGAGGAACCAGCAAAGGUCAAUGGAGGACACUGCUUGAUUAAAUGGCCAACAGUGUACACGCCUAAGGACAUGGGAGGGCUUGGGAUCCUCUACCUCGAGAGACUUGCGAGGGCUCUAAGAAUGCGAUGGUGCUGGUUCCAUGGGAAGUAUAGCAAGAGACCUUGGGUAGGGCUUGAUAUCCCGUGCAAUAAGAAUGACAAAGGCCUCUUCUAUGCGUCAACAGUAGUAAUGGUGGGCAAUGGAAAGAAAGCAAACUUCUGGCAUUCGACAUUUGGCACCACUCUUGUUCCAACGAUCUAAAAGGAAAAACUUCUCUGUACAACGGGCCCUACAAGAUAACUACUGGAUUGCGCAGGUUUACCCACUCGUGAUGGGGAAGGAAAUUAGAGAGUAUGUGCAGCUGUUUGAGAAAAUAAAUAUGCUACAGCGUGACCCUAAUGCCAAAGAUAAAAUAUCAUGGAGAUGGAUGAAGGACGGGGAGUAUAAGACAAAGAGUGCAUACCGCAUACAAUUCCAAGGCCAACUGAAGAAGUUGAGUAUCACCCCAAUUUGGAAAGCUAGAACUGAACCAAAAUGCCGGAUCUUUGCCUGGCUUCUCCCGCAUAGGAAAAUCUUAACGGCGGGCAACUUGGAAAAGCGGGGGUGGCCUAAUGACCCUUAGUGCAAGCUAUGCAACUUGAACUUGGAGACACCCACACACCUGUGCAAGAACUACCCUUACACAACGGCAGUCUGGGAUCAGCUGCAGGGAUGGUUUUCUCUUAACCACUUACCCCCAAGCAACACAUCGCCUUCGAUCCACAAGUGGUGGAAGAAAUGCAGAAGCAUGAUCGACAAACGGAACAAAAAUUUCUUUGACGGCCUCAUCAUAUAUUUCUGGUGGAACAUUUGGAAAGAGCGCAACAGACGAGUUUUUAAUCAUGAAACCAAACCGGUGGUGGAUGACGUCGUGUUCUCUAUCAAAGAAGGCAUCCAACAGUUCCAGUUGGCCAAUAAAACGCACGAAGCCCCGUGGAGGAGCCAACUUAGCAACAAUUUUGUCUUUUGAAGUGGGGUCUUUCUCUCAUUGAAGUGGAUCUGGCAGUUGUUGUUCUUUUCUCCUUUCCCUCUUGGGAGUUCUGUUUAGUUGGUGCAGUGAGAGCCAUGUACAUAGAGUUUUUUUUUUGUUUUUCUAUCUUAUUUGGUUUUUACCUCUUCUAAUAAAAAUUCGGAAAAGCUUUUGCCGUACGUCCAAAAAAAAUAUUGCUGAUGAAGUAGCUAUGGUAGAACAGGACAUUCAACAAGUUAACUGAUGAAGGAUCAGUGGUUUCAGCAUUCCCAGCUUGUUCCUGACAAACUUGCCAUGAUUGAAAGGCAGCAGUCCCAAGAUGGUUUCCCAGAUUUUGUCAAAGAUGAAGAUCUAGUAGGAAUUGAAAAAAAUAGAAAAUUGCUGUCUGGAUGGCUGUACUCGGAUGAGCUGGAUAGCACCGUGAUAACAGUUUCGGGUAUGGAUGGGUUGGGAAAAUCUACCCUGGUAACAAAUCUUCAUGAACGUGAAAAGGUCAACUUCCCUGUGCAUGCUUGGAUUGUUGUCACAGAUCUGCUCGGCAGACGCUCUGUUGAGAAAGCUACUCUGGAAGAUUGGGAACAUGGUACCACCAGUACCAUCAGAAAUUGACAAAAUGGAUGUACACGACUUGAAGGCAGAAAUAAAGAAAAAACUCCAAAAUAGAAAAUGUUUGAUUGUAUUAGAUGAUGUAUGGGAGCAAGAGGUAUACUUCAAAAUACAUGAUGCUUUCCAGAAUCACCAAGCAAGUCGUAUUAUCAUUACUACACGAAAGGAUCAUGUUGGAGCCAUCGCUUUGUUGGACCACCACCUUCAGCUAGAACCAUUGGAUGGCCCUGAUGCAUUUGACCUUUUCUGCAGAAGGGCUUUUCACAACAAGGAGGACCACAAAUGCCCCAAGGAGUUUGAGGAAAUUGCUACAUCUAUAGUGGAUAGGUGUCAUGGCCUGCCGCUGGCAAUUGUUACAAUAGGCCGCUGGCAAUUGUUACAAUUGACCACGAAAAUACAUUAUUUGGAAUCAAACAUAUAAUCAACUAAGGAGUGAGUUGUCAACAAAUGAUCAUGUCCGAGCAAUAUUAAACCUAAGCUAUCAUGAUCUAUCUUUAGGCCUCAGAAAUUGCUUUUUGUAUUGUAGCUUGCUCCCUGAAGACUACCCCAUGUCACGAGAAAGCCUCGUGCGGCUGUGGGUUGCAGAAGGCUUUGUUCUGAGCAGAGAAAAGAAUACACCAGAGGAGGUGGCUGAGGGAAAUCUCAUGGAACUGAUUCACCGCAAUAUGCUUGAAGUUGUGGACUAUGAUGAGCUCGGAAGGGUUAGCACUUGCAAGAUGCAUGGUAUUAUGCGGGAUCUGGCACUCUCCGUUGCCAAAGAAGAAAAGUUUGGUUCUGCAAAUGAUUAUGAAGCAAUAAUACUUUCGCCGGUUGUCAUUAUGUAGGUGGAAAGUUAAUACUUCACUUAAGGUUAAAUUUCCACGUCUUAGAAGCCUUGUAGCUCAUGGAAUGAUUUCGUCCACCCCUGAUUUGUUAUCCUCAAUUUUAUCUGAAUCAAAGAACUUGACUGUUCUAGAGCUGCAAGAUUCUAAUAUCACCGAGGUGCCCACAUUUAUAGGGAAUCUCUUUAAUCUGCGGUACAUUGGGUUAAGGCGCACCAAUGUCAAGUCACUCCCAGAGUCAAUUGAGAAGCUCUUCAAUCUCCACACUCUGGACAUCAAGCAAACCCAAAUAGAGAAGCUACCACUAGGUAUUGUUAAGGUUAAGAAGUUGAGGCACCUUUUGGCUGACAGGUUCGCUGACGAAAAGCAGUCAGAUUUCAGAUAUUUUAUCGGAGUCGAAUCACCUAAAGGGCUGUCGAACCUGGAAGAACUGCAGACUCUAGAGACAGUGCAAGUGAGCAAAGACUUGGCUGAGCAGCUGAAGAAACUGAUGCAGCUCAGAAGCAUAUGGAUAGACAAUGUAAGUGCUUCUGAUUGUGAAAACCUUUUUGCGACCCUAUCGACGAUGCCACUUCUUUCCAGCCUGCUUAUCUCUGCAAGAGAUGUGAAUGAGACACUUUGCCUCCAAGCCCUUGAUCCGAUUUCCACAAAGCUCCACAGGUUAAUUGUAAGGGGCCAGUGGGCUUCUGGGACACUGAAGUAUCCGAUAUUUCGCAAUCAUGGGGAACAUCUCAAAUAUUUAGCGUUAAGCUGGUGUCAGCUUGGAGAAGAUCCACUGAGUGUGCUCGCUCCACACGUGCCAAAUCUCACCUAUUUAAGUCUUAACAGGGUGAAUAGUGCAAGCAUGUCACACCCGAUUUUAAGGACAAAAUCGAGUGCAUUAAAUACAUGUGCGCCAGGAUCAAGUUACACACAUGUACGACAAUAGUGAAUAUCAAAGACAGUGUUAAAUCGAAUAAAGAGAGUAUUAACCAUUAUUACAUGACCGAAAGUCUCACAUAAACCACAAAGUCUAAUUAUUACGCAGCGGAACUCCAAAGACGAUGACGACUCCACAGGCAGCCGACUGAAGAAACGUACGCCUAGAACUCCUCGAAGUCGGGGUAGUACUCCUCUUCCCAAUUAACUGGGUCUGAACAGCGGUUUUGCAAGGGUGAGUACACUUAUGGUUGGUACUCAACAAGUCGUGGGGAAUAGUGUAGUGUAAGGCUAAUUCAAGGUAUGGCUAAGGCAUAAAUAGCAUUCGCUUUUAAUUAAGUUGGUCAAGUUUUAUUAGCAAUUAACUAAGUAUAAGUUCAUACCACCCGAAAUUAAACAUGAACAAAAAGUAAGCAACAAAUGCAUGAAAUGAUCACAAGUUUAAUCCAUCUUUCGAUAAUAUUAUCAUGUGAGGGUCCAGGCCGCUCUUAACCGUGAGCACGGCUGAUCGAUUAGUUUAACACUCUGCAGAGGUGGCACAUCUUUACCCACAAGUCGCGUAAAAGUUCAAAAGAACUUUGGACCCAACCAUGCGAUGCUAGCUAGGCACCAUACCACACUUCCGAGGUGUGAUUGCAUAGGGACGCUACGAGGCCUUUACAAAGAUUCGCUAGCAAUGUGGUAACCCGCUAAGGUUUCAGGUCGAAGCGAAACAUAGCAGUCCCCUAGAGGGCAUAGUGUCUUAGCCAAGCCCACUUCCCAAGAGAGCGAGUGCUAUAUCCCAUCAACGCCUCCCCUCUUGCCCUUCCGGUAAGGUAACCCCACGCUAGAGUUUCUAAUUAAUCAGCCAAGACCAGAGCCAUUUAGUCUUGUGGUAGCACUGUUUUCCUGGGUGGUUCUCCAUGUUCCGAUUAACAAAUAAUGAUCUUGUCUUAAUGAAAGGUAUAACAGAAGUAAAGCAAGAUUAAGCAUUGUGUGUAGUUAAACCACCAUGUACCAAGUAAGCACUAAGCAUGAGCUACCCAACAUAAAGUAAACCGGUUGGUCAAGGCAAAGGUAAAUCAAUCUAGGCGAACCUUAAUUGGGACCCAUCAAUUUAAUCUUAAUAUGUGCAUAGCGUAAAUGUUAAGUACGAGAAAGUAAAGGUGUAUAGGACAACAAGAUAGUGAUCAAGGACACGACUUGCCUUCUUGGCCUUGCUCCUGCUGUUCGUACUCUUCGAAGGCUUGAUCGGCAACUCCCUCGAACUGCGGGGCGUCUACACGCGUCACACGAGCACAUACAAGCAAACAUAGGCAAAAGUAAGAAAACAGUACACCAAACAUAGUUAAACAGAGAAAAUAAGCUUGAAAAGAUGAUCUACGCUUUAAAACGAACACGUGGAUAUAAAGAACGCGAAAAACGGAGUUAAGAUGCAAAAGAUAUGAUUAAAACAAGAUCCAGGGACCUUUCUGUAAGAAAAACAAAACUUUUAGGGCCUAUCCGCGAAAACCGAGGGCUUAUACGUAAUUAUGCGUAUAAACCGAGGGUCUGACGCGUAAAAACAACAAACCCGGACGGCGGGUUGAUUUCUGGAAAGCUCAAGGGUUAAACCGAAAAAGGCGAGGGCAGAUCUGUAAAUAUUUUCAACGCGAUCUGGACCGCGGGUUGAUUCGCGGGUUGAUCUGGACGCGAUCUGUAAAUAUUUUCAACGCGAUCGGAUCGAGAUCGGACGGCCACGGUCGUCCACGACUCGCGACGGCGGCGGGGAAACAGAGCGGCGGCGGCGGCGAGCGGCGGCGCGCGGCGGCGAGCGGCGGCGGGUCGCCGGAGUUGGCCGAAACGGCGCUCCGGGGCACUAUUUGAAGCGCGGGUUGCACCAGAAGAAAGAGGAGGGUGCGGCGAUCCCGUUUUGGGGGGGUUCUCGUCGUCGGGAGCUCACCGGAGGCGGCGGGCGACGGCGAGGAAGAGGCGGCGGCGCUAGGAGCUCGAGCGGCUAGGGUUUCGGGUGCUGCGGCGCUGGCGUUUGGGCGGAGGAGACCGGGAGGAGGCGGCGGCUUUUAUAGGGCUUGGAGAUAGAGGCCCCGGGGGUUUAAACCCCUCCGAAGGAGGCGGAGCGGAGGGAGUUCGCGGCGGAGACGGCGCGCGGCGGUUGCGGGAGGAGUUCGGCCGGAGGUGGGAGACGGUGGUGGGCCCCACCUGUCGGCGGCCGCGGGCGAAGGCGGGCUGGCGCGGUUGCGCGGGCCGGCGCGCGCGCUCGUGGGCCACGAGGCGGGGGUGAGCGGCAGGCCGGGGUGAAGCGGUGGGCCGGCGCUUCGCGGGCCGCGGAGGAAACGCGAGCGGGCGAGCUGCGGAGCAGGCCGAGCGGAGGCGGAGCUGGGCCGCGGAGAAAAGGAGGAGGGGGCGACGCGGCGGGGAGCUGGGCCGCGCGGGAGAAAAAGAAAGAGGAGGCCGGCGGAGCUGUUGCGGGCCGGUGGUGAUGGUGCGGCUGGGCCGAAGGAAGAAAAAGAAAGAGGAGGGAAGGAAGUUUCGGCCCAGGAGAAAAAGAAGGAGAAAGAAAAAGAAAGAGAAAAAGAAAAGGGGUUUUGGAAUUUGAAUUCAAAUUUGGAAAUUCAAAAUUCAAACUUUGAUUCAAACUCAAGCAACCAAAAAUUAUGCUCCAGCAUGAAUGCACAAAUAAUUCCUAUGAUGAAUUAAUUGAAUUAAAGAAAAUGGAAUUAAAUGCCUAAAAUUUAAAUAACACCUUAAUUUGAGCAAAUUUUAAUGAGUUUGAAUUAUAGAAAUUUUAGGUGUUACAAAUCCUACCGUUCUUUCUGCUGGGUGUUUUCCUCACCUGAAGACGCUCGUCUUGAAGCGAAUGCCGGAUGUCAAGCAGAUGGAAAUCGGAGAUGGUGCUCUUCCACGUAUUGAAGGUCUUUACAUUGUGUCCCUAGCACAACUGGAUAAGGUUCCUCAAGGCAUCGAGUUGCUUCUUUCUCUGAAGAGGCUUUGGCUGCUGUACCUGCACGAUGAGUUUAAAACUCUGUGGCAAACGAGUGGGAUGCACCAGAAGAUGCAGCACGUUCCAGAGAUUCGUAUCUAGGACAACUAGAUGGUAAAUUCUCCAGUGGUAUGCUUGUAUGAUGUGUCUGCUCAGAACUGUGUUUGUUGGGCACUUUAUCCCUUUUUAUUCCAAUAAGCCAUGAAUUCUUCCUUUUGAUUUUUUUUUUAUUGUACAUUGAAACACCCAUGUAUGUGCUGUGUGUUGGUUCAGUUGCUUUAGAAACACUACUUUUGUUCAAGAACACUUCCCUUCUGUAUUUAACUUUUGUAAAUGAUGUUAUGAUCAACAGAUUUUGUGCAUGUGAGGUGCAUAAUAUGUGAACUUACAAACCAGCAGAAUAUUCAUAAUUUCAGGGCGUUUACUUUAUUUAUAUGCUACUAAAUUGAACAGUGCUCUUCACUUUGCCACUAACUUUUUGCUUUUCAUUUUUUAUGCUGUUAUUCCAGAUGGUGCUUCUAGAAAGUUCAAUUUCUCGUAAUUCUCAGUCAAUUUUCCAUUAGCACCCAAAAAUACUGAAAAAUCCUUCAGAAAAAGCUUGAAAAAAUGUAGAAAAUUAUUUUGAACUAAGAAAAAUAGUGAAAGCCUGAAAGGUACUCACCCCACACACACGCACACCCCAAACGAUUAAAGAAAGUCGUAAACUCUUAAUCACUGAAAAAAUAUUUUCUAAAACAAUAUGUGCAGAGAAAACUAUCCUACAAAUUUACUUUUUGUUGAAAUGUGUACGUUUCGAUCUUUACCAGCUCUUAUGGAAAAUCCUUUUUAAAGGAUUUCUACUAUAUUGUUUUUCUUCAAAGAUGAUAUAAAAAACUUUGUUUAAAUCACUAGUAGAGAACUGGCCUUUAGUCCUGGUUGGUAGGAUGUAUAUCUCCCGAAAAUCCAUCCGGGAUAAACUAACCGGGACAAAAGGGGGGGCCUUUAGUCCCGGGUCCUUCAACCGGGAGUAAAGGUCACCCUUUAGUCCCGGUUGGUGUCACCAACCGGGACUAAAGGGCCUGCCACGUCAGGCGCCGGACAGACCCUUUAUUCCCGGUUGGUAAAAGCAACCGGGAGUAAAGGGUGCCCCUUUAGUCCCGGUUGGGUUUCCCAACCGAGACUAAAUGGCAUCCUGCAUGGCGCCCUGCAUGGCACCUGAAAUUUUCAUGCAUCACGUACGUAGUACCGCGGUCCUUUUGUUAACCUUUAGUAGUUGAGAUUUUUUUAUAAUGAAAUCAACUAGUAUUUAAAUGAAUGAAAUUUGUAAUUAUACAAUUACUAUAUAUAUACACAAUUCAUAUACACAAUUCAACUAGUACAAAUCGAUCUUAGCGUGUAUUAUAUAUACAAAUCAAACUAUAUAUCUACAAUCUUGAUCCCAUCGAGGUGUUGCUCGGAACGUCUAAUUGUCGUCCAUUGUAAUAAAAUUCUCCUUUUGGAUUUACUACCUCGUCCAUUAGGAAUCCAAUGAGACCUUUACAUAUUGCCGCUACUCUUUCUUUCUUCAAGAGUCCUUGUUGAAUAUUUAACAUCUAUAAUUUGAAAAUUUAUGAAUGUCACAUGAACAAUUAAAUAUAAGGAGCUAGAAAAUAAUUAACUAGUAAUAGUUUUAUUUUACGUACUUUAAAGUUGUGCCACGUCAUCUUUAGUCCCUUGGGUCCCAGAAAACUGUGCAUGUGCUCACAGAUGUAGUAGCCACAUAGAUUAUUCCUGGGUUCCUAUCUUAAGCACUUCAGUGCGGAAAAAAAUAAGUUAUGAAAUAUUCGUGUUAUACAAUAUACUAAAUGUGCAGACUUCAUACGUACCGGGAAGUCUGUGUUCCAUGUAAGUUUUUCUUUGAAUGGACCUUUGUGUGUCCUUAUGAAUUGUUUCCAUGCGCUGCGGAUUAGAAUAAUGAAUGAUAUAGUGUAACAGGGAUAAAAUUUAGGAAACAAACUUUUGCAUAGAGAUAAAGGUCCAGAAUUAUUACAAGCCUAGCAUGUCUUGCAUGUCUUGGUACUCCGUCGGAUCUUUCCUUAAUGUAUUGAAGACAGUGACGUGGCUUCUUUCAUGCUCAAUUAUAAUAAGGAUCCAGUGGAAGCUGCGUACGUAAAAUGUUCAUGUAUAUUAGAGCUAACUAACAUUAAUCAGGUAAGGAAAAAGACAACGAAAGUAGACGGUAUACACACACUUACUUGAAGUUGUAUGGAAGUAGUAUGAAAUCCUUGAAUUUUUGUUUGUCCAGGAAAUUGUAUACUUCCACCAAAGUUUUUUCCAGCGAUAAUUGUAUCUGUUUUUGGUUAACUACGGAUGGAUCCAUGAAGCCAAUAUGUAGGUACACCUCUCAUCGGCAUGUCUGAAUUAGCAUCCUACAUAAAAUGGAAGACGAAGUUAGUAUGGUGACGCACACAAAAAAAUACUGAUAUGAGCCAAAAUUUGCAUGUAGAGAUAAACGGACACUUACAGAACCCAGGCGCUGACCAGAGAGACGUCCAGGACAUCAUGAUGGUACACUUCGUAUAUAUCCUGGAAGUCUAGCUACAGAAAUUUCUCGCCUUCGCCGUAAAAAUCUAUCGGUUUACCUUAAGGUCCAAUAUCUCCCUCGAGUCGGCGGACACCUUUAUGUACCAUUCAUGGAAUUCGUACAUCUUUGUUGAUAGCUUCCGUACCAACUCAGGCCUUACUAGAGAUUUGCCUAGCUCAUAAGUCCAUCUCGGCUCAGGAAGCGGUGCAGCUGGCGGCUCAACUUGCCCUAAACAUUCAUCAAGUCCCAGACCUGUUUCUUGCAUGAAUUUCAAUACUUCUACUUGUUGAUCCAAGGGCAUUGCUGCUACCCUUUGAGCGUCUUUUUUGAUAAAUGCUCGAGGUUGGGGACAACACCACUGGAAGAUGACUUUCCUUUCCUUUUGUCCCUUUCAUCAGCCUUUACUAAAGCUCGUUCGUAGUUUGAUAAGAGUGGUAUCCUUUUCUUGGCUCCUUCUUCCAUCCUGAUAAAAAAGUUUAAAUCUCUUCAAUUUACUGGUGGUGGCUCCAUCUCCCUUGCUUUUUUUCUUCAGCUUGUUUCUUGAACCACGCACUGGCAUCUGCUUGGAUUUCUGCCCACUAUUCUGCAUGACUCAUUGCCUCCCAGCGUUCCUUACGAGUCACUUCAGGCUCCUUUGUUUUCUUCUUUCUCUCUCUUUGCUUGGGAGGCGGUGCUUGUGACUUCUUUAGUGGUGCUACAAGUUCCUUCAUCGGGGCUGCUCUUGAUCCCGGCAACGGUGAUCGGGGAGGGGUGUUGUUAUUGUCGUCGUCGCUCCCACCACCGGGAUGUUGUGGAGAUGGAGACCUUGAUAGAGUAGGAAGCAACGGUCCUGGAGCAAGUUGUGCAGGAGAUGACGGUCUCGAGCUAUGAGGAGAAGGUCGCUGCUGGGGAUCUACGGGGAGCGGUCUUGAGCUCUGAGGAGAUAGCUCCGUGCCGGGAAUGAUGAUGUAGCGUUUGCACCAUAGGAUGAUCCCAUGAAGUGCUUCUACCAGUGUUCUUUCCCUGUCGCCUCCCGGGAGGUCGAUCUCUAGGCCUUCAUAUUGGCUAUCAACAAGUUGAUUUAUGCGGACGCAAGCAUAGCUAGGUGGAAUCUCCAUGCCAUGACUGCUCUGCCCUGCCAGGGUUGGUAACGCACUUCCGUAUGCUACCUGUACAUAUAGCAGAAGUAAACAAAUUAUUAAACUCCGAUCACGAGGCGUGGAUCAAUUGACAAGAUUGCAUAAAUAUUAUGUAUAAGUAUACCUUAAUAGUGAGGUUGCCGACCAGUGUAUGCAGCUCACAUGUGGUGCGUUGUGUGAUGGCAUCCACAGGGAACUGUUGCUCCUCCACGGGUAACCUGGGCGUUUGCGCAUCGGGGACCCCUGUAGAAGCACAACUGCUCAGGAGGCGUUGAGAAGGGCUGGCGCGGUUUGGAUUCAGCAAUGCUCCAGAUUGGGCCAACUCCGCAACUGCAUGAGCCACUCGAUGAUUGAUUUCCUUCAAAAUUCUUUCUUCUUUGUGCCUGCACUUUGGAUUCUAGCAUCUGCCGCUAGCUCUCCUCAAUCUGUUCCUUUCUUCGCUUGCGGCUUCUGUACGAUGCGAUGUCGCCUCGGAAAGCAAACUUCCACGGAAUGACCCCGAACCCUCGGCAACGUCCUGGGUGCUCAGGAUUAGCGAGGGCCAAUGUGAGCUCAUCAUUCUCUCGGUCCACCUUCAACCUCCUAGCCUUAGAAUCUUCAAUGUUCUUCAUAAGACGUUCGACCUUUUCACGUAUUGUCUCAUUGAAUAUCAACGUCCCAUCAUCUUGGCUCAAGUAGCCUCCAUGAGCGUAACACCAAUUUUUCGAUCGUUCGAGCCAUUCAAUAGUUGCAGGUACGAUUCCCCGUUCGAUCAGAUCUUGUUCCAUCUUCUUCCAUUUAGGAAUUGCUAUGCCAUAACCAGCUCGCCCUAGAUGAUGAUGGUACGCCUUCUGACUAGAAUUUGUAGUGUUGCUCAGGAUCUUUUUCACACCGUCUUCACUCUUCUUAUAUUCAACAAAUGCCUCCCAGUGGUCCCUCAACUUUGGCCACACAUUGAAGUCUGGAGUUCGGCCCUUCUUAAUGUAGUUGGCAUCCAGCAUCUUCUUGAACGUUUUGAAUUGUGUAGCCAUCUUCUUCAGCGUUCACGCUUUCACAUCCUUUUCAAUAUAACAUUCGGGAAAUGUGAAAUGUCUCUUGACAUCUUUUUCCCACAUCAUAUUAUUUUGUGUCUCCAGGAGCGCGUACGGAUUAGUGCUUUUGCCCUUCCAUUCUCUGAUGCUGAUAGGCACGUUGUUCCUUACUAUUGCCCCAAUCUGACUCACGUACUUGUUUGUUACUUUCUCGGGAGCAACCGGCCUGCCCUCUUCUGUCACUUCCGUGAUGACAAGCCUCCCUUCCAUCACCUUUGUACGACCUCGGGUCUUCUGCCCUUGCGUCGAUCCAAAGAGCUAACAGUUCAAGAUUCGUUAAUUAGUACGUACUAUUAACGGUGGUGUCAAACAAUACAAAUUAUAUACCUCGCUGUAACCUUCCGCCAUGGCAAGGUGUUGCUGGGGCUCAUGCUCUUCAUUCUCAUCACCGGACAUGUUGAGGAACAUGUCCGCCUGGGUACCCUCUUCAUUGGUUUACGAUAUUGGAAGGUUGUCACCACUACCAUCACCAGCGAUUAUCUGCUCCAUGAGAUACCUUGCGGUCUCGUCGUCUGCCAUUUCAACUACUGAUUGAAACAUACAUAGAAUCAUACAUGACACUCAUGAAUCAUAGAAAUCGCCUUAGUUGCAUGUACGUAAGGGUAUAUACAUGAAAUCAUAAAAUAACAUGAAUCCCACAAAGCUCGAAAUAUUUAUACAAAUUUCAACAAAUUAGUAGUACUUUGUAAGAAUUUCUACCAAAUUUCUACUAAUUUAUACAUAUUUAUUGAAAUUUCUAGCAAAUUACUACUAAUUCCUACUAAUUUUACAAUAACAUGAAACCCACAAAGUCCGGAAUGUUUAUACAAAUUUCAACAAAUUAGUAGUACUUUGUAAGACUUUCUACCAAAUUUCUAUUAAUUUAUACAUAUUUAUUGGAAUUUCUGGCAAAUUAUUACUAAUUCCUACUAAUUUGAAUGAAUUUCUACAAAAUUUAUCAACUGAUUUUCUAGCUAAUCUACAAAUAUCUAUUGAAUUUCUAACUAAUCUACUAAUUUCUAUUCAUUUUCUAACUAAAAAAAUAAAAAAGGCCCUUGCUGACGCAAGCCGGUGGGCUUGCGUCAGCAAGAGCUGUUCGUUCCCGACGCCAGUGCCGGCGGACCUCGCGUGGUCGACGGUGCCUAGCUUGGGCGACGAGGUGGCCGAGGCAGCGGGACGGCGGCGUGUGGGGCAGCGGUAUGGCGGAGGCGGGGACGGAGCGAGGUGGCCGCAACAACGAUGGGCGGAGGCGGCCGGCGACGAGGGACGGAGGCAGCACGCACGACAGAGGCAGUGACGAGGAGGCCCCGCGACGAACGAGGGUGCAGCAGUGAUAGAGGAGGUGGCGUUGACGGAGGCGGUGACUCGGACGGAGGCGGCGAUGAGGCCCCACGAUUGAGGCGGUCGGCGGCGACGAGGUUGAGGGGGCGCGACGGAGGAGGAUCAGAGGCGGUCCGGGACGAUGGAGGAGGAGGCGGUCCGGGCGUGGGUGAGGCGGUCGGCUAGCGGGACGACGAUGGCUGGGGCAAUGGGGGACAACGAUGGCGGCGGCAGGCGAGGGAGGCGGACGGGCAGCGACGGAGCAGGCGAGAGGGCGCGGGAUCUUGGCGGUGGUGUGAAAAUUUAGCUAAGUGUAACUGGCGUGGGGGCUAGAAGAGGAUACAGUGUCUUUUAUCCCCCCCUUUAUCUUGGUUCUCAAUUGCUCCCGGGACUAAAGGCCCUUUUGUCCCGGGUGCUAACACCAACCGGGACAAAAGGGCCCCCUUUUAUCCCGGUUGCUAAUUGUAACUGGGAUAAAAUGGUAUGUCCCAGGCGGGAAUCGAAAGCGACCCUUUUAUCCCGGUUGCAGUUGUCCACUGGGAUAAAAGGGGGGCCUUUUGUCCCGGUUUCUAUUGGCACCCGGGAUAAAAGGGACUUUUCCCACAAUUUCAUCUCCCGCCUAUUAUUUGCAAAAUGAUUUUAUUUAUAUUUUCACUGCAUUUCAAGAUGCAGCAACAAAAAACUUCACAUAUUUUGAACAUGCAAAAAUAUAUUUAAUUAGGAGUAUAUUGACAAUAAGUGUGAUUUAGUCAUUAAUUCUAUAUCAGUUCGUUUAGCCUCUAAAAUAGUUAUUUUACUGCAACGCUAUGAUCAAGAAAUUAUUCAAUUAAAUAAUUUCAACGUGCAAAAAAAUCCAUGUAUGUAUGUGGUUAACAUUAUUCAUGUUUAUCUAAUAAAUCUUCACCUCAACAAAUUUAAUAACACAUGAAAUCAUAUAUAGGUUAAAUUAAAAAUUGUAUCAAGUACUACACAAAGGUCAUGUAAAUUUAGUGCAUUACAAUACAACGUUGUAAAAUUUCUUCUUCACGAAAGUUCCUUGAUUAUGAUCGCGGCAUAAGUAUGGAGCCUCUUCUUUGAAUAGCAGGAUGCUUGGGUCAACCUCAACUGCGAAUGGAGGCAUGCCAUCAAACUGAUCAUAAUCAUCUGAUUGGUCUGUUUUAUCCUCGACUCCCAUGUUUUUUCUUUUACCUGGAAGAACUAUGUGGCACUUUGGCUCCCAUGUCUCUUCUGGAUUUCUCUUGGGUUUGCUACACAUGUCCUUCACAUAGAAAACCUGAUGCACAUCAUUGGCAAGAACGAAUGGGUCAUCACUAUAUCCAGUCUUGCUCAGAUCUACUAUUAUCAUUCCGUACUGAUCUUUAGUUACGACAGUUAGCUUCACCCAAUUGCAAAGAAAUAAAGGGAUGUACAACAGUCCGUAUUCGAGUUCUCAUACCUCCUGUAUGAAACCAUAAUACGACUCCUUACUAUUAUUUCUAUCUAUGGCAUCUAUGCGGACACCACUAUUCUGGUUCAUGCUUUUCUGGUCCUGGGCUCUCGUGUAAAAUGUAUAACCAUUUAUCCCAUAGCCUUGGAAUUUUACGAUUGUGGUAGCAGGUCCCAUGGCUAACCAAGCGAGCUGUGGGUGAAUCUCAGAGUUACCCAUAAGUUGUUGGCGCAACCAGGAGGGAAAAGUUUCCAUGUGAUGACGUGUAAGCCAAGCAUCGGAUUUCGUCGGGUUUUUGGAAACUACCAUCUGCCUGUGCUGCUCGAUAUACGGAGACACAAAGGAUAACUGUUGUAGAAUAGUCUAAUAUUUCAUGUUGAACAAAUCAGUAUGAUUGCUCAAACUUGAUUUCCUUCCAAGGGUACCCAUUCCCCGGAGCCUCCCCUCGUGGCGUGAAGUUGGAACCUCAAUCGAGUCAAUUGACUCAAUAAAAUCAACACAAAACUCGAUCACCCCCUCUGUUCCAUAUCCCUGGGCGAUGCUUCCUUCUGGACGGGCACGAUUAAGAAUAUAGUUUUUUAGGACUGCCAUUAACCUCUCGAAAGGCCACAUAUUGUGCAAGUAUACAGGUCUGAGAAUACCAAUCUCUUUUACUAGGUGAACCAGUAAGUGCGCCAUAAUAUUGAAGAAGGAUGGUGGAAAUACCAACUCAAAACUGACAAGACAUUGCACCACAUCGUUCUGUAGCUUUGAUAGCUUGGAUGGAUCGAUUGCCUUCUGCAAAAUCGUAUUGAGAAACGUGCAUAGCUUUACGAGCGGCAACCGGACAUUGUUCGGUAGAACACCCCUCAGUGCAAUCGGAAGAAACUGGGUCAUCAACAUGUGGCAGUCAUGGGUCUUGAGAUUUGUAAACUUCUUUUGUUUCAUAUUUAUUAUUCCCUUUAUAUUCGAGGAGUACCCAGACGGGACCUUCAUACUAUUCAAGCAUUCAAACAUGGUAUCCUUCUCUUCCUUGCUGAGAGUGUAACUGGCGGGAUGUAAGUAGUGUUGUCCAUUAUCUCUCUUUUCCGGAUGUAGGUCAUCUCGUUGCCCCAUGGCUUUCAGGUCCUGUCGUGUUUCCAAUGUAUCUUUUGAGGUCCCAUAAACACCCAUGAAGCCUAGCAAGUUCAUGCAAAGAUUCUUCAUCAGGUGCAUCACGUCUAUUGCGUUGCGAACCUCUAGGAUUUCCCAAUAAGGUAGCUCCUAAAAUAUUGACCUUUUCUUCCACAUGGGUGCACGUUCGUUAUCGUCGUUUGGAACAGGUUGGCUACCAUGAACCUUUCCAAAGACUCCAUUUACAUCCUUUAUCAUCUCGAAGACACGCUUUCCAUUACGGUGUGCAGGUUUUUUACGAUGGUCUGGCGCCCCUUUGAAAUGCAUCCCGCUCUUUCUCGGCUGGUGGUGAGCAGGGAGAAAUCGACGAUGACCCAUAUAGACGACCUUAUUACAGUGCUUCAAAUACAUGCUGUCUGUGUCGUCUAAACAGUGGGUGCAGACCUGAUAUCCCUUAUUUGUCUGUUCCGAAAGGUUACUCAGUGCAGGCCAAUCAUUGAUGGUUACAAACAACAAUGCUCGUAGAUUAAAGAUCUCUUGUCUAUCCUCAUCCCACACACGUAUACCUUCUUCCUUCCAGAGCUAUAAAAGGUCAUCUACCAACGGUCUUAGGUACACGUCAAUGUCAUUGCUGGGUUGUUUUGGGCCUUGAAUAAGCGCCGGCAUCAUAAUGAACCUCCACUUCAUGCACAGCCAGGGAGGAAGGUUGAACAUACAUAGGGUCACAGGCCAAGUACUAUGGUCACUACUCAACUCACCGAAUGGAUUGAAUCCAUUAGUACUUAAACCAAACCUUAUGUUUCUUGCUUCACUUUCAAAGUCUGGGAAUGCUCUAUCAAUUGAUCUCCACUGGGCCCCAUCUGCGGGUGUCUCAGCAUCUCAUCUUCCAUACGUUCUUCUUUGUGCCAUCGCAUCAACUUAGCAUUCACCUUGUUCCUAAACAAGCGCUUCAAGCGUGGUAUUAUAGAGAAAUACCACAUCACCUUCACGCAAACUCUCUUAUUGGGAGACUGCCCCUCGACAUCACCAGGAUCAUCUCGCCUGAUCUUAUACCGCAGCGCUUCGUAGAUGGGACAAGCAUCCAUUUUCUCGUAUUCAUCACCACGAUAGAGGAUACAGUCGUUAGGGCAUGCGUGUAUCUUAUGAACAUCCAAUCCGAGAGGGCAAAUAAUAUGUUUAGCUUCAUAUAUUGUGGACGGUAAUUCAUUAUUCUUGGAAAAAAUCUUCUUGACAAUGUUCAACAUCCCCUAAAAUGUCUUAUCAGACACACCAUUUUUUGCCUUCCAUUGCACAAAUUAUAGUGUCGUACCUAGUUUUUUAUGGCCCUGCUGGCAAUCUGGGUACAACAAUUUUUGGUAAUCAUCUAUCAUGUGCUGCAACUUUGCUGCUUCCUUCUCAGUUUCGCAAUAUCUGUGUGCAUCUCGUAGCACCUGAUUAAGGUCAUCAGUAGGGCCAUUUUCUGCAAACUCAUCUUCAUCAGCCUCGCCCAUUGUAGUAUCUGCAAAAGCUUGGCUUGCAACCCAGUCCGGAAUGUUGUCAUCUUCCUCCUCCUCCUCGCUGUCUUCCAUUACAACCCCUCGUUCACUGUGCUUGGUCCAAACCAAAUAGUUAGGCAUGAAACCGUAUCCAAACAAGUGGCUGUGAAUAGUCUCCCAGGAAUCCUUUGAAUACUACUUCUUGUUAUUGCAUUGGAAGCAUGGACAACAUACGAACCCAUUCUCUGGCUUGUUCGCUUUGACCACUUCGAGAAAAUAAUGCAAGCCAUCAAUAAACACCUUGCUCCGCCUGUCUGCAUUAUACAUUGUAGUGCAAAUAAUGCUAAAAAUUUAGAUAUAGAUAGAAAUACACAUAUUUAAAUUAAAGAUCCAAACAACAUGAUACAAUACAACAAGCCAUCCACUAGUUAUUAUCUAGGAGGACUUUAAGCAUCCUUGGGUGGUGAAGACGAAGGCGCUGACCUAGCCUCAUCCUGUGGUUUAUUUGUGCCGCCUGAAACGGUAGUACUAAGUGGAUGUGAAACACCCGGGACUGAGGGUGGAGCAUAACGAUCACCAAAAGGAGGUUCCUGACCCACGGCAACAGCUUCUUCAUGACGUUUCUGCAAAUAACGAAGCAUUGCUUUUUCCAACGCGCUCAUUUUCUUCGACUUAUGCUGAGGGCCAACUAUGAUUUUCCCCUUCCCGAAAGAGGAACGAUGAUCGCCCCCACCAUCGCCACUUCCUCCAGUAGCAGAAGCCAUCUAUGUACAUAAAUUCUUACCUUAGCAUUGCAGAAGUUGUUGAACUUGAAGAUCGUGAUCAUGUCGCGAGCAUGUCCUCAACUGGGCAGCACCGCACUUCGUUAUGAAAGAGGUUCGAUUCUACGGAAAAGGGGACCUAGUCACGAUGUCUGUAUCCACUCUUUCUCAUAGAAUCGAACCUCCUUCUUGACAUACGUUGUUGCUCGGCGGAGAACAACCUCGCCGAGAUGAACACGGUUUGCAAGUUCAACAAGUGGAUUUGAAAAACUAUAUUGAAUUUGAUAAGAUAAACCGUCUAGACAAGGUAGCAUCAUUCUUAAACCACUGCAAGAAUACAUACUAUAUAUGACACAUCAAUCUCCCUCACAUUCUAGCUCAAAAUACCUCUCCAUUUUCUACUUCAUCACAUUCUAGAAAAUAAAUUUUCCAUCUCCAAAGCAUAAAUCAAAGCGUACACGAGGAUGAAGUAGUAAACCUUCACAACACCUGUGUUGGCUGAGUGAAAUUCCCACGAAAAUGAGGGAAAAAAAUUCGGACAGCACCUCCCUUGCUUCGGCACCACCGGAGAGUAGGUGAAGCUCAGCUCUCUGUCUAUGUGGUGGACUGGCUCGGGGUGGAGGAGGAAGAAAGGCCUCUGUCUUGGUAUAUAAUGGGGAUGAGUUUUUAUCCCGGUUAAAAACUCCAACCGAGACAAAACGGAACACCUUUUGUCCCGAUUGAAAGUUUAGUCCCGGUUGGAGGCUCCAACCGGGAUAAAAGGGUCACGCCAACGACACCCCAGAACUAGCCGUUACAACCGGGACUAAAGGGGGGCCUUUAAUCCCAGUUGCAGAUACCAACCGGGAGUAAAUCUCCCCUCCAUUUUUGCCUACCGUGGCGCACCCCCUUUUGUCCCGGGCCAACUUUAAACCGGGACAAAAGGGGGUGCAUCGAAAGUCAGUUCUCUACUAGUGAAUGGUCCUGGAUUUUUUCAUGCUCUUUUUUUAUAUUUCCCAUGAUAUUUCCUGAGCUUUCUGUGAUUUUUAGCACAUUCUUUUACGUAUUUUUAGAGACCAUGUAGAUGAGCUUUCGCAAUAGAAUCAAAGUUGUGAUAGCAUGUUUAUUACUUGCAUUCUAAGGAAAUAGUGCCAUGAAUAAAUGAGAUGUGCUAACUUAAAAUGGCCAAGUUAAGAGCAUUGUUUGAGUUAAUGUUAUAAAGAAAAUGAUCUCGUAGAAAAAUAAAACAUUUGGGCACUAAUACACAUACUUUAUAAAAAAUAAGUUCCUUUAGGAAACUAAAGGUUAUUACAAAUGAACUUCCUUUUGGUAGAUUUAUUCAUCAAUAAAGACAUUAUGUAAAUCACAAUCAAUUAAGACUUUACAAAAACAGUUGGAAGACCUUUCUACGAGUUGUCUUCCUUUUUGUUUUUGCUUAUAAAAGAUGAUAGGUUGUUAGGGGAACUCACAUAAUAAUAUUUACAUGACGCCAAAUAUCUAAGCCGUUCGAUUGAGCGUUUUGGGUGCAAUCAGAUGAGAUCCCACAUUGUAAGGGACUACAUUGAUCCUCUUCUGAUCAAGACGCCCUCGAGAGCUCCGAUCCGCCGUGGCCCCUGCCUUUGUCCCGAUGAUGGCUCCACCGCCGCCGGCCGGAAACUCUGGCGCUGUACGUCCUGGUGGUGCCGAGCCGAGGCGAUCGACUGCAGGGAUCUGGAACGGCAAGCGGCCAAGCCUACCUCGUCGCGCCGCCGCCGCUGCCCGCUGGAGUCGAUGAAACCCAUGGUUGAAGAGCGGGAAGGCGAGGUCCUACUACUCGACCGGCCGACCCCUCCCACCACUGAACUUUGGUUUGGAUAGAACUCAGGUGAUCGCCCACUUCCAUCUCCCCUGUGUAUUCCUUUUGCAUUUGUUCCAAUCAAACACUAUUAUUGAACUGAAACCAUCUCCCAAACGAACUGAACAAAUCUUCUAAGAAAUCCGUUGACGUACCAGCAAAACAACGGUGCAUUUGCAUUCCAUUACCCGUCAUUCCGUUGUGUGUAUGAAGUAAUAAUCCGUAGCAGACCUCAGGUUUCCGAAUGUCAUAUGUUCAUGGACAUCUUGGAUAGCAUAAUUAUGAAACGAACUAUGUUCACUUCAAUACAGAUUCUAAAUGGGGGGAAACAUGUAGACAUGCAGAAAGGUGCAGGAAAGACUCCUGGUUUACUAGAAAAUGAUACAACACUUGCAACCAAUGAGUUGCAAUGAGGCUAUGACUGAAUUCAAAUACGAUGGAAAAAGUAUUGUAGCUAUAACUCAAGAGUGGAGUAAUUUAGACAAUGGAAUGAUAAGAUACUUCAAUGAUCAUUAAGGAAGGAAAUUUUAUGACUUGAGAUUGACCGCCUUGAAAUAUUCUUCACAGUAGUCUGGCGAACCAAAUUAUGUAGUAUUUCUACCAACUGACAAGAAUCCUCCACUGAAUGCUUCACCUUUUGCUGCAAAAAGAAAGGGCAUCAUAAACCAUGGCGACCUAUCUUUGGGUAGAGGUACGUGGAGCAAUUUUAAAUUUUUAUUUUCACUUAUCUGUAAUUUGCAGUUAUUGCCUCGUGCUAAGAAAUUCAGGUAGCUGCAAAAAUUUACUAAUUUUAGAGUUAGUGUUAGAGUUUUAUUUGUUUCUGUAAAGGUGAGGCCGAUAUCCCUAAAGGUACAAAAACUUUAUGAUAAAUGAAUUGCACGAAUCCUUUGGGAAGUUGGGCAUAGUUGGUCACAUAAUAUUGCAAGCACUAAAUGUGUGCACUUUGCAGCCCUCUGGCUGGUUGGUAUCUGCAUGUGGCAUGCUACGAAAGUACCUCUGACAUCUGAACAGAGCAAAUUGGAGCUAAGUACCGUAAAAUAGGUACGUCGAUAGAUGUAUAUGAGAGAACUGACCCGAUUAACUUUGCAAAAGAUAGUAUAUUAGAUAUUUCUGGAGGGAAAUUGGCUGCACAUGAGAAUAAAAAGAGAAGGGAAAGAAAGCUGACCGUCAUGCUCCCACAAGGAUCAGAAUCCUUAUAAAGUCAUGCAUGUAUGAAAUGAAGAACUACGAAGCCACUCGGCCAUUGUUAGCAAUGGAUGAACCAGUUAAAGCGGCACAAAUCACUUGCUGUCCCAUAUUAUUGAAAGCAGAAUCUGUUUCGUCAUGUGGCAUUUGGGUGUGAGUCUCCUGUACCUGUUCCUCUGACAGAACAGAACGAUCUACAAUCUCAUUCUCAGUUUCCCCUGCUGCAGUGGAAUCUCCAUCAUGAUCUACCUUAGGUGGUAUAGCCCUUUUGAGGACAACUAUUGGCCUGUUGGGAUGUUCCUUAGCCGCCCUCACCCAGUUUGCUUUAGUACCAUCAGUGACUCUACAAUCAAGCAUUAUUUCGCUCAGUCGUGUGAAACCUUUGAUCUGGAUUCCACAGAGGCCAUUCAUAUCUUUACAGAGCAGCUGAAGAGAUUUAAGAAAUGGCAAAGCACCUUCUUCGACCUUUGGAAAUGUUGGACGCUGCAGCACAAAACAUAGGCCAAGCAGCCUUGGCAAUCCCUUGUUGUUAAUGUGGAUCUCUUCAAGUUCAUCUGCAAUCAGCUUAAGGUACUGCAGAUGCGUCAAAUUGGUCAAAGCUGUGAGAAGAUCAGCUGUCAUUUUAGUUGAUUGAAGGUGCAGCUCCCUGAGUCGGCGCAGUGCCGUGACAAACCCAGGAAGUUCUAGUAACCUGCCCUGUAAUUUCAGUGACCUAAGAUAGCAGGGAGCCUUUAAAUCUUUCAAAAAGUCCUCAGAGCAUCCAUCAAAAUAGAGCGAAAAUGAACGAGGGUCAUUGCUUGCAUCCUUUUCAUCAUGAAUGAACUCUUGUAUGGCCUUCUGAAGAGUAGUCAAUCUAGUACUAGUCGCAGAUGACUCACACCAGAUCUGUAAUACUGUUAUGAUGGAGAGAAAUGCGACGGGCAUGGUUAGGUUGGAGCUAUCCCCUCCAUCAAACAAAGUAAUGAAGUUUUCACAGAGAGACUUGAGCGUAAUGAACUCGUGCAUCAUGCCAUAAGUUUUGCAAGUUUUCACUUUGGUAUUGAUGCUUACAUUAAUGGGUUGGAUGAUGUUCUGAUUCAUUAGCUUCUCAAAAUUUUCAGCAGCUGGAUCAUUGCAUAAAUUUGUUGGCUGCAGAAAUCCCUCAGCUAUCCAUUGGCUCUUUAUCUUUUUCGCCCUGACUGGAUGAUCACUAGGGAACAUAGCAAAAUAUAGAAAGCAUGCUUUGAGGGCAUGGCUUGGAAGGCUGGCAUAGUCAUGGGUCAACACCUGAUGCAUCCUGUCCAAGGUAUCGUCACCGCUCUGCAGAUCAUAGAAACGAGCCUUGUUGCACACAUCCUCGCAGUCUUGUCCUGUCGGCCAACUCUUUUUUUGCAUAAAAUGGGCGACAGUAGUCAGAGCAAGUGGUUGAUCAUCACAUUUAUUUAAAAUUGCUGCUGAAUCAGGCUGCAAGUAAUCUGAAUAUUCCCCUGGACAAGCAUUUCUCAGAAACAAUUGCUUUGAGUGUUUCUCAUCAAGUCUUCUCAUUUUGUGUAUGUAACCGUGGGUUGAGCUGCAGGUAUUGGCUACUGACUGGAUUUUUGUUGUCACCACUAUUCUACUGCUAACAUCUCGAGGGAAGGCAGGCUUUACAAUACUCCAUUGAUCUGACCUCAUGCCAUCAAUUACGAUGAAGUACCUGGAAUAUUUAGAAAUGAGGAUAUAAAAGUUAUCAAAGAGUUAUUCUGCAACAACAGCAAACUAAUGGGUCAAGGAAGAAAGAACAGUUUUCUUAUUGGACUGCAUUGAGCAUCACAUAUAUAACAUAUAUAUAAUUUCUGUAGUUUAAAGGAAUAACUGAUGUUUACUGAUAUAUGCUUUCAAAGAAUAACAUACAUAUGCUUUAAGUAGUGACAUAUUCACACGUGGAGUAUACAAUAUGGCCCAAAUUAGCAACUGAUUUAUAGGGAGCACGUGAUCCCUUUAGUUUUCUUAGCUAUUUCAGAACUUUCUUUCGGCUUAUCAUUCACCCAGUAUAGGGAGCACAUAUUUCUACAUAUCACUUCCCAAAGAGAAGUCUCCUUUUCUUUUCUCCUUAUACUACAAGUCUCAGACAUUAGAUUCAAAGUGUUUGUAGGUAGUUCAACUGAGUGCAUGAAUCUUUUCUGAAUCCUCAACAUAUUCUGUACGAGAAACUAUCUGAAUCUUUCAUUUCUCAAAGCCGAUGUCUUUCCUGACUAUCUAUGUUUGCCAUUUACGGAAAGAAUUUCAUUUCGAUGAUAACAUUCAGUAAUCAGACCAAUGAGUAGAGUACUAUUUUCAUUUUGCUAGAGGAUGGUAGACAGUUUCUACCUCUUGUUAUUCAGGAAGUUGCAAAGAUCAGCACUAAGCUGGUUGACAUUGGAGGUAACCAGAUCUGGCUUGUUCAGUUGACGGAGUAUCUCACUUAAGAGCUCCCCUGGAUCCCCAUGCGUCCCAGAAACCCGUGCCCUUUCCUCAAACUGCUUGCCAAUCUCGCUGUUGUACAACUCCCGGGCAAGGAUGGUCUUCCCCAAUCCAGAGAACCCAACUACGGAGAUCACCCUCAGCUGCUUAGGUUGACCCUCGGCUUCCGCCAACUGCUCCAGAAGCUCCUCCAGGGGAGCAUCGAUGGCAACCAGAUCAUCAGGAAGGACAUGCUGAUCCCAGGAUGAUUGUGCCAGCUGGGAUGAGGAUGAAUGGGACACUGAAUACCUCUGCUGCCGCUGGAGUGCUUCCUCCAGUCUGUACCUAAGGUGCUGCAUCUCUUCGCCUAACUGGGAGCGUGAUUUUCUCUUUCUCCCAGAUUUUCCUAACAGUACCAUGGUUGCUGAUCCGAAAACGCAUCAUACAUGAUGUGGUAUAUGCAAUCCUCCAUUUCAUAAGCUACAUGACGCAAUUCUUCAACCGAUAAACGCAGUAUGUGAUCAUCCUGCCCCAAGAGCUGCCCGUCAAUGGCACUGGUGAUUAUGGGAAGCUCUCUCAUCAGGAAAGUCACAUCUCCUUCAAAGCCCUUGUACAGCUUGUAUUUCUCCUCCACCAGCGAGAACAAUCUCGACACGAGGUUGUCUACAAAUGCACUCAACAGGCCAGGGUCCUCCAUCGAUCACAAUGGUUGUUAGCUAGGCACUGACGGUUCCUACUUCCUAGUGAGGAGAUAAAGUGCUUCCUGUCUUGCAAUGUAACAAUGGGGUGGAUAAAACAGACAUGGAGCACAUGGACCUUAAGGAGCAUCUUGUAGCAGGGGAGGAGACCACAUCUGGCUUUUCAUCUGACAGUAAAUUGCAGUUGUUAGCAGCACUUUUUACAUUAAAUAUAUCAUAAGUAUGAAGCCAUAUUAAAUUAGUACUAAGUCCAGCACAGAAAUGCAAUGGUUAUAUGUACAAAAACUGAUAUUCACACUGUAACCACUGAUAUUCACACUGUGCCGAUGCUUAUUACAGUCCUUCUUGGGAAGCUUCGUUCUUUGUUGGUCUCUCCUGUUAGAUUGAUCUCCUCCCCAAUGGGCCCAAAGGUCCAUCGGGACCCUGAUCCGCGCCCUGAUCGGGGGCGCUCACCCUAGCAUUGGGUGGUGGGCUCCUGUCGUGCUGCGCUAUAUAAACAGGGUGGGGGACCCGGCUCGGCUCACGAGGUUCGCCGCAGCCAGCCACCCCACCGACACACCUACCGAUCUAGGUUUUGCGCAGUAGCGGCGGGAAGUACCACCGCCACCUCACCGGCGACCGGACUCGGCACUGCGCGUCGCUGCCUUGCGCAGACUUCCCCAAGCGAACCAGCGAUGGCCAGCAGCUCUGCUGCUCCCACCCCUAGGGGUGAAGGUACCCCUAUCUCUCUCACUCCCUCUCGGCACACACCAGAAAUACCAUGUCCCUCAUGUUGUUUAUGAUCCCGACUAGAUAUGCAUCUAGAGUAGGCACGAGUCUAACAAUGCUAUCAGACACCUCACUAGAAGCUUUUCUAGAUCGGGAAAAAGAAGUAGAUCCAAAAGAAACAGAAAAAGUAAAACCCUAACCCUAACCCUAGAUCUAAAGAAUGAAAGCGGCGGCUUACCUGUCGCUGACUUCACCGCCGCACGUCCACCGACGGCGAGCGGCAAAGGCCGGCCGAGCCUCGGGCUCGCCGAGGAAAAGCUCCACCCGAGCCGCCGAAGCAUCCGCUCGGGACUCAGGGGGGGUGCAACAGCACCACCAAAGGACCGCUCGACGGCGGCGCGCCCAACCCUUGCGGUGGACGCGCACACCGGCGAGGGGACCCGUGGUGGCGCCGGCCCUCCUCCAUGGUCACCAUGGCCUUCUGGAUCUCGGUUUUCGGGAGACUCGGAGGGAGAAAGGGGGGAGGCAAGAAAGUAAAAGAGAGGGAGGGGGGCUGCCGCGGCCGUGCGCCGGCAGGGCCAUCCCUCAACCGCCGCCGCCGGCCAUCGCCGGGCGCAGGAGAGAUAGCCCCGCCGCCGCCGCCGCUACGGUGGGAUGUCGCGGGGAAAAGAAUAGACUAAGCUAGGGUUUUCCGGGGGAGCGGCCGUCGGAGAUUUUGAUCCGCUAAAAAUGCCGCUGGACCGUCGGAUUUGACGGACGGCCGAGAUUGUCCGGGCCAGAUUUGGCCCAAGCGGGUAAGAAGUGCAGGCCGUUUUGGCGGCCCAGGCUCAGGGUGCGGCCUGCGAGUGCACGAUCAGAGCCGGUCGGGCCUCAAGCCUGCGAUGGGCCGUGCGAACCGCGGCUGCUAGGCCAAAGGCCAGCAGGCCGCGCUCACGACCGGCCGCGUCGCGUGAGCGGGCCGAGCGCGGGAACGGGCUGUGGGCCGUUUUUCGCGGCUAGGCCAAAAAGCGAGUUUUGCACAGUAACGCUUGAUAAUUAGUUUUUUCUAUUUCCAGAAGCAUUUAAUUGAUGUUUUUUGCAUAGUUUUGGUCUCUAAUCUAAUUUGAACCAACGAGAUAAUUUGUAUUAGAGAUUAAUAAAGUUUACACAGUGUUUUUGCUUCUGAAAAUAGUUUUAUUCCACAGUUUUCCGCUGAAAAAAUAAAAAUUUAUUGCUCUAUUUAAAUUUAAUUUGAACCAACUAGACAAUUAAAUUUGUGAGAGCAUAAUAAAGUUAAUUAGAUUAUGGUGCUGUUAUUUUCUGACCAACGUUGUUAAUAACUGUAUCAUGAUUUAGGGAGUUUUUGAUGCUUUUAUUUCUAUUUCUGCCCAACGGUGAUAUAGUUUUAAAUUGCAUAAACAGUUGUAUGUUUUAUUUUUUGACCAACGUUGGAAAUAAAUCAUGCAAUUGUUGUUAUGAUCUUAUUUUGGAUUGCAAAUUUCAGGAUCAUUCAACUUAAUGGCUUGUCUCAAAGAGAUACCCAUUCUGAAAGGAAACAACUAUACAGAGUGGAGGAAGAAGAUUGAAUUCUCCUUCGUUUGUGGAGAAGUUGACUGGGUGCUGACUACACCGCGGCCACAAGCUCCAGAGAAGCCAGUGAGGGCUGAAGGUGAUGAUGAUGCUGCAUGGCAGCAAAAGGAAAGGGACUAUGCUCCACUGGAGUUGGCAUACACCCUUGAAAACAAACAGUGGACCACUGCCAACAAGAAAUGUAUGGCUUUGGUAAAGAAUACGAUUGAGCCUGCUAUUUUGGGAUUGAUUACAGAGUGUGACUCCGUCACAGAGUACCUCGAGAAGAUAAGGAAUCAGUUCACUGGUUUCUCAAAGCUAUAUGCUACCCAGUUGUUCAAGCAGCUGGCCACAGAGAGGUACAAUGGAGGAGGGACUGGCAUAAGAGAUCACAUCUUGAGGAUGUAUAACUUGGCAGCAUAGUUGAAGCCAAUGGAUCUUGAGCUCAAGUCUGGGCACAUUAUUCAUUUGGUUUUCGCUUCUCUGCCAAAAGAGUUUGACACCUUUGUUGUCAAUUAUAACAUGCAGCCAGAACAGUGGGACAUGGAAAAAAUGAUAGCCAUGUGCGUGCAGGAAGAGGACAGAAUUAGAUCCUCAUAUGGUGGUUCAUUGCACUAUGUGAAGGACAACAGGAAAAAGAAUGCUAACUCCUCUUUCAAGGCACGAGGAAAGGCUCCUAUGCAGCAGAAUCACCAAAAGCCUCUCACAGUAGACAAAGAUCAAUGUCUACACUGCAAGAAAAAGGGGCACUACAAGAAAGAAUGUCCCGACUGGUUAAAGUCAAUAAUGGCAAAAAGAGGUGAGAAUACUAUUUCCUUUGUAAAUGAAUCCUUGUAUACACAGUAUUCGAAAUCUACUUGGUGGAUUGACUCAGGUGCAACUGUUCAUGUUGCAAAUUCUUUACAGGGAUUCCGUUCGAUGAGGACUACGCAAAGAAGCGAAAGAUGCGUUGAAGUCGCAAAUGGAGUCCAAGCAGAGGUUGAAGCUGUUGGCGAUGUCUCUCUAGAGCUAGUUGAUGGUUUCAUGCUUGUACUUAGAGAUGUGCUUUAUGUUCCUUCGUUACACAGAAACUUGAUUAGCAUUUCACGUAUGGACCAUGAUGGAUAUGAAUGUCAUUUUGGAAAUGGAAAGUGUGCCAUUUGGUUCGAUAAUGCAUGUGUUGGUGUUGCCAUCCUUCACAAUGAGUUGUAUUUAUUAUCACUACGUGAAAAAGUAAAUUCUGUGUGUGAUGUGAAUAUGAUUGUAUCCUCGUCAGAGCAACAAACAAAGAAAAGAAAGAGAACUCAUGAAACAUCGUCGAAAUUAUGGCACUGUCGUUUAGGCCAUAUUUUGAGGGGGAGAAUAGAAAGACUAGUUAAGAAUGAAAUUCUUCCUCAAUUAGAGUUCUCAGACUUAGAACAAUGCGUUGAUUGCAUUAAAGGAAAGUUUGUAAAGCAAAUUAAAAAAAGGCGCUAAACGUAGCGCAGGAGUUUUAGAGAUUAUCCACACUGAUAUUUGUGGACCAUUUCCUGUGAAAAGCAUGGAUGGCUAUGACUCGUUCAUAACAUUCACAGAUGAUUACUCCCGUUAUGGUUACAUUUAUCCAAUUAAAGAAAGAUCAGAAGCACUGGAUAAAUUUAAGAUAUUUAAAGCUGAAGUUGAAAAUCAGCAUAACAAAAGAAUCAAAAUAGUAAGAUCCGACCGUGGGGGGGAGUACUAUGGUCGACAUACCUCAUGUGGCCAAGUUCCUGGACCUUUUGCAAGGUUUUUGCAGGAAAAUGGCAUAGUAGCCCAGUAUUCGAUGCCGGGCGAGCCUCAGCAAAAUGGAGUAGCUGAAAGGUGUAACCGUACACUGGUGGAUAUGGUGCGCAGCAUGAUGAGUUAUUCCACCUUACCAUUGGGACUGUGGAUGGAGGCGUUGAAAGCCGCCAUUCACAUUCUAAAUAGAGUGCCAAGUAAGUCGGUGCCCAAAACACCGUAUGAACUAUGGACAGGAAGAGUACCCUCACUAAACCAUCUGCGUGUGUGGGGGAGCCCAGCUGAGGCCAAAGUAUUCAACCCAAACAUUGGGAAGCUAGAUCCCAAAAUAGUAAGCUGCCACUUCAUUGGCUAUCCGGAAAGAUCAAAAGGUUUUCGUUUCUACUAUCCAGACAGAUAUACAAAGUUUGUAGAAACGAGACACGCGAUUUUCUUAGAGGAUCAGAUGGUGAGGGGGAGCAUGGUGGCUCGAGAGAUUGAUCUUGAGGAGAAGCGGGUGUGUGCACCUAAUCCGAUGAUUCAGGAACCAUUCUUCUCACUACCUAUUAUUCCCGCACCAAUAGUUCCUGAGGUCGUGGUGCAAGCACCUGCUACAGUCCCUGAUAUUGUGGUGCAGGCACCUACUGUGAUUCCACCCGUGGAAACGAUGAGUGAAGUUUUGGAACCUGUCCUUCAGGAGCCAACUGAACCCAUCAUUACACACGAGGAAGAGUUGCAGCAGCCACCUCUGAAUAAUGUGCCACAAGCAGAGGCACAGAAUGUGCCCGAAAGUGAGAGGCCUAGAAGGUCUCAAAGAGUCAAAAGAUCAGCUAUUCCUGAUUACUAUAAAGUUUAUAAUAUAGAAGAAGUUCAUAUAGAAGGUGAUCCCACUUCAUAUGAGGAAGCCAUGAAAAGUGUUCACUCAUCGAAGUGGCUAGAGGCCAUGGAAGAUGAGAUGAAAUCGAUGAGUUCCAACAAUGUUUGGGAACUUGAAGAGAUUCCUAAAGGAGCCAAAACAGUAGGCUGUAAAUGGGUCUACAAGACUAAACGUGACUCCAAAGGGAAUAUAUAAAGGUAUAAGGCGAGACUUGUGGCAAAAGGCUUUACACAAAGAGAAGGAAUAGAUUACAAUGAGACUUUUUCUCAUGUCUCAUGUAAAGACUCCUUCAGAAUCAUAACGGCACUGGUUGCACAUUUUGACUUAGAGUUACAUCAGAUGGAUGUAAAAACGGCAUUUCUAAAUGGGGAUUUAGAAGAAAAUGUCUACAUGAAACAACCAAAGGGUUUUAUCAUGGAAGACAAAGAGAAUAUGGGAUGUCGUCUGAAGAAAUCCAUUUACGGAUUAAAGCAAGCCUCUAGACAGUGGUAUCUAAAGUUUAAUGAUAUAAUAAAGAAAUUUGGGUUUCAAGAGAAUAUAGAGAACAAUUGUGUCUAUGCAAAGUUCAAAAAUGGGAAAUACAUUUUCCUAAUUCUGUAUGUGGAUGAUAUCUUACUUGCAAGCAGUGAUAUCAGUCUACUGCAAGAGACAAAGAAGUUUUUGUCCUCAAACUUCGGUAUGAAGGAUCUUGGUGAAGCAUCAUAUGUUUUGGGUAUAGAAAUUCACCGAGAUAGACUGAAUGGGGUCCUUGGAUUAUCGCAAAGGGCAUAUUUAGAAAAGGUUCUAAAGAAGUCUAAUAUGCAUGCGAGUAAGGCCACACCUGCUCCUAUAGUCAAGGGCGACAGUUUUGGGAAUUUUCAAUGUCCUAGGAACCAGUACGAGAUCGAUCAAAUGAAAGCGGUUCCAUAUGCUUCAGCUGUCGGAAGCUUAUAGUAUGCUCAAGUGUGCACUCGCCCUGACUUAGCUUUUGUCACCGGGGUUCUUGGUAGAUAUCAAAGUAAUCCAGGUGUAGAACACUGGAAGAUGGUAAAGAAAGCAUUGCGCUACGCGCAAGGCACAAAAGAACUCAUGCUUACAUAUAAGAGAUCUGAUUCCCUAGAGAUAAAAGGGUAUUCAGAUGCAGAUUUUGCGGGAGACAAAGAUGAUAGAAAAUCCACGUCUGGAUAUGUAUUCACUCUCGCAGGAGGAGCUAUCUCGUGGAGAAGCUCAAAACAGAAAGUAACUGCGUCAUCAACGAUGCAUGCAGAAUUCAUAGCAUGUCAUGAGGCCACGGGGCAGGCGAUGUGGCUAAAGAAAUUUAUACCCGGAUUGAGAGUGGUUGACUGUAUUCACAGACCACUAAAGAUGUACUGCGACAAUGAGCUAGCAGUAUUCUAUGCUCACAACAACAAAUCAAGCAAUGCUUCCAAAACCAUUAAGAUAAAGUUUUAUGUUGUGAAAGACAAAAACCAGGAUCGCACUAUAAGUCUCGAGCAUAUAAGAACAAAAGAUAUGCUUGCGGAUCCGCUCACGAAAGGCUUACCACCCAAUGUGUUCAGAGAACACUUAGCCGGCAUGGGUUUAAGGGAAAGCCUAUGAUUCCUGGAUUGGAAAAGGCCCAAAAGAAACAAAAUUGUUUCAAAAUAGAGAGGUGUGUUAUAGCUGUUGAUUCUAUCGGCGAUUAAGCUGUGACGAUGAGGCAUGCUCUACAUAUUAAUCUACGAUGAAACGAAUAAAAGCGAAAAGUGUAAAGUUAAAAGUAAAUGAUGAGAUCAAGGGGGAGAAUGUUAGAUUGAUCUCCUCCCCAAUGGGCCCAAAGGCCCAUCGGGACCCUGAUCCGCGCCCUGAUCGGGGGCGCUCACCCUAGCAUUGGGUGGUGGGCCCCUGUCGCGCUGCGCUAUAUAAACAGGGUGGGGGACCCGGCUCGGCUCACGAGGUUCGCCGCAGCCAGCCGCCCCACCGACACACCUACCGAUCUAGGUUUUGCGCAGUAGCGGCGGGAAGUACCACCGCCACCUCACCGGCGACCGGACUCGGCACUGCGCGUCUCUGCCUUGCGCAGACUUCCCCAAGCGAACCAGCGAUGGCCAGCAGCUCUAUUGCUCCCACCCCUAGGGGUGAAGGUACCCCUAUCUCUCUCACUCCCUCUCGGCACACACCAGAAACACCAUGUCCCUCAUGUCGUUUAUGAUCCCGACUAGAUAUGCAUCUAGAGAUCCUAGGCAUGAGUCUAACAUCUCCCGGGGAUCAGCUGCCAGAGCCAUUGAAGCCACAGGACAAGCUCGAGCUCCUCAAACAAGAUCUAGAAGAAAUACAUACCUUGCUUAUGGAUCUUUCAAGGGUGGAAGCUCCCAAGACCAUGGCCAAACUCUGGAUGAACCAGGUGCGUGAACUGUCUUAUGACAUCGAGGAUUGCAUUGACAAGAUGAUGCACCCCCCUUCCAAUACUGGCGACGAGAACCGCUUUGAUGUCGAAGAAUUUAAUACUCUAAUGAAGCAGGCAAGCGACGCCCGCAAACGAUACCACAGGUAUGAUCUUGGGCGUUGGGCAUCCAAUCCUACCUUUAGGGUCGUCAACAGGGAAGUGUGGGUUCCAACCAUGGACCUCGUUGGUAUUGGUGAUUCGAGGGCCAAUCCUAUCAAUUUGCUUAGCAACGAUGCAGAAAAGUUGAUGAAAGUAAUAUCUGUACUUGGACCUGUGGGUGUUGGUAAGACUACACUUGCCAAAGAAGUGUACCGUCAAAUGAAAGGACAAUUCAAGUGUCGAGCUUUUGUGCGAGCCUCAAAGACGCCUGAUACAAGGAGGCUUCUCCGGAGCAUCAUCUCGCAGAUCCAGCGCCAUCAACAACCUCCUCAUGGUCUCCCCGUGCAAGAGCUUAUUGAUUACAUAAGAAAACAUCUGCAACAGAAGAGGUAUAUAUGUUACACCCUAGUGCUCCAUCCUAUAUAUCCAAAAGCAAGUAGUAACCCUUUCGGACAAUCUGUGUGAUGCAAUUGAUUGAGGGUCACUGAAUUUACUAAAAAUCUAGAUGUACUAGUCGUUUUCCAUAUGUAUAUAAUCUCAAGUUCAGCUUUCUAUUUAUGAGUAGCAAAAAUGGGAAAUUUGAAAACUUUUAUAUUGAAAGGGAAAUAUGUUUAUUAACAAAGACAGAUGUUACUACAGACAACAAACAUUUUUUGCUUCUUCGAAGACACUUGGGUUUAUAGUUGAAUCUUUUAAAGUUUGAUAAAGUAAAUCCCAAUAUUUUGGAGCUUACAAACUCCAUUGCAUGCAAAGAUUGUGAGACCCAAUAGAUUGAAGUGAGUCUUUCAGAGAUUGUGAGACCAAAUAGAUUGUGAGCCAACAAUCCUUCAAAGUCAUAAUUUCUAAUUUGAAUUAUCAAUUGUCCUGGCACAACAUAUUUCUAACAUCUUAAAUUAUCUGGCAGGUAUUUUAUUAUAAUUGAUGUAUUAUGGGAAACAAUUUCUUGGGAUUUUGUUAACUAGUCCACCAACCCGUGCUCCCGCACGGGCUAAUAUUUUUAAAAGCUAUUGUAUUUAAAAAUUAUUUAGAAAUGAAACUCCUAGCUAAUAAUCAAAAUUGUUUAAUUACUACUCUCUUAUUUUUCAAUACUUCAACAUAAUACUUAUAUAGAUAUGUACCUACCUUUGUCCAGUUGUGAUUGAUUUUUAAUUAAUAAUUACUCUAUGCACUUUUUCAUCCAUAUUCAUACUUUUCCAUUUUGUAUCACACCUCUAAUCCUCCAUACAUUAUGUUUAGCAUACAAAUCAAUAUUUUUCAUUGAUUCCUCACAUACUUGUAUAAAUGGUCUAAAUGGUGGCACUCAUCAUAUGUAUAUACUUUAACUUAGUAUUUUUAUAUUAACAAUGAUAUAAAUAGGUAAUUUAGAAUCAUAUAUUAGUUUACUUUUUGACAUUUCUGAAUGAUGCACAUGAAGAUAAUUAGAUUAAGAUGUAGGUGUUUACUUUAUGUUAUUUUUAAUAACGACAUUCGUGGGUUAAUGAUAAAAUUUUAGAAUGACAUUUCAAGUUAUGCUUUAUAAUGAGGUGUAUUAGUAAAUUGGAUGAAUAUUACGGGGUUACUUUAUUUUUUAUAAUAGCUGAGCUCGAUAAUUUAGAUUUAGGUUUAGAGCUCAUUUUUGAAUAUUUUCACAAUAACAGUGGUGGGUAACUUUCUAGAAAAUAUAAUAGAUCAAUGACUAUGAUUAUUAUAGUUUACAAGAUUGAUGUUUUUUAAUGUUUAUGAGAAUUUGUCUCUUUUUUCUAGCUUGUCUCGUGGGAACUAAUACGGAGUCUCCAAUGGAAAAAAAAUAAGACUACAUUGCUACAAAACUAUUAUCAUAAGCUACCUCUCGUUUGUUAAAUAUUCAGACACAAUACUUAUGUAGAUAUAUAUUUAAUAUCUUCAUCAAAUUGUGAUAGAUUUUAGUUAAUAAUUACUCUAUAAUAUUUUCAUCCAUAUUUAUAAUCUUUAACCUUUCACUUUGCAUUGCAAGUAUACGCUUGAAUUUGUUUAAUGAAUCCUAAUUUUGAGAUACAAUUUUACCAUAGAAAUUUAUAUUCUCAUCACUUUAUAUCCUUGUAAAUGGUGACACACAUUAUACGUAAAGACCUUAAUUAUUAUAUCGUAUACCAAUAGUGUAAGAUAUAGACGAUUUAGAAUCCUAUAUUGCUGUAUAUUUUUAAUUAAGGUUAUUUGAUUAAAACGUAGGGUUACCUCAUGUUAUUUUUAAUAAUGGUAUGUGUGGGUAAUAUAGAUGCAAAUUUAAGGGGUUACUUUAAUAAUAAUAGUGGUAGUCAAUUCAGUUUCAAAUUAUGAGGUUAUUUUAAAUACUGUUUAUAAUGGCAUAAGUGGGUAAUUUUAAUGAAGAUUAAGGGGUUACUUUAGUUUAUUUUAUAUAAUGGUAGAGGUGGGUAAUUUAUAUAUAGAUUUAGGGGGUUACUUUAGGCUAUUUUCAUAAUGGCAUAGGUGGGUAUUUUUUAAAAAAACAUAAUAGAUCCAAUGGCUAUGAUGAUUUGAAUCUAUCGAUUGAUGGUCGGAUGUUUUUCUUUUUUGUGAGAAUUUUUAGGAUUUCUCUCUUUUUCUAGAGUGUCCACCUAGGAAUCCUAGGUGGCUUUAUCUGGAGGCUUUAAAAGGAGCCUCCAAUUAGUAAUAGUAAGAUGGUGCUUUUCCAGAGGGUAUUGAUUGUAGUAGAAUAUUAAUAACGACUGACAUUGAGGAGGUAGCUCUCGAGUGUUGUGAUUAUCAAUCUGAUUGUAUUUUUAAGAUGGAGCCACUAAGUAGAAAUAAUUCAAGAGAAUUGUUCCUCAAUAGAAUGUUCGGCUCCAAGCAUGAAUGCACUGAACAACUUAAGGAUGUUUCAGAAAAAAUUAUUGAAAAAUGUGGUGGUCUGCCACUAGCAACAAUUUGCACAGCUAGUAUUCUAGCAAGCCAAUCGGACAACUCAGAGCUAUGGCUGCAUGUCAAUGAAUGCUUAUCUAGCUUUAUAAGAAAGAAUCUUACUUCAGAAGGCAUGCUCAGCGAAAUAGUAGGGAUGAGCUACAAUAGUCUUUCGGACCAUUUGAAGACAUACCUACUGUAUCUUAGUAUGUACCCUGAGGGGUACACAUUCUUGAAGACCGAUUUGGUGAAGCAAUGGAUUGCCAAAGGUUUUAUCAGUGCAGUAGAAGGAAAAGAUACAGGCGAAGUUGCAGAGUUUUAUUUUGAUGAGCUUGUCUGCAGGGGACUCAUUCUGCCAAACUGUAUAGAUUUCUCAGAUGAGGAUAUCUUCUAUACAGUGCACUCCACAGUAUUUGAAGUAAUGAAGUUAUUAGGUGCAAGUCAAUGGAGGAGAAUUUUGCUACUGUUAUAGACUACUCUGAAGCCAUUACAAAGCUUUCUGCGAAGAUUUGUCGCCUGUCACUCACUUUCAGCAGUGCAAAGCAUGCAACAAAACCCGAUGGCAUCGCACUAUCAGAACUACGAUCUCUCACCUUCUAUGGGCUUGUCAACUGUCUGCCUUCAAUUAUGGAGUUUAAGCUACUUCGAGUUCUAAUCCUUGAAUUUUGGGGUGACAAAGAAGAGUUAGACAUCAUUGGAAUCAAUAAAUUGUUUCAGUUGAGGUGCUUGCAGAUUAGAACAGAUAUGACAGUAAAACUACAAGCUAGUAUGCAGGAACUUCUAUGUUUGGAAACACUCGAAAUGUAUGCAAGAGUAACGACAUUCCCAUCAGAUGCUUUUGUUCUCGCGAGAUUGUUGCAUCUAUGUCUCCACGAUGUGAUAAAUGUGCCUCGAAGGUAUUGGACACAUGAGAUCUCUUCGUACACUUCAAUGUUUUGACCUUAGCAGAAUCUCCAAUGGCAUUGUAUGGAGCCUUAAUGAGAUGACUAACCUGCGUGAUCUUCGGCUUACCUGCACUACAGCAUCGUGUGAGCAUCAUCUAAAGAGCAACUUGAUAGCUCUGAUGUCUUGCCUUGAGAAACUUGGCAACCUAAAAACUAUGAUUCUUGCUCCUUCUGCUUCUUGCACGAGCAUUAACUUGUGUUGCUCAGGCAUUGUAUCUUCUCUGCCCAUUUCUCUUGGGAGACUUGAGUUGUUACCACCCAUUUGUAUCUUUUCAAGACUGCCCUUAUGUAUGGGACAGCUCCAAAAGCUACGGAUUUUGAAAAUUGUUCUUGGGGAAUUGAUGGGAAGUGAUAUUUACAGCAUCGGCAGAUUACAGGAACUCACCAUUCUCUCUUUGUAUGUCAGACAACCAACUGGAGAACUCAUUGUCGUCAACCGUGCAGCAUUUCCAGUUCUAAAGUGUUUCAAAUUAAGAUGUGGUAUUAUGCGCCUUGCUUUUCAGGCAGAUGCAAUGCCUGGUCUUCAGAGGCUGAAGCUCGAAUUCAAUGCGCACAGUGGAGAGCAAAAUGGCAAUAUGCUUGCUGGCAUUGAACACUUGUUAAACCUCCAAGAAAUCACUGGCCGAAUUGGGGCAGCACCAGGUGCAGAGGAAUCGGAUAGAGUGGCUGCAGAGUCUGUGUUCAAGGAUGCCAUUAGCAAGCAUUCAAGACUUAUAAGCUUCAACCUACGAAUUGUCCAUUCCGUGGACCAAGAGUAUGGGGCUUUCUUCUUGAAAUUUCAUUGGACCAUUACAAUAUUCUGUUGCCCACUACUUGCAUUGAUUGUGCAGCGGCUUGGUGGUUUGCCCAUCCAGCUUUCAAAUUCCAGACUUUUGACUGAGAGUUCAAAAAAUCAAAAUCAGGGAUGGCAAGAGGCAAUUGAUAUUUAAUACCUUGCUUGAUCGUGUUUAAUCCAAUGGCUUUAAUCAUGGCGCCGGUUCUUGAGUUCCAUCUAUUUGCCGAUAUGUGCGCGGGAAACCACUUUUCAUAACAAAUCUGAUAAUGGCUUGUUCCACUACUGCUUUACUCCCAACGCUAUAUGAAUCACUUCUUUUAAGAUAAACUGUAAAAAUAGACCAACUAAUCCAUUCAUUAUUUCAUUUUUUUCAUGCUUUCUAUUUUUUACCAUUAAUCUUUUAGUUUUUUAGUCAUGAUUAUAGAGUUUUUGUGGCGCGCAUGCAAUUUAGUUCUUGUGGUGUGUGUAGUGUGAGAUAUGUACUCAGGUUGGACCCUAUCCGAUCCCAAUGCAUGUUUUUCUCUAUCUUAAUGAAAUGACAAGCAGUCUCCUACGUUGUUCAGAAAAAAAAGCAGAUUAGCUCAAGUAAUUGCAGGAGUAAACCAAUGUUUGUUAUUGUUUGGUCAUAUAAUUCUAGUUGGUAUGGUAGAAAUUUUGAUUAAAGUUACCAUCAAUUCUAAUGUAUGUGACUAAAUAUAUAUGUGAUGUGUAUAUGUGACACAUCCAAUGUAUAUACAGAAUUAUAAUAUAGCACUACCGAAAUAAGUAUACUUCUAUAAUAUGAAUACAUAAGCUACUGUGUGAUAUAUUUAAUUGUUUCUUAAUCUGUUCUCUCUUCUUGUUCUAAUAUAGUGGACGUUGUUGUUGUCAGGAUUCCCCAAUUUGCUGAUACUCCAGAAAGCUGUUCUGGUUCAGGUAAUAAAAUGUAGUUCAACUUACGAACUUUUUAUUAUUUUUCAUUGGAAAAUACAUUUGACGUACCAGAUUAUUAAUGAUUAUGUGCAAAAGUAUUAAGAAGAUAUAUAUUUAAAAAUGGUAAAUAAACUCACAACUGUGGUUUUCUUCUACCUGUGGUUUUCGUUUUCAACUUCCCACGGAAUGUCAAGAAUCCUGAAGAAUUUUUCAAUGGUUAUUUUUAUUUGCGGUCCUUUUUUACAAUUCCCCUCAAAAUGUCAAAAUGUUUUCUAAUGUAGAUCGGGGAUUUUAUUAUUAAGUUUUAUUUACUAGAUGUCCAAUGGUGUCGUUCGUUUGUCAAGAAUUAUCUGUGUUUUUUGUUGCUAAUUUGUUUUCCCUGGCCCAACAUAAAACUAAAUACCCCGGCCCAUGAAAUUUAAAGAAAUUUGUUAAGGAUAACAAAACCAUACGCCACUUACUAACUAAUUAAUGAGGGAAUUUCUCUGUUUUUCUUUUUAAGAAAAACAGUAAUUAUUACAAAAGUUAAAUAACUUGGACUUAAGAAAUUGCUUAUAAGUCUCAUGUUGGUCGCUUUUGUUUUCAAUAUAUUAUUCCUGUAAACCUUGAAUACCUUGAACAUCGGUUUGCCCACAAUUAAAAUAGUGGUACUGUAAUCUAAUUUCACAUAAAGGUUCCGUUUCACAACUGGGACAUUUUACUCUUUGGUUAGAAACCUAAAAUAUAAUUUAUAUAUAAUGGGAGAUACACAAUUACGAGUUACUGUAUUUGAGAUUAGUAAAAAGUGUCCCACCCUGAAUUACCGUGUCUUUCUUAGUAAACUAUUAAGUGUAGGCGAAAGGGCCUCUAGUGAAGUGGCGGUCUUAAGUGUAGGCGAAAGGGUCUCUAGCGAAGUGGCGGUCUUAAGUGUAGGCGAAAGGACCUCUAGCUAAAUGGUUAGACCACCUGAGUAACAUUUAGCAUGCCUGGAUUCGACUUCCUAUAGGAACGAAUUAAACGGGUUUAGAAUAAAAAAAUUAUAAAAAAUAGGUUGCGCUUCCCUAGUGACUUCGGUCAAAAAAGACUAUCAAGUGUAGAAUAGUAUUGUACACAAUGUAUAAAAGUAUGAAACCAUAUGAAGUCAACCAUUUUAUGUUUACAAAGUUAUUCUAAAAAAAAUUACUUCUAGGCAAGGAAAAGCUAAUAAUGCUCCUUCCUGUUAGAAAGAGUCCUAAUCUGAUGUGGAUAAGGCUCUGCACCUGGCUAUAGCCGGCCGAGUCCUGUUUGUAUUUGGUUAAGAUAGAGAUACGGGGAGGAGUCAUGAUCCUUUAAGUUUCCUUACGCCUAGGAUCCUUCUCCCCUAUAUAUGUAACUGUAUUGUCUCUCGAUUAAUCAAUCUACUAUUUCCAUGCAUCUCUAUUGCUUUCAUGGUAUAACGAGUUUAGGGUUCUUCUACUCAAUCUCGCUUCCGCUCCAGCGUGCCGUUUUCCCGGCGCAGCCCUAGCGCGCUUCCUUCUUGGCGCUGCUCCAGCUUGCCCCUCUCCCCCGACGCUGCUCCAUGGCUGGCACCACCUCUGGUGCUGCCAUCGUCAACCCUGGCAAGGUCCAUGACCCCGACACCAUCGCCGACGCUGCUGUGGAUCUCAAGCGCACUGAAGAACUUCGCGCUGCUGAUGAGGAACGCGAGCGCGUCGCCUAGGCCAAACGCGCGGCCGACCUCGCCCACGUGGCUGACGCUGAUCGCGAGGCUGCCCUUGCGCAGCAAGAACGCGACGCGGUUGAUGCUUGUCUGCGCGCCAACCGGACUGAAAGUUUCUGAAAAAUGAAUACCCGGUCUUUGAGUGAAGCCCCGAUGUACCCACCGUGCUUUAUACGGCUCAAGCGAACCAUCAGCCUUGAACUUGUGUUUGAACACCCACUUGCCGGUCACGACAUUAGAACCCGACGGUCAAGGAGUGAGAUCCCAAGUAUUAUUGGCGAGGAGAGCAAAAUAUUCUUGCUCCAUGGCGGCACGCCAAUUGGGAUCAGCGAGAGCUGCACGAUAACUCCAUGGCACUAGAGAUAAAACUGACACCUCAUGCUUGGUAUAGCCGAUUUCCUUCGCAUCUUGUUCAGUUUGGGUUUGUUUAGGCCAAGACAAAUACGUCCCUGUUCAUCUAUCAUCACGGUGGGGAUCUGAUCUACUUGUUGCUCUAUGUCGAUGAUAUUGUGCUGACUGCUUCCUCGGCGGCCCUGCUACAGCGUACCAUCCAUGCCUUACAGCAAGAAUUCUCCAUGAAGGAUCUUGGUCGGUUGCAUCACUUCCUCGGCAUGCAUGUUCAGCACACUGCCUCAGGUCUAUUUCUUUCUCAGCGCCAGUACAUGGUCGACAUCCUUGAGCGGGCUGGUAUGAGUGACUGCAAACCGUGUACCACGCCUGUUGAUGUGAAUCCCAAGCUUGCAGCAGAUGGUGUACUAGUUAAGGAUGUUACAGAUUUCCGCAGCCUGGCAGGUGCUCUUCAGUAUCUGACUUUCACUCGACCGGAUAUUGUGUACGUCGUUCAGCAAGUUUUCUUCACAUGCACGAUCCACAGGAACCGCAUCUAGCUGCUCCCAAGCGCAUCCUGCGCUAUGUUCGGGGCACAUUACAUUUGGGCCUUCAUGUGUGCCCCUCCUCUCAGACCAACCUGGUCGUUUAUUUUGAUGCUGAUUGGGCCGGUUGUCUAGAUACUCGCAAGUCCACUUCUAGUUAUGCUGUGUUCCAUGGUGCCAAUCUUGUCUCAUGGUCGUCCAAGCGUCAGAAUACGGUCUCUCGCUCUAGCGCUGAGGCUGAGUAUCGGGCGAUCGCCAAUGUCGUUGCUGAAGUGACCUGGCUUUGUCAGUUGUUGUCCAAGAUGCAUGUUCCCUUGCGCAAGACAACACUGGUCUAUUGUGACAACAUCAGCUCAGUUUAUAUGUCUUCUAAUCCUUUCCAGCAUUAGUGUACCAAACAUGUGGAGAAUGAUCUUCACUUUAUCAGAGAGCGUGUUGCCCUUGGUGAUGUUCGUGUUCUUCACGUGUUGGCGACAUCUCAGUUCGUGUCACACCCGAUUUUUGGACAAAACCGAAUGCAUAGCAUAUGUGUGCCAGGAUCCGUUCUCACACAUAUGUUGACUUCAUAAAUGAAUACAUCAAAAACAGUGUUCAAAAACGUAAAUAAAAUUAGUAGAUAACUUAUUACACUCCGAGAGGUAGACAUGAAGGUCUUUAAUCGUUCCCCGAUAACUUAACACGCACACACACAGCGAAGCUUCUCCAUAGGCUUGACUGGUGAACACUCACCUAGAACUCCUCGAAGUCGUCGAAGAACUCCGCUUCGUCACAAGCUUCUGAACAGCGUUUGGGCAAGGGUGAGUACACUUAUGGUUGGUACUCAGCAAGUGGGGGAAACAUGCAAGGCUCACAAGGAGAGGCUCAAUGGCUUUAAGCGGUUAGCAUUUUAGUUGGUCAAAUUUUAUUAACAACACCUAUUUACUAGAUGUAAGUUUAUACCAACCCACUUAGGCAUAAAGCAUUAACAAAAACCUGGAGAUAAAGGAACCACGAUUUGUUCUCAUCUUUAAGCUCAAUUAUCAUGUGAGGGUCCAGACCGCUCUUAACCAUGAGCACAGCUAAUAUAUCAGUUUUACACUCUGCAGAGGUUGCACAUCUUUACCCACAAGUUGCGUAAAAUUUCAAAAGAACUUUAAACCCAACCAUGCUGUGUGGGCCAGGCACAAUACCACACUUCCGAGGUGUGAUUGCAUAGGGACGCUACGAGGUCUUUACAAAGAUUCCCUAGUAAGAAGUAGUCUGCUAAGGUUUCCAGAUCGGUAGCAGGAUAUAGCAGCCCCUUAGUGGGUACAGUGUCUUAGCAAAGCCUACUCCUCAAGAGAGUGGGUGCUAAAUCCCAUAUACCACCGCCCUCUUGCCCUUUCGGUAAGAUCGCUUCAAACUAGAGUUUCUAAUUAAUUACCCAAGACCAGAGCCAUGAUAGUCCUUGCGGUUGUACUAUUUUCCUAGGUGGUUCUCCAUGUUCUGAUUAAAUCAAGUGAUCUUGUAUUAACACAGGUAUAGCAUAAAUAAAGGUCAUGAUUAAUAUUCUCAAAAUUAAGCAACUAAGCAAUUCUACCCAACAUGAUUAAACAUGUGUUCAAGGAUCAGGAUUAAAAACUAGGUAAGUCCUUAAUAGGCAUUGCCGUCAAAUUAUGCACAUACAGGAAAUUAAUAAAGUGAAUAAUCAUAUUAUUGGGAUGAAAAAGAAUAUGCAGGGGGAGAUAACCACUUGCCUUCCUCGGCAAAUUGGAAGUACUCAUCUUCAAAUGGUUGCUGCUCCUGACCUUGACCUUCCUCGAAUGGCACUUCAUCUACACGAUCACACAAGUAAAGCAACCAUAAAUAAAACAGUACACCAAACAUGACAAAAGACUGAAAACAAACUCCUAAAACUAACAUUUAUGAUGAGACGGUCACGUGAGCGCAAGAAUAACUAAAAUCGGAGUUAAAGCGGUGAAGACAUGGAGUAAACAAGUUUCAGGGGCUAAAACAGAAUUAACUAUAUACUUCAGGGGCUAGCAAGGAAUUUUCACAAGACUCAGAGAAUAGUGCUUGCGAAUACAGAAAGGUACAGGGUUAGAUAUGCAAGAUUACAUGGCUUAGGUUGAAAAGCUAGUUAAUACUUCCACGUGAGUGGACUUUUCUCUGAAUUUACAGUAUAUCUUGUGGCAGUGAAUGAGACCCCUAAAACUGUCAGUGAUUUCUUGGCCCAACUAACGAGCAAUAUCAUGUGUAUAUAGCUUUACACUGCAGAUAUUGCCGAUAUUAGAAUGUGGCGGGGGAAGCCCGAGCGGCUAGAGUGGAUGGUGGGGGAGGAUGAGAGGAGGGAGUGGGAGGUCUCACCAGCAUCGAUUGCGGAUGGGGGAGGCUCCGACGGUGGAGAACAGAGACGCAUGAACUAGGAACCGAGCGAGAUCCCGGUGCUGGCGGCAGCGAUGCUUGGGGUGGGGGAAAGGUGGGUGAGUGGUGGAAUGGAAAGAGGAGCUCCGGUGGAGAGGUUUGGGGGGCUUCAUAGGGCGCGAGGAGGAGCAGAAGGGGCGCCUGGGGGAGGUGAAUCGGGCGGCCGGCCAUUGAAGGCCAUGGGAGUGGGGGGCUCCGUUUACAGGAAGGGGAAGGGGAAAUGAGGGCGGCACACACGCGUGGAGGUGCGGCACAAGGAACUGAUGCGGUGCUUGAAGUUAGGGAGGCGCGGGAAGGUGAGGGGGCCCCAGGCUGCACCGUGCGCAUGCGUGCAAGGGAGAAGUUGCGCCUGGAUGGAGGAGAGGGAUGACCCUGACGGGUGGGUCCUACCUGUCAGUGGGAGAGGGGAGAUAGGCUGCUAGUUGGGCCACUUGGGCUGGCUAGAGAAAGAGAUUGUUGGGCCAAAAGAAAGAGGAAGAAAGAUUGGGCCUGCUUGGUUAGAUUGGAGAGGAAAAAGGGUUUUAUUAUUUUUUUUAAACUUGCAAACACCACUCAAACAAAACCAAAAUGAAAGAUAAAACCCUAUCAAGCACUUGUUCUCUCUAAAAUUAAAUUCGAGUGCUCUUUCAUUUAUUUAAGACCAUAAUUUAAUAUUAUUAAUUUAUUUAAUCCAUAGAGAACAAAAACUAGACCGAAAUUGCUUACAUUGCAUUUAUGAUGGAAUUUUGGGUGUUACAAAUCCUACCCCCUUAAAGAGAAUCUCGUCCUCAAGAUUCGGAAAGAUUGGAAAACAACUGAGGAAAUUAUUCGAUAAGCUCAUCUUCUCUUUCCUAAGUAGCUUUAUCUUCCGAGUGAUGACUCCAUUGUACUUUGCACAUUCUGAUUACUUUGCUCUGAGUGACUCUCUAAGAUGUUUCCAAUAUUUUGACAGGAUACUCCGAAUAGGUCAAAUCAUCCUUCACAUUGAGUUCUUCCAGUGGUAAUUGUUCUUCGAGUACUCUGAGACACUUCUUCAACUGAGAUACGUGAAACACAUCAUGAACAUCUGACAGUCGAGCUGGUAGUUCUAUCUGAUAUGCCACUUCUCCUUUUCUUUCCAAAAUUUGAACUGGUCCAAUGUAAUGAGGUGAUAGCUUCCCUUUAACCUUGAAUCGACGAAGACCUCUAAUAGGUGAUACCUUGAGAUACAUGUAAUCUCCAACUUCAAAUGUUAAUUCCCUCCUCCAAGUAUCAGCAUAACUCUUCUGUCGUGACUGUGCAGUCUUGAGAUUAUCUCGAAUUAUCUGAACUUAUCUUUCAGCUUCUUUAAGAAUUUCCGGUCUAAAGACUGGACUUUCUCCUGUCUGACUCCAUUACAACGAUGUUCUACAAUUUCUUCCAUAUAACGCUUCAAACAGGGUCAUGUUAAGACUUGCUUGAUAACUGUUGUUAUAAGAGAAUUCCGCGUAAGGCAAACUCUUAUUCCAACUACCUCCAUGCUUUAAAGCACAAGCUCUUAACAUAUCUUCUAAGAUUUGAUUAAUUCUCUCAGUCUAACCAUCUAUCUAUGGAUGAUACACAAAACUAAAAUUAAGCUUUGUAUCCAUUGACUCAUGUAGCUUCUGCCAAAAAUGUGACGUGAAUUGAGUACCUCGAUCAGAUACUAUUUUCUUCGGAACACCAUGUAGACAUACAAUCCUUGACAUAUACAGCUCCGCUAACUUAACUCUACUAUAGGUUAUUUUAACCGGUAUGAAAUGAGCAACUUUAGUCGAUUUGUCCACAACAACCCAUAUGGAAUCAUAACCAUUGCGAGUACGAGGUAACCCAACGAUGAAAUCUAUUCCGAUCUCUUCCCAUUUCCAUUCAGGUACUUUCAGUGGUUGAAGUAAACCGGCUGGUCUUUGGUGCUCUACUUUUACUCUUUAACAUACAUCACACAAAGCAAUGUGGGUUGCUACAUCCCUUUUGAAACCAUACCACCAAUAUUUCUCCUUCAAAUCCUGAUACAUCUUAGUACUACCAGGGUGUAUGGAAGAAGCUAAAUUGUGUGCUUCCUUCAAUAUGCGUUCACGAAGAUGGUCGAUCUCUGGUACACAGAUCCUUUUCGUGAAUCAAAUAGUUCCUUGAUCAUCUUCAGUGAAGUCUGGGGCCUUUCCUAAACCAAUUUGGGUGUUGAUCUCCUUGAUUUUAGCAUCUGUCAAUUGCCCUUUUCUUAUCUCUUAUUCCAGUGUAGGCUCAAUUUCUAUGGUCCUAGCUUCAGUAUGGGCAACGAUUCCUAAGUUGAGUCACUCCAUUCCCCAACAUAACUCUUGAGACAUCAACUGUGCUAUAGUCACAUUAGCUUGACCUUUUAGGCUUAAAGCGUCUGCUACGACAUUUGCCUUGCCGGGGUGAUACUGAAUAUCCAAGUUAUAGUCCUUGAUCAACUCUAACCAUCUGCGCUGCCUUAAAUUAAGAUCUCUUUGAGUGAAUAUGUACUUUAGGCUUUUGUGGUCAGUGAAGAUCUGACACUUGUUCUCGAUCAUGUAAUGUCUCCAAAUCUUUAAUGCAUGCACAACGACAGCUAAUUCCAAGUCAUGAGUUGGAUAAUUUUGUUCAUUCUUUCUCAACUCAUAAGCUACUACUCUACCUUCUUGCAUUAGUACAUAUCCAAGACCUAGACAUGAAGGGUCACAAUAAACAUCGAAGCCUUUGUGUAUAUCAGGCAUUAUCAUUACAGGAGCAGUAGUCAACUUCUUCUUCAGCUCUUCAAAACUCGCUUGACACUUGUCAUCCCAUUUAAACUCUUUUCCCUUUUCCAAUAAUGAGGUUAGAGGUUUGACGAUCUUUGAGAAACCUUCAAUAAAUCUGCGGUAAUAACAUGCUAAUCCAAGAAAACUUCUGAUUUUGGACACAUUCUUGGGCGGAUUCCAAUUCAACACAUCUUGAACUUUGCUUGGGUCUACUGUGAUUCCUCCAUCGGUGAUAACAUGUCCAAGGAAGGAAACUUCCUUCAACCAAAACUCACACUUACUAAAUUUGGCAUAUAGCUGAUUCUCCCGAAGCUUCUGUAACACUAAUCUUAAGUGAUCUUCAUGCUCUUAUUUAUUUCAAGAAAAAAUACCAAGAUAUCAUCGAUGAACACUACCACAAACUUGUCUAGGUACUCCAUAAACACCUUGUUCAUCAAAUACAUGAAGUAUACUAGGGCAUUCGUCAAUCCAAAAGACAUCACAGUGUAUUCAUAUGAGCUGUAUCUGGAUGUAAAUGAUGUCUUGGGAAUAUCUUCUGCUCGAAUCUUCAACUGAUGAUAGCCUGAUCGCAGGUCAAAAGAAUUUUGCACCUCUCAUCUGAUCAAACAGAUCUUCAAUCCUAGGAAGUGGAUAUUUAUUCUUAAUAGUCACAUCAUUAAGAGCUCUAUAUUCCAUGCACAUUCUUCUGGUGCCAUCCUUUUUAUCAACAAAAAGUACGGGUGCUCCCCAAGGUGAAGAACUAGGACGGAUAAAUCCUUUACUUAAUAAUUCUUUUAUUUGUUUCUUUAACUCAACCAAAUCCUUAACAUCCAUUCUAUAAGGUCUUUUAGAUAUAGGUGAAGUGCUGGGUAAAAGAUCAAUAGAGAACUCGACAUCGCGGUCAGGUGGCAUACCUGGUAAAUCCUCAGGAAAGACGUCAGGGUAUUCACAUGCAACAUUGAGAUUCUCCAAAGAUUUUCCUUUUAUCUGGUUCACUAUACCCUUUUCUUCAGACGGGGCAGUAGCCACAAACUCAAUUCUAUCCCCUUAGGGCUGGUUAAAAGCACUGACUUCUUGGCACAUAGGAUAAUUCCAUCACAUACUUCUAACCAGUUCAUUCCAAGAAUCACAUCAAUACCAUUGGAGUCAAGGACCACUAGGUGAGCUACGAAAUCUACCCCCAUGAUUUUCAAAUUGACUUGUGGGCAUAUUCAACUUGUUCUCAUCUUACCACCUGGUGAGCUAACUAGCAAAGUUUUCUUCAUAGGUUGUAAAGGUAUGUUAUGCUUUGCCACAAAUCGAUCGGUUAUAAAUGAGUAUGAUGCUCCAGAAUCAAAUAAAACUUAUGCAGGUUCGGAAUUGACAAGGAACAUACUGAAUACAACAUCUGAAGCUUCCUUGGCCAUUUCUGCUGUCACAUGGUUCACCCUACCAUGCAUGAAGUUAUGAUGGCCCUUGUGUCCCUAAGAAUUCGGAUUUCCACUACGUGCUUGAGACUGUUGCUGACCAGAAUUUUGACCAUUGUUCUUCUGCGGGGUCUGCAUGUUAUGUUUGGGACAGGUGUUGGCAUAAUGUCCCACUUCACCACACUUGGAACAGCCAUUGGGUCGAACCGGGGUAAUUGGAUUGUUACGCAUUGGUGCUCCUGUGGGCAUUAUUUGCUCGGUUUUGCUGUGGGUUUGAGGUGUGUUGUACCUGUUGGUUGAAACGUUGAGGUUGCUGAGGGAAAUGUUGAAACUGCUGAUUCUGUUGAUAACCUCCUUGUCCUCCUGAAUGAAACUGUGAUCCCUGCAACGAGUUGAAGCGAGGGCGAGUGUUGCCGCUAGAUUGCCCUUGCGACUGAAACUUCCUCUUUUGUUCGCCUAGUUCCUUACGCUUGUUCUCCAAGCCAAUGGCUUUGUCUAGCAGAAUUUGGAAAUUGGGGAACGUGUGACUCUGUAGCUGAUAAUUAAGUGGUCCAAUCAGACCAUCCAACAAACGCUCUUCUCUCUUCUCAUCUGUGUCCACCUCAUUGGGCGCGUAUCGAGACAGCUGUGUGAACUUGUCGUGAUACUCGCUAACUGACAUGUUGCCUUGCUUCAAAGCCAAAAACUCCUUUUGCUUGAGCUUCAUCACACCAGCUGGAAUGUGGUGUGUGCGAAAGCUGUUUCUGAACUCUUCCCAAGUAAUGGCAAUUGCAUUGGCGUGGGCAGUGGUGUAGGCAUCCCACCAAUCGGUUGCGGCUCCUUCCAAGCAUCCUGCAGCGUACAAGACCUUCUCAUGGUCAUUGCACUGUGUAAUAUCCAGCUUCUUACUGAUGACCUUCAGCUAGUCAUCAGUGUCCAAAGGAUCCACUGAGUGGGAGUAAGUGGGAGGGUGGUGGCUCAUGAAUUCCCUGUGCUUGUCUCGCGGUGCCUGAGGUGCUUGUGGUGGUUGCUGGUUUUGCUGGGCUUGCAAAUUCUGAACAGUAGCAGUGAGGUUCUGCAGCAGUUGCAUCUGAGCAGCCAAAAAUUGUUUCAUUGUUGAACUUGGUGGCGGAGGUGGUGCUUGAUUCUGCUGAUUAAUUAUGUGAGCACGCCUCUUACUUGGAACAUCUUGUCCUCCUUCUGACCUGCUUUUACCAUCUGAGUGUUAGAAAAAUGAAUCUCGAUAAGAAUGAUGUUUUGAUAAGGUAGAUAUAAGAGCAAAGAAUCAAGAUUGAGACCCAACAGACUAUUAACUUUAUUUUAUUUAAUGAUGCAUUUGUGGCCAUCAAUCCACAAAACAUCCCGGACAAUACAAAGAUCCAAAUCAAAUAUGUUUUCAAACAGCAAACAUUAUUACAUCACACGUCCUCGCAGGAAUGGUUCUAUCGAAAGACUCUGGAAGGCAACCUUAAAAGAAAACCUAGUCUAAAAGACCGGUGACCGAGCUAGACGUGCCAUAGCAAAGCCUCUUGCGGGGUGGUGAAGCGGUGGGGUAGUGGAGCUCGGCUGCCUCGUCUGCAAGCUAUGCCUCAAGCUGUGCGAUCCUAGCGUGAGCAUCCUGCAGCUCCUCAUGGAUCUUGGCAAGAUCUGCUGUAGCUCCGUCGAGGUCGGUGUUGAGAGUAGCGGUGACUCGAGCAAGGAUGUUGAUACAGUCUUCUCCGGCUUCUCCCAACUGUACAGCUGUGUCCUCGGUGCCACUGACUCAGCGAGGAAGGUGUCGGUAGGUAGUGGUUCUCAACUCUUGGCGGUGGGUGAAGCAGAGGGCCGACAGAGCUCUCCUGGCAGCAUCGCUGACGACUGCGAUGUAGGUGGCGUGAGGCGUAGUGGAGUCGUGUGCCAUGCAAAUCCUCAAGCCUCUGGAAGUCGCCAACCGUUCCCUGAUGUGGACCUGAGUGGCGUAGUAGUGGUUCAUGAUGGAGUAGGAGACACGGUGAGUGACGUAGAGGGGCUUCAUGGUGUUUCCCAAAGUCUACAGUACUUCCCAGAGCAGUGUGGGAAAGUAUCCAAGCUCAUCCUCUGAAGUCUGGUAGUCACAAGCUGGUGUUACAUUCUGUUGUCCACCAUUCUGAUUCCCAUCUUCAUCUCCACUGUUGUUAUCAUGGCUACUGUCGUGGUCAUUGUCGCUGCUGUGAUCAUUGUUGCUGUUGUAGUCAUCGUCAUCCUCAUCCUCAUCUUCGCUGUCAUUCCCGGAGUCAUCGGGGUCUCCACCAUCGGCAGCAAGUGCUGGAGCAAGAUCAGCUGGUGCUGAAGCGUCCGAUGCAGAAGCAGCUAGUGCAAGAGCAUCUAAAGCUGGGGCAGCUGGUGAUGCUGUCGGGAUCACCAGAUUCUCAUUCGAGUCGACCUCCAUGAUGCUGCCGUCUUCCAUCUCGAUGUAGUAGUAAACCUUCUCUGGAUCCUCUUUAACCUCCUCCACAGGCUAAAUCGGAGUAGCUGGCUGAGCAGGGGCAAGGCGAGCCUUAUAUCCUGCAGUGCUUUUACGAGCGAUCAACCUGGUCCGGGCCAUCUAACAGAGGAAGAGCAGAUACUUAGAACAAAACCAAAAGGAGACAAGUUUUUGUGACAAAGAACAAAAAUAAAUUAGAUUUUUUAAUGAGGAAAAUAAGAUAUUUUUGAGCAAACAUGGCUUGCUAAGAAAAUGAGUCCUUAUUCUCGAUCAUUUCUAACUAGGCUUGCGUCCUACAGUCAACAUAAAUAAACUCAGAGAAUAGUGCUUGCGAAUACAGAAAGGUACAGGGUUAGAUAUGCAAGAUUACGUGGCUCGGGUUGAAAAGAAUGUAUAUAAGAACUAUAGGGGCUUCUCUGCAAGAUUGGCUAGACACAAGGAAUAAGAACAUAAAUAAACAGAAACUCCACGGGCUAGAACGUGAAAUCACCAUCUUCUUCCUCCUUUUACCAGAGGCACGGCGCAGCCAUGGCUGGCGCCUGGCUGGCGCUCCAGCGUGGCGGGGGAAUCCUAGGCGGCUAGAGUGGAUGGUAGGGGAGGAUGAAAGGAGGGAGUGGGAGGUCUCACCAGUGUCGAUUGCGGAUGGGGGAGGCCCGGCGGUGGAGAACAGAGACGCACGAGCUAGGAACCGAGCGAGAUUCCGGCGGCGGUGAUGCUCAGGGCGAGGGAAAGGUGGGUGAGUGGUGGAAUGGAAAGAGGAGCUCUGGUGGAGAGGUUUGAGGGGAUUUAUAGGGCGCGAGGAGGAGCAGAAGGGGCGCCCAGGGGAGGUGAAUCGGACGGCCAGCCAUUGAAGGCCAUGGGAGUGGGGGGCUCUGGUUAUAGAAAGGGGAAGGGGAAACGAGGGCGGCAUGCACGCAUGGAGUUGCAGCACAAGGAACUGAUGCAGUGCUUGAAGUUGAGGAGGCGCAAGAAGGUGAGGGGGCCCCAGGCAGCACCGUGCGCACGCGUGCAGGGGAGAAGUUGCGCCUGGAUGGAGGAGAGGGAUGACCCUGACGGGUAGGUCCUACCCGUCAGUGGGAGAGGGGAGAUGGGCCAAAAGAAAGAGGAAGAAAGAUUGGGCCUCCUUGGUUAGAUUGGAGAGGAAAAAGGGUUUUAUUAUUUUUUUAAACUUGCAAACACCACUCAAACAAAACCAAAAUAAAAGAUAAAACCCUAUCAAGCACUUGUUGUCUCUAAAAUUAAAUUCGAGUACUCUUUCAUUUGUUUAAGACCGUAAUUUAAUAUUAGUAAUUUAUUUAAUCCAUAGAGAACAAAAACUAGACCGAAAUUGCAUACAUUGCAUUUAUGAUGGAAUUUUGGGUGUUACAGUUCGCCAACAUCUUCACCAAAGGACUGUCAUCUUCGGUCUUCACUGAAUUUCGAUCUAGUCUCAACGUUCGCUCCACGAACGCUUCAAUUGCCGGGGGGGUUGUUAGAAAGAGUCCUAGUUUGAUGUGGAUAAGGCUCUGCGCCUGGUACAGCCGGCCGGGUCCUGUUUGUAUUUGGUUAAGAUAGAGAUACGGGGAGGAGUGAUCCUUUAUGUUUCCUUUCACCUAGGAUCCUCCUCCCCUAUAUAUGUAACUAUAUUGUCUCUCAAUUAAUCAAUCUACUAUUUCCACGCAUCUCUAUUGCUUUCAGUUUCAAUAAAAGAAAAUUGAAUAUCUAACUAUUUUUUUGUUUUUCAAGACGUGACACUCAAUUGUUCGUCGAUAUCUGAUGGCAUCAGUGAGGUAGACGAGGUAGAUACUAUUCAAGAAUUGUUGCCAUUCAACAAUGCAAAUUCAACAGAUAAUAUAUUAUUGUUACCGAAAUAUAAGGUGUAUCCUUAAAUCCAUAAUGAAUAGUGUAGUCAUAAACUCCAAGGAAGUUUUCAAAUUAAUCUGAUAAAAAUAAAAAUAUCUAGCCAUUUAUUUAAUGAGAAAUUUUAGAGUGCUUGAAAAAAAUAAGAACCGUCCAUCCGGCGAAAUUGAAUAGUGGAAACAAAGUAAGUAUCAUGAAGUACCUAAAGAAAAAUACCAAUUUCAUGGAACCAAGUAAAAAAUAGCGAGAAAUUACUAUGAUGCUCUUUUAAUUAUGUGUAGAUCUAUUUAAUUUUUUUAAGCAAGAUAAGAAAGGUACCUGACUGGUACUUUACGUUUGAAGAGUUUAGUUACAAUGCUUUUAAAGUACUAGUGACACUUCCAGGUACUUUCCUUUCUUACCCUUUUUACCAAAAAAGAAUUAAAUAUAUUUAAACAUAAUUACAAGGGCAUCAUGAUAAUUUCUUACUAUUUUUGGUACUUGAUCCCACCAAAUUAGUACUUCUUGGUAUUUUUCUUUAGGUACUUCAUGGUACUUCCUUUGUUUCCAUCGUUCAAUUUCACCGGAUAGACAGCUCUCAUUUUUUUUUCAAGCACUAAAAAAUUUCUCAUGUUUGAAAUGUUAGAUUAUCUUUAGGGAUGUGCAUACUCACGGUCGUUCCCCAUAUGGUUACACAAUUUUUUUUCAUAGUUACCAUCUGUAGUUGUCAGACUCGCGAUCUCAUGUCUCGCCUGUAGCACAUUAUAUACACAUCUUUAGUGCCAUUCAAGUGUUGUUUUCAUACAUACUCUUAUACUAACCCACCACUAGCAGAAGCCAAUCGGCCCAGGGCUUCUUGGCCUCCACCGACGCUCAUAUUUGGCAAGUAAUCCUUCGAGAUGACUUAGGGGCUAUGUUUGUGAAGAUAUGGCAAGGAUCACUUCGGGAUCAAAGAGGAAUCAAAGAAGAUCAAGCAGAGAUUUGGAAAGUUAUUGAAGAUCAAUCUCAUCCCGAAGCUACUGACAUGCCAGGCCCACAUGGAUACAAAAAUAAGCUUACAGAACAUCUAAGAAGACUUGGGAACGAAGCAGAGCACGAGACGAGGAAAGGAAGGCCCAGGCCGAUCGGCCUAGAACCCCCUAGGCCGAUUAGCCUGGGGUGUUUCCUCAUCCUCUCGCCUUCCAAUUUCUACCACACAGUCUCCAGGCAAUAAAUACUCCAAAAAAUCACCCGGCACGGGAAGGAAUCAAUUAGAAGUCGGUGAAACCAAGGGAGACACACCAUAGGGAGCUGAGGGCCGUGCAAAGUCUUUGAGGUUGUCUAGGUGAUGACUUAGGCUAGACCCUAGCUGCCAUGGUUGUCCCUGCGUGGCGAAGCCAUGGUGGAGUUCCGAAGCUGAUCCUUGUGAUCAUAAAGGCUUCUGUACACACGAUGGUGAUAUCAAUCUACUCUAGUCUUUACUGUAAUCUACUAUGAUGCAUGCUUUCUCUCAUAUGUUCUCGGCUGGCAUAUGUUUUUAGUCGGAAUAAAUGUAAUCAUGGUGAUUAGUCUAUAUCUUGCGGAUACAUCUUAGUAGUGCGUAGGAAGUUGGUGUGAUUAUCCUUGCGUGGUGACAGCAUGCGGGAGGGAAAAGGCUGAAGAAUUAUGUAAUCUUUAUCAAGGUACGAGAUAGAUUGGUUACCACUUUGGCUGGAGCUACAACAAGAAGACAACAGGCUCAAGCUACCCUUCGGUUGUGCUUUAUUGUAUAUAUAUUUGGAUGUGAUCUACCCUUAUUCAUGAUAUCAAUCUCUACACCAAGGUUACCUUUAUAUGCAAUAAGUGCUUAUUAAUAGGAUUAGAUCUGUAUAGCUAGAUAGAGAACUCUAGUCAGUUCGCUGUUGAUUCACGGAUUGAUAAACCUUGGAUGGAAUACUCUAAGGGAAAAGCUACGAUGAUCUAUGCCUUUACGGUACAGCAUUUGGUGUGCUUAAGUGCCAUCAACAGCCAACGUGUGCCUCCACUGCACUCCCUGAUGACGGCCUGGAUGACGGGGGAGCCACGCCGGCCAUGGCGGCCACAGCGCCGUACACGGUGGAUCCUUGGAGGCGCCUGCGUGCCCCUACUUUGCAAGUCUAGGUCGGAGACCCGUGCACCCGAGCUCCGAGCCCCCCUGCUUCGACCGCGGUCAACGUCCAGGCGAAGGUUGCCAAGCUGCUGCUCCACCUCCUAUCGUGCUUCUGCUACCUCCUCCUGCACCUCCUCCACCUCCAGCCACCGGGCGGCAGUGGUAGCCGCCACGUCUUGGGUCACAACCGCGGCCUGGUGCUGAAAGGAAUCGGUGCUCGUAGCCUUAGAGGGGGAGGUGGUGAAUUAGGCAACUUAAAAACUUAACCUAUGACUUCCACUACUUUACAUGCAUGUAAACUAGACCAUUCUAUACUAGAAGUACAUUCUAUGGUUGAUUUAGUGUGGAACCCUCAUCCCAAAACAAGUUUUACAACCUAUAGCUAAUCCUAUCAAGAUACUACUCUAGGAAAGUAAAGGCACACAAGUUGCAAGUAUGAAAUGCGGAAACAUAAGAGGUUAGGAUGAGGGGAAACAAACUCUUGACAUGAUGAUAUUUAUCUCAUGGUAUUGGUAGGCACUAAGCCACCACUAUUCCACAUUGUUGAAGCACUCACAUAAGAGUAUUGCUUUCCGGUCACCAAAUCUCUCCCAAGGUGCCCCUUGACUUGCCACAAAGGCUCAGCCACUAAGGCUCACGCCAAGUCCCUCGUGACUUGCCACAAAGGCUCGGCCACUAAGGCUCAUGCCAAGUCCCUUGCUCACCUUGAUGUCGUCUCCACUAAGAAGCUUCCAUGAGUCAUCAUCAUCAUCAUCAUCUUCACUUGAGCUUCCAUGAGUUGCCAUCUUUCUCAACUUCUUCUCUUAUUGACUUGAAAGAGCAAGGGUUUGAGUUGGAGAAGAUGGUUCCUUGGGCUUGUCCUUGAGUUGCAUCUUGGGCUUGUCCAUUAGCUGGAGCUCAAAUGCUAUAAUCAUUUUAAGGAUAUUAUUUGGAGUAAACUCAUCAAGCUUCUUCUCAAAGAGAAUUGCCUUUACCAAAUCAUAAUCUGAGCCUUGGAUUGAUUGAAUAAUCAACCCGAGGGUCUUGAAUCUUCAUGGAAGUCAUCAUCCAAGUAGUCUUGCGGCGUCCAGCCCCCGAGCUUAUGCGCCAGGUGAACCGUAGGAGCCACGUCGAGUAGCUUUGUAGUGUUCAGCCCCCGAGCUUGGGAGCUAGCUGAGCCACUGGAGAUAUUCUGAGUAGUGAUUGGUGCUUAGCCCCUGAGUUCGGGAACUAGUUUGUGCCUCUAGAGGCAUGCUUGGUGUCGCGACGAGCGUCGUCGCCAAAGCUUGACCUGAAAGAAAAGGCGCGUACAUUAUGUAGCAUAUUUGUAGGAUACUUGAAACCGCUGAAAUUUAUUCAGCAAUCAAUGUAAACAUUAUGUGCCAUGCUCUUGUUUCAGUCAUACUCUUUCCGAGUAGUUAGCCUGUUACAUUUUAGGCUCAGUCCCCGUUUAGUUGUAGCCACUGCGCGUGUGAGAGCUUUGUCUCGUGCACUCAUAUGGGCACUGCUGUGUGCACAACUGAGAGCUUGGUCUCAUGUAUGUGUGCUAGCAUUUGGUGUCACAGGUGCACCCGAGGCUUUCACAAGUUAAGGCAUGUUCUGCUCGAGAAGAGUAGUGACCUUAAGAGAAGACAAAAAGAAAUAGUCGCUGUUGCAACAAAAAGAGAGCGUGGUAGCGCGAAAGAGUUUGCUGUACUCCGGCGAGUAGAGCGCGUGUUGUGCGUAAGAGCUUCCGGUGAGUAGAGCGCGUGUUGCGUGCAAGCGAAAAAUAAGCUGGAAAAUAACUUAGAAAAAAUAACUUAGCUUGAUUCGUGGAUGAUUGUUGACGAAGCCGUGACGGUCGUUGAUGAAGCCGUGAUGGUUGUUUACGAAGUUGACUAGUCGGAGGCGAUUCUGACUUGUUGUCGACGAUGCAAAGUUUGCCCCGACUAAUUUUUUAGUCGAGAUGAGGAGUUGGAGUAGUCCACCCUCGACUAGCCUUGGAGUCGAGACGAGUAGUAGAAGUAGUCAUCAGCGAGCGUCGCGAUGUGGUCAGAGUAGUCGUCAGCAAGCCGCCCAUAGUCGGCGGAGUCGUUGGCAAGCCAACCGUGGUCGUCGGCGUGCCCGCGACAUAGUUGAAGAAAUCAUCAGCGAGCCGCCCGUAGUCGUCGGCGAGCUCGCGAUGUAGUCAAACUUUCGAGUUGUACUCAAACUUGAAGUCGCUGUUGGACUUCGAGUCGGAGUUGAAGCUGGAGUCACCGUCGGACUCCGUGUUGCGGUUGAACCCGGAGUUGUCGUCGGACUCGGAGUUGUAGCCAGACCCGGAGUCGCCGUCGGACUCCAAGUUGUAGUCGGACUCGGAGUCGCCGUCGGACUCCGAGUUCAAGUCAUGGUCGGACCCGUAGUCGUCGUCGGAGUUCGAGUUCGAAUCACGGUCAAAACCAAAGUCGCCGUCGAAGUACGAGUUUGUAGUCAAACCUUGAUCCGAGGUUUAAUUUGUUGAUUUUCUCAAUGAGAUUUUCUGCAUCUUCUGGAAGAGAGUUCCUAUCGAGGAACUCUUCUCCUGGUUGUUGAUGAUGCAGCGUUGGAACAACCUAGUGCCGUCGGUGUUGCAAAGUCAGGAGUCAAAGAUGAAGGUUGUGCCCGCUUUGAAAGCGAACGCCGGCUCGAAGAUGAGGUCCUUCAAGCUCGCCCUAUGAUCGUGAUGAUCUGCCCCACGGUGGGUGCCAAUGUCGGUGUUUUAUACCGGCCAUCUACCAAGGGGUACCCGAGGUAGUAGAAUGUGUAGCAGGGGAUCGCCGGACCUGGAACUUGAAGGUAAGAGCGAGGACACGAGAUAGGGAUUUAGACAGGUUUGGGCUACUAGAGUAGCAUAAUACCCUACGUCUUGUAUGGGGGUGUUUGUAUAUUGCGCCCUGCGCUUGGGUGUUGAGGUGUGACCUGCCGAGCUAGGUACCCCUGCCCUCCUUUAUAUACUCCAGGGGGCAGAGUACUAGUCGGAUUACAAGGAGGAGUCCUAGUAGGAUUACACGGGAUGAGUCCUAGUAGGAUUAUAGGGGAAUCCUAGUAGGAGUCUAACUUCUUCCUUCCUUGCGGGUAUUGGGAUGUAUCCCUGACAGGAGGAGCGGAAGGCGUGGGAGUGGACGAAGGCAGCGAGUCUCGAGGCCAUGAGUGCGCCAUCGGAUCUUGGAUAGGGAAGAGGGGGGCUGGGGGAGCGCCGCUCCCGCCGGGUAGGGACAGAGAGAGAGAAGAGGGGUAGGUUGAAGAGAUGGAAAGAAAACCCUAGCUCUCAUACCAAUUGUUGGUCCAAACUGAAUUCUUUACAUUGACUCUGAAUAGCGAUUCAUGUUUGGUAAUACAUAUAUAGGAUAAAAGCAAGGGUAGGUAUCUUAGAGAUAAGGCUUGUCGUUGUCGAGAUUAGCGGAUCAAGACUACAGCAAGUGAAUUUGUUUUAUGCGCGUAAGGCUCGGAUGGUUGCGUGAGAGGACACGGGGUUAGGCUGGUUUGGGCAGGAAUAGCCCUACGUCCAGUAUGAGGAGCUGCUUGUGUUACUCACGCAAGGUCUGUAGUAGGGGUUACAAACAGGCGAGAGAGGGGAGCUGAUCCCAAGUCUCUUGGGUGUGCACUGAUGCUCGUGAGGAGAGGGUGUGAGUUCUGUUGGCUUGAGCCUCUCUUGUCUCAGGUCCCCUGGUUCUCCUUUUAUAGCGUAAGGAGGGCACAGGGGUUACAGGUGAGCCAGGCGUAUGGAAAAGUAAAAGAGAUAAGCUAAGUAAAGUAAAACAUAGGGAAAAGGACCGAGUUCCUGGGUUGCCACUUUCCUCUCCGGCCUUUGUCUCUCAUCAGCGUGGCCGCCGGAGGGGGGCAGCUGCCAUUGGAUCCUGUUGGCGAUCCCCCGGUCGACCGUCGUUGCCAGACAUGAUGAUGAUGUUUGGCCGCCGCAACUGUGCUCGUCGUGGGGGCGGCUGUCCUUUGUAGCCCUGCAUGUUGACCGGGAGGUGCGGCCAAUACAUCUCUGCCGACGUACUGAUCGUGAAACUGGGCAGCGCUCCCUCCUAUGCUGGGGGCGCGGGUGAUGAAUGCCCUACGGCGGACAGGAGAGACAACGGACUGGGGCGGUGCCGCUGUAGCCUGUGCGGUCAUGGCUACAGUGUUCCGCCUGGGUACUGUGGCGGGUCACAUCGAGGAGCGCACCAGAGCCGAGGUGCAUUUAUGGUGAGAUUGGUGGGGGCCCACGAGAUUUGCGCCCUCAUCUGCUGGUUUGCGCCCGAGGUGGAUUCUUGUCUUGUGGGCCCGGAUGAGUCCGACCUCCUGUGCCCUGGGUCGGGCGUAUCCGACCCCAGGACCAUGGGUCGGGUGAGGCCAAGCCUUACAGUGAGGGGUCGGGCGUAUCCGACCCCAGGACCGUGGGUCGGGCGAGGUAGAGUGGAAUGCUCCUUGCCCAUGCCGGGUCGGCGGAGGUCACUGUUGCCGCAGAUGGGCCCGGGUGUUUAUGUUCUGUGUUUAGGGGCGUUAUGAGGUCGUUAACAUUUCCCCCCAACAAGACUAGAGAUAAAGUAGCUUUUACACCAACCACUACUAGACUUAUUUCAUCAUGUUAAUUGUUCACCAGGUAAAAAAGGAUCCUAUUGAGUUGGGGCAAUGUACAACUAAGGUGCUAGGAGAGAUAAAUUCUGAGGUGAGUUCUCGUACUUUAGCUGCUACAAAUGAGUUAACUUGAUUGAAUUUAAACAUUAGUACCAUGUGAUUCUUGAAGUACUACAACAAUAUCCCUCAAAAGCUUUUAGGAUCAACUUUUCAUAUGAUAUGAAUCGUCUAUCGAAUUCCGACAUGCAUUCAUGGGGACUAUAGCACUGAUAACAAAUAAACAAUGACUAUACGCGCAAGACCAGCAGCUAAACCUCCAUGAUGGACCAAUGCAAGGGAACAAGAUGUAGAGCUUUGUUGUGGACUCCUUUUACCAUAAGUAUACUUACAGUAGGCGCAGGGGCAAGGAGUCCACAACGAUCCCAUCUACAAGCCGCCAGGAUUAAUAGAAGUUGGUUAGGAUUUGUUAAAGAGUCCUGUACGGAUUGGAUAAGCUAGUUGGUCUGUUAUAUAAAGGCCUUAGUAGAUUGUUUAGGGAUUAUCGAAGGAAUAAACUCUCCCCUGUUCUGGGCGUGAGUUGUUCUUCGACGAUGGCGGAGAAAUCUGUCUCGGUCACCGGUGACAACAACUCGUCUGCAUACCUAUUGCGCUCCAACUCCCAGGCUCACCUGUUCCUACAGUCUCCCCUGCAUUUUCCUCGCCGUCACUCGCGUCGUAUCAAUUUGGUAUCAGAGACAGCUGCUGGGGCAUCGCCAUCCAUGGCCGGCCCUAAGGACGAUCCGGAGACCGACUCAAACAGCUCUCCACCAUCAACUCCCGCCUCGACUCCCAUGAACGUCGCAUCGCCCGCACCGAGAAGUAUCAAGCUGGCGAUGACACUUCCGAAGGCGCCACGGAGGUUUCGCCCGACUAAGCUCACCGCAAUCCGGGCAGCGGCGGCGGCAAUGGCAGUGGUGGCGGCACUGACGGCCACGGCGAUGGCUUUGGUGGCCCUCACAGCGGGCGGGCCCCUCAGCACUACGACAGCCCCGGGCGACCACGCCCACCCAAGCUGUCGUUCCCCAAGUUCGACGGGGAAUCAAACCCCUUGCCUUGGCUCAAUCGGUGCGACAUCUUCUUCCACGGACAUCAAACCAUGGAGGGAGAGAAGGUGUGGAUGGCUUCUCUGCACCUUGAAGGCACGGCGGCCCAGUGGUACUUUCAGAUGGAACAGGAAUUCAGCAUCCUCUCUUGGGCGCGAUUCGCUAAGUUCAUCAACAUGUGCUUAGGGUCGCCCAUCCGUUCCAACGCCUUAGGCAAGCUCAAGGAUCUUCAUCGCACAGGCUCGGUAGAGGAGUACGAGCGGCGAUUUCUGGCGCUCCUCUGCCGCUGCGACAACCUAAUGGCUCAGCACCAGAUCAAUCUUUUCACGUCUGGGUUGGGACAGCCGUUGGCCUCUGAUGUCAAGCUGCAGCGGCCGUCCAACCUCCAGACGACCAUGAGCCUUGCGUGUGCCUUUGAGCUACGUUCCAAGGAGGCGACGUGUGCUAUCUCCGGAACUCUACGGCAAGGCCCCCGUCCCUGCUCCGUCGCUGCACCAUCCGCUCCUUCAUCGGCCCCAGCAACGCCAGAUGAGUCGCCAUGGCCGUGUUUUUGCCGCCUGUCUGCCGAAGAGCUGGCGGAGAAGGGAGCCAGCGGCCAGUGCUACAUCUACCCAGAGAAGUUCUCCAAGGACCACAAGUGCGCCGGCCGCAGUGGCGUAUUCCGCCUGGCCAUGGACGAUGAGGCAGGAGACGUGCAGGUCAUCCCUGAUGACAUCCACAUCUCCCUCCACGCUCUCCACGGCAAUUCCACGGACGCCACGAUCCGUCUCCAUGUCUCUAUCCACGGUGUUCAGCUCACUGCAUUGGUGGAUUCCGGCUCCACACACACCUUCAUCCACGACGAUGUUGCCCGCGCCUCGGUCUCGCCAUCACACGUCGUCACGGACUACGGGUUAAGGUGGCUAAUGGCGAGCACCUCACCAGUCUGGGCAUCUAUGCGUCCGCUCCGGUCUGCAUCCAGGGCGAGGCAUUCUCUGUUGACUGCUACGCCUUGGCAUUGGAUGGCUUCGACAUCAUCCUUAGGGUGACGUGGCUGAAAACCUUGGGGCUGAUCACUUGGGAUUUCAACGACCUCACUAUGGCCUUCCAGUACCAAGGGCGUGACCUGCUGUGGCACGGCAUUGGUGGUGGCAAUGUUGAUUUGGCAGCCUUGACGGCCACCCGGGAUCUCAUGGAUGCCCUUCUGCUCAAAUAUGGCGGCAUUUUUGCAGAGCCCCGUGGCCUUCCUCCGCAACACCUACAAGAUCACUGGAUUCAUCUACUACCAGGUUCUACUCAUGUUGCUUUCUUCAGCCGGGCUGUGACUCCCCAUCACGCCAAGUUACCAGCUUAUGAGCGUGAGUUGAUUGGAUUGGUGAAAGCCGUGCGUUACUGGAGGCCAUACCUUUGGGGUCGGCAGUUUAAGGUCCGGACAGAUCAUCAGAGCUUGAAAUUCCUCCUGGAUCAGCGCUUCUCUACGAUACCGCAGCAUACUUGGGUCAGUAGACUUUUUGGGUACGACUUGUUGGUGGAAUAUAGACCAGGCAAAUUGAAUGCUGCUGCUGAUGCAUUGUCCCGCAGGGAUGAAGAAGUUGGGUCCCUUCUUGCCCUCUCUAUGUCGUCAUUUGAGGUUUUUAAGGCCCUGCGAGAAGAGCGGGUUGGGGAUAGUCGAGCAAUUGACUUGCAGGCUCAACUUGUCGCUGGAACUGCCCCAAGUGGCUGGUCGGAUGUGGAUGGACUGCUUCUCUACAACGGCUGUGCAUAUGUUCCAGAUUGAUCUUCCCUUUGGCAACAACUUUUGGAAAAUGCACAUGCCUCUGGCCAUGAAGGCAUUCAGAAGACUUUACACAGACUUCACUUGUCUUUUUACAGCUCUCUUGCUAGCAGAUUGGUCCGUGAGUACAUCCAUGGCUGUGCGGUGUGUCAACGCAAUAAAUCUGAACACUUGCAUCCUGCUGGCCUCCUUCAGCCGAUUCCUGUUCCUUCGGAGAUCUGGAAUGAUAUUGCUAUGGAUUUUGUGGAAGGUUUUCCUCGCGUGGGCGGAAAAUCGGUGAUUCUGACGGUGGUUGACAGGUUUUCCAAAUUUGCUCAUUUCAUAGCCUUGGGUCAUCCUUACACUGCAAGCUCUGUCGCUCGGGCAUUCUUUGAGAGCAUCGUUCGGCUCCACGGGUUUCCUUGCUCAAUUGUCAGUGAUCGUGAUCCGGUUUUCACUAGCAAUUUUUGGAAGGAAUUGUUUUGUUUGGUUGAUGUUAAAUUGCUGCUCAGUUAGGCCUUUCACCCGCAGACUGACGGCCAAUCAGAGGUGACCAAUCGGACUAUUUCCAUGUACUUGCAUUGUUUGGCUAGAGAUCGCCCUCAUUCUUGGCUUCAGUGGCUCCCUUGGUCUGAGUUCUGCUAUAAUACUUCCUACUAGACUGCCAUUGGUACCACUCCCUUCCAAGUGGUUUAUAGCAGGGAGCCUCGAACCUUGCUGCGCUUACAACCUGGGGCUGCCAGGGUUGCAGCUGUUGAUCGCCAGCUUCGUUAUCGCGAUGACUUCUUGUCCGAGAUUAAACAGCGUCUUCUGUUAGCUCAGGAUGCUAUGCGUCAGCAGCAUGAUAAAAAGCACCGGGAUUUGGAGUUUGCUGUUGGUGAUUGGGUAUGGUUGCGUCUUCAUCAUCGGACUGCUGCCGGGAUCACUUUUGCUCGCUUGACGAAGCUCAGUCCUAAGUACUUCGGGCCCUUUCAGAUUCUUGCUCGAGUUGGCUCGGUAGCCUAUCGUUUACACUUGCCUGCAAAUUCUCGCAUCCAUGAUGUGUUCCAUGUUGCUCUUUUGAAGAAGUUUGUCGGGGAGCCUCCUACUACAGCACAGCCAUUGCCUUUGCCACCCAUUGUUCAUGGUCGCGCCGUGCCUACUCCUGAGAAGAUUGUGCGUGCUCGCCUUUUCCGUGGUGUGUGGGAGGUCUUGGUACAGUGGGUUGGACAAUCGACUGCUGAUGCUACUUGGACACCGGUGGACGACUUCAAGGCGACUUAUCCUUCCUUUCAGCUCGAGGAUGACCUGUUUCUCGGGGAGGGGGGAAAUGUUGUGGACUCCUUUUACCGUAAGUAUACUUACAGCAGGCGCAAGGGUAAGGAGUCCACAACGAUCCCAUCUACAAGCCGCCAGGAUUAAUAGAAGUUGGUUAGGAUUUGUUAAAGAGUCCUGUACGAAUUGGAUAAGCUAGUUGACCUGUUAUAUAAAGGUCUUAGUAGAUUGUUUAGGGAUUAUCAAAGGAAUAAACUCUCCCCUGUUCUGGGCGCGAGUUGUUCUUCGACGGUGGUGGAGAAAUCUGUCUUGGCCGCCGGCAACAACAACUUGCCGGCAUACCUGUUGCGCUCCAACUCUCAGACUCACCUGUUCCUAUAGUCUCCCCAGCGUUCUCCUCGCCGUCACUCGCGCCGUAUCAGCUUAGCAUACGUGAAGAUACUAACUCCAUCCAUACAUAUAAGACAUUUUGACAAACAUAAGGCAAGCAACAUUUGUGAAUUCAGAUUUAGUAGCUAACUGUAUACAACUUUUGCGAUGAGGAAGUGGCACAAGAUUCAUAGCACAUUGAAUGGACCAUAGUUAUAAUUUUUUAACUAGUUUAAAUAUAUUUUUUUAGAAAACUUAGUUCAUUCUCUGAUCCCCGCUACUACAGAUAAUAUCCGAUCACUAAUAGUUCAUAACCACUUAACCAGCAUCACUCUGGUAUUGAACAGGCAAAUGGACAAGUAGGAGUGAGUGACAUAUACUCCAUGAGCUUCACUGCCUCUGCAGUAAUAAGGGCCCAUUAAACUAUUGGCCACUCCAAUCGACAUUUGUCUUUUCAAUGGUAGUCUCCUUUUUGUCCUCAACUAUUGUCUAGAAAGUUAAAAUGUGGUACGAAAAGAUAUGACUUCCAAUUUGGCGAAAUCCAUCCCUAACAGCUCGAGGGUGAAAUCAGACUUUCACAAUAGUUAGAGGACUAAUGUUGAACGUAACAUAUCUUUUAACUGGUGUGAAGUUUUUAUUUUUAUAAGGAGGUGUGAGGUGUUAAUCCUCUUCUACGAAUCACGGUAUGUGAUGGUAAUGUCAGAUUGGAGAACUCUAAACUGUAGAGCAUGUUCAGUUUCAACAGAAAAGGCCUACAUGUCUCAUUGUCUCUCGUACCAGUAUCAUAUGUACCAUCAAAUUUGGUUCUACAAAGUAAACGAGAUGGAUCUCUCUCUUAGUCUCAGCUUAACAAUUGAAUUCCUAGGAAUUUCUUUUAUUUUUUGCGUAUUAACAUGGAAUCCCUUUUUUCGCGUAUUAAUGUGGAAUCCUUGACCCUAUGUGAAUCAGGAUGGAUUCAUGAUACUAUAUUUACAUUGCUAGGUUUAUACUAAUAGUUUCAAGUAUAAAUCUUAAAAACUACAGAUUGUUCGUCCAAACUAAACUACUAAUUUAAAUAAUUGUAUAGCAAACUAAAGUAUUUAACAUAUGCCAUGUCACUAGGUCAGAAAAGAUUUGUGCUAGCUCAUGGGAUUUCCAGUACUAGCGAGUGAUAUUGACAUCCAUAAGCACAAAAGGUUAUGGGCCCACUCCGUCAAAACCUGCCAAAUGCACCUGUGCUGGCGGGUGACAUAAGGACCUGCCAGCACAAAUCCUCAUUUGUGCUAGCAGGUUCUUAUAUCACCCGCUAGCACAAAUACUUUUCAAUUUAUAUGGAUGGGAAGGAUAAAAAAAAUUUAAACUAGUUAAAAACUUUGUUUUACAUAUCACGAUAUAUUUUUAACAUAUAUUAGACUAUGUAUAUGUUGUUGUGUAGGCGUUGCAAAAAAUUAUAAGUGAUUUACUAUUUUCUAAGGUAUAAAUGAUUAUAAGGAUGUUUAUUGGAAUUAAUAUGUAUUUGAACUAAUUUUUUCACAAAUAAGAUCAAAAAAUUUCAGAAAAAUGACGUUAAAGACACAAAGUCCCUGAAAGAUUCACAAAGUUUUUAGGUACAUUUAUCACUUCUAUUAAAACUUUUAGUGAAAAUAAAUUCUAAUAAUAUCUAAACGUGUUCCAAAAACUAUAUAAAUUGGUAUGGAUCAUUUUAUGAGUUCACAAUCUUUGCAUAAAAGUUUCAAUAUAUUGUAAGAAAAUUGGAAUAUAUAUUGUUCACAAAUAUAUACUUCAUCUACAACAUUUCAUAUAACUCAAGUGAGGCUUUAAGCUUAUGAACUAACUUAGUACUAUAGUAAUUUGUGAACUAACUAAUUCAUAAAUACGAUCUCGGAUGAAUACAAAGUUGAUAUUAAAGUUGUAGAUUUAGAGUAGAUCUAAAAUUUUGUAGUUGACAACUUUUUCAUUUAAAGUUUUUUAAUAGCUCAAAAUAUCAUUGUAAACUCUCUAAUUUCAAAAUCUUGAAUUUUAAAAUUUCAAAUGACCUCAAAUGCAAACAAGCUCUAUAUCAAAGUUGUAGUGCUUAACUAGAUAUAAACUUUUAUAGUUGACAAAUAUUUCAUUUAAAAUCGUUUAGCUGCUCAAAACUUCGUUAUAAGGUUAUGAAAGGAACACGUUCUGCUACAUCAGCGAUCCGUGUCGAUUUUUUCUCCCAUUGGCUAGAACCUCCUCUUCCUGCAUCCAUCCCCUCUUAUCCCUUCCCUCUCACUCUCUAUCCUUAUCCAUUCCUCUCACCUCAUUUUCCAAGGGCCAAGGGGAGGGAGCAUCGGGGGAGCAGCAGGAGGGCACGACUGCGCAGGACACCAGCCGGCUGCGAGCAGCGCGGCAUGGCGGCAGGAGGGCACAACACAGCACCCCUCAACCCCGAUAGCUGGUGGCGCAUAGAGGCCCGCGUGGGGCCCCAGUGCUAGAGGCGAUCGCGGCGCCCCUGGAUCCGACUCAAGGGGCCCAACGGCCGGCGGCGGCGCACAGGGCUCGGAGGCUAGCGCGACCCCCUCAACCCCAGCCCUGACGGCAAAGGUGGCCGGCGCGGCGGUGCGGCACCGGCCGCAGCGGGCAGGAUGGCGCGGCGGGCGAGGCACGGCGGCAGGAGGGCACCGCGCGCUGGCCUUUUUUUCCUUUCUUUUUCUUUUUAUAUUUUAUAUAUUUUCUUUUGUUUUUUAUGUAGUAGUGAAUAUGAAUAUUUCAUAUUUAUGUAAUAUUGCUGUGGUAUGUUUAAUGGUAUGAAAAAUUAUAUAUUGUUCAUGUUUUAAUUUGCUUUGUGGUUGGAGAUACAUAUUUUAAAUUAGCAGAAAAUAAUAAUUUUGGAAUUGGUGGGAAAUAAAAUUAGAAAAAUGGUGGGAAAAAUUAAAAAUUCAAAAGGGGAAACGAUCUGUGUUGGCGGGCGUCUUAAGCGUCCGCCAGCACCAAUCCAUUUCUGCUGGCGGGCGCUCACCUGCUAGCAUAUAUGCCCAUUUCUGCUGGCUUAAGGUUGCCGGCGGUUAGGCAACCCACCGGCGCAAAUUUUUUAUAGCGUAGUGUGUUACCAAAAAGUUACGAAUUGAAAAAAAAUUCUAUCACAAAACUGCUGAUUUUUUUUGCAAUUCAUCGUAAAACCACACGUUUGCAAUUUGGUUUCACCUUAAACGUGCAUGGUUGUGUUUCCUUGAUCUGGGCCAAAAUAGUUUUAUGAGUUAGUAAACACUGAUGUAAACCCUACUCUCUGACUAUGGAUCUCCCAUUGAAAUGGACCCCAAUUCCCAUUUCUAAAAAUUCAAGCCUACGAACCUCCAUGACAGUCCCAAGAAGACUAUCACGUGCGAAUCUCUGUCUCAGAUAGUACAAAUCCAUACCAACACAGAAAUAUAAAGCAACAACAUAGUAUAUCAAAAUAACAUGAGUAGCGAGGACAUCUCUAGGGCAUAUGCUGGUAUCAGGACUAAAUCAAGAAAGGUAAAACAUCUACGCAGCGGAAACAAAAGCUAUGGCGAACUCCAUCUCCAGAGGUGACUCAAGCAAAGAACCAUCCCUAGUCUUCUCAUCCGUCGUUGUCGAAGUCAUAGUCGGGCUCCGACCCUGAAAAGUCACCAUCUACCCGAGAAGCGGGUAGGCUAUGUCAAGUCCCAAAAGCAGCAAGCUAAGGAAAUGGGAAAAUAUACUAUAUGCACGGGUAAAACCUAUAUAUGGUUGUUGGGGUUUAUGUAGCAGCAACAGCAAUCAAGGAAGCAGCAAUACAGCACACCUCUGAGGUCAACACCUCAAACAAGGAAGUCGGCACAAAUCGCCGGAUUCUUCACUCAAGGGUCCAGCACCCAAACACACUAGGCGAUGUGAGAGCUCCCUUCCCUCAUAUCUCAACGGCAAACGUCAGCCUAUCUUAAAAGGGGGAGGUAGAAGGAUAAGAAAAGUCUAGUCAGAAGUAGUAGUAGUCAACAGCACUAUCCAUUACCAGUGGACACGGACUAUAGUUAUAGCUUUAUACACUCUUAGACUUCAACUACCGAAUUUAGUACAAAUGUUUAAGUUCAGAAACUUGAGAAAAAAAGAUAAAUAAAGUAUUCACUCCAUUUUGAAAUAUAUGACAUUUAAAACGAAUUAAUCGAAAAAUAUAAAUUAAUUAGUCUGUUCCAAACGUCAAAUAAGGGUAAGAUUAACUUAGAAUGGACGGUUCACAUUAACUUGUACUUGGAGUACCAGCAGAAAAGCAGAAUCUAUACCUAAACAACGGUUUGUUUACCACACGACUUCUUGUUCUAGACGGCGCCGCGUGGCGAAGCGACGGACUUCAGGAUUCGGACGGCGCUGGUUGUAGUAGAAGAGGCCGACUUCUCGUUGCAGAUAGCACCGGUGGGAGAAGUGGCCGUGUUGAAACCCCGACCUUCCAGGCAUCGCUUCCACCGGCCUACGGAUGUCAUCAGCAGCCAUUGACAAACCAGCAACCGGAGCGGCAACGCAGCGGCCUUCAGCGCGCCGUCCCAGGCGAUCUCAUCGGACGUCGUCACGUCGACAGAACCGCCACCGCAUGUGGGCGCGAGCAGCGGCGGGUACAGCAACACGACGAUCUCGGAGGACGGCUACUAUUGGCGCAAGUACGAAUUGAAGGGGAAGAAGUGAAACCUGAGAACCCGUGCAGCAACUAGUCCGGCCGCCCCUCUGCUGUUCGUCGCUAACGUGUGGGUACUAGAACUGAUCUUCCAUAUAGUGCUUUUAUCCCGAUUAAUUUUAGUUCCGAGUCAAAAAUGAAGCACUGAAGACCACCCACGGGAGGGGCUUUAGUUCCUGUUGUAAAGAUCAACUGGGACUAAAGCUCCCGCUUUAGUCCCGGUUGUAACGGCUAAAAAAUCUAACACCAACGGUGGGAGCUUUUGUCCCGGCUGGUAAUUCCAAUCAGGACAAAAGAUUUAGUCCCGGUUGGAAUUUCCAACCGGGACGAAAGGGGCUCACGCGCCCCCCCCCCCCUUCACUCUCCACCUUAUCUCCUCUCUCCCUUUCUUUUCCUCCUCCCAGUGCUAACUCUUCCUCCUCUCCCUUUCGUUUCCUCCUCCCGGUGCUAACUUCUCUCCCUUUCUUCCAGGCGGGCGCGCGGGCGGGCAGGGGCAGCAUGGGCGGGUGGGCGGCGCGAGCGGCCGGACGGGCGUGCGUGGAUGGCGAGCGGCGGGCUGGGCGAGCGCGUGACAGGUGAGCGGGUGGCUGGGCGCGGGCGGUGGAUGACCAGCUGGGCGCGCACGGGCGUCAAAGGGUGGAGGCAGAGGGGUGGAGGUGGGCGGUGCAGGAGCCGAGGCAAGCGGAGGCCGCGGUGCAUUUUUUUAUUUUUUUUACUUUUGAAACUUUUUAGUUCGGUUGGUAACACCAACCGGGACUAAAGAGGAUCUUUAGUCCUAGGUGGAUGAUCCGGGACUAAAGGACCCCUCUCGUCCCAAAAAUUUUAUCCUGGAUGAAUUUUUGAAAGAUUUGAGACCAACUAACCGGAACAAAUGCUCAGGUUUCUACCAGCGGGGCCCAUUUAGUGAGCGGGCCCACGCUUCCACAACCUAAGGCAGAGGGACUCGAUUGCUGCAGGCAAUACUGCUCUUAUCGACAACCUGAGCAGCUGUACACAGAGCCCUUAAUUUUUUUUAACUUUAGAGAGGCCGAAAUAUUUAUAUAUUAGCAUAAAUCUUGUUAUUGUUGAGGCUAUUAUAUACCUGAAUGGUACGUAGCUUCACCGAGCAAUCCACCCAUUUGCUCCUGACUCUCUUCUAUGCUUCAUCAGUGAAAAUAGCCUCCUUUGGUAGCCUCCAUAUGUGAGUAAUGUUUCAGUGUUUAGUUGAGUUUUUUUUUGUAAAAGAAAUGUUAGAUAUAUCUUUUCAAGCAAAAGUUGCAUACAGGAUACAUAUCAUGCGAAUUUAUACAGUACAGUUUUGAAGCGAUACGGUUUGGAUACUUAGAAAAUAACGUAUAUUUAUAGGAAUAAAUAUCUUUUUUUGAGGGUUCAAUGUGGGAGAAUAGUCUCUCACCUGACAUAUUGGAGGAGGUGAACCUUCCGAUUUGUGUUUUUUCUCAAAUAUGCGGUACCUAUCGGUACUUGUUUUUGUUUCUAUCGUUUGGUCGGAAAACAAUUAAUAAAAAUUAAAUUUAAGGAUUGUUUUUUUACUUCCCUACCAAUUUGGUACUUCUUGGUACUUCUAUUUAGAUUUCUCGAGAUGGAUGACUCUUAUUUUUUCCAAUCAUUCUAAAAUUUCUCAAAAAGAUUUAGUUCACCUUACAUUCGAAGAGCACGAUACCAAAGUGAAGUGAUGUCAUAUUCUAGCAUCAUCUCGGUCGGCCAGUAGGUCCAGAGCAGAGAAAAAAAAUCAUACUUACAUGUACUAACUGCUAUGAUAUGUAUGGCCUAAAGUAUAGCCUUAUACGGUAUAUAUAGUAUAGGUGGUCGCUUUGCUGGCGUCGAGUUUUCCUUUACCUUUGUUUCUAAAAUAAACCUGUAAAUCUCUUCUAUAUUAAUAGAAAUGGCACAAUCCGUCCGUUCAAAAAAAAAAAAGUAUGGCCUAAAGUUUACUUUUAGCACAGGGUCCUCAACAUGCUGCUGGGGACGGCCCUGACUACUACAAGUGUACCUUCCCCGGCUGCUUCGCCAGGAAGAAGCUGGAGAGGUCGCUCGACUGCCAGAUCAUGGAGAUCGCGUACAAGGGCAGGGAUAACCACGCAAGGCCGCGGAACACGAGCAGGGGCUCUGCAGGCACGGCGGUGCAGGUGCUGCAGAGCGGCGGCGGCAACGCGUCCGAGCGCAGGUUUGGAGAAAUGCCGGCCAUGUCGACCGUCAGCGACACCGAGGUCAUCGACGAUGGCUGCCGGUGGAGGAAGUACGGGCAGAAGGUGCUGAAGGGGAACCCAAACCCAAGGUAAGAACCCCACAAAAUUUACAGGUCCAUUCUUGUUCUCCCUACGCGUCGUGAAUGUCGCCUUGGGCCUCUGCCUAAUACAGGAGCUACUUCAAGUGCGCGAUGUUCGGCUGCCCGGCGCGCAAGCACGUGGAGCGCGCUUCCCACGACCAGCGCUCCUUCGUCACCACCUAUGAGAGCAAGCACAACACAACCACGAUCUGAAUGCAGCGCGCGGCGCCGGAAAGCAACAGCAGUAUGCCCGGCCUGACGGGGAGUGAGGGGCUGCUGGUACAUAAGUCAUUGACUCUGCAACUGCAACACAAGAGGCAGAGACGACGCGUGCAUUAUGCUGGCAACCCCAGCGUUUGGACCUGAUAGAGGGGGGCAAUGUCUUAAUUUGAUCCAAAAAGGACCAAGGAGGAGCUCAAGCUGGACAUGCAUGUUUUCCCCGCACUCGAUGCUGCUCCCUGACCGAAGAAUCGGAGGUUUAAUGCAGAAUCCGUCAAGUACAAUAAAAUGUAUUUGAAUCUCAAUCAAUAAAAUGUAUUGCGGAAAACAAACCAAAUUCUGGCUCCACGUAAAGAAUGCAGUCAAUUCCCUAAUCACAAUUGUUGCCUUCCAAUCAAGUCUUAGAUCUGUACUUUAACCAGCUACUCUAUCUUUGACCUGUCAAUGUUGGCAAAUCUAUUACCAACAUUUGUAUUGUUUUGCGAAAUCCGAUUACAAGCCUAAAAAAUGAAAUGUUCAUUAGCUGUUUGGAAUUUGUGAAACCAAUAUAUACAACACAAAAGAGCAAAGGAACAUGAUAGACAUUCCGAAUAUUAUGAACAUAGCAAUUUCAGUUUACCAAAUACUUCUAUAUAUCAUUCUUUAACUGAAACACAUAUUUUUAGCUAGACAGGUCAGAGGAACUAACUUUUAGAUCUAGAACCUUAUACAAAUAAAUGUUCACCUCCUAUAGAACCCAGCCUAACUUGGUUGAUCGAGGUUAUGGAUGUACACCCACAACCCAAGUUAACUCCCUGUCGAGGCAAAUUAACGUGCCUAUUUUUUGCUACAAUGCCAGUAGGCCAUGGAUUUUACCGGCACCUAUAUGGUCCAUAUCUUCAAUAAUUUAUUUAUUGAAAGUUACAGCUUGAUAUUGCUAUGCAACGUAAAAUUUAUUAUUUCUGAAGAUGUAAUAAUGCUCAUAACAAGUUUACAUGAAUAGUUCCUUACCAUUCAGAGCCAUCUACAGUGGUAAAUCCAAAACCUUUAACCUCAUCUUCAAACUGAAAUGCUCUCUCAAGCCUGUCAAUGCAAAUAGGCAGCCAACCUUUAGCAUAGUAAUUUUUAUGGUAAACUGAACCGUAUGUACUUGCGCAUUCAAUCUCGUCAUCGUUAAUGAAAAUAGUGUUAGCCUCUCACUAAUAUUGAAUUAAGGGGGUAAUUGGGUCAUCAGCAUAGCCACCCAGGAGUGUAGUCCAUGUGGCGCUGAUCGAGAUCCAUGGUACUUAGGUUAUGACGAGCCAUGUGAAGCAUCUAGGCCUCUAAUUUGGGUUUGGUAAUUAUUGACAACGUUUGUGGACUAACAAUUUCAUUGGAAAUAUGAGUAUAGGUUAGUCCCGGAGAUGAAUUGAGCUUCAAUGGAUGCUAAGGUGAUUGCUUUGAUGAAUUUAUAUUGGAGAGCUCAAGGCAAAGGUAUAUGGUAGGGCUUUUCUAUUUUACCGGUCAAAAGUUGCUUAGUGGAUGAUAAUUGAUCGGGUUAGUAGCUAGGCUAGAUAGCCGUACUAUCAAGUGGGGUCAAUUUCAUUUGCUUGACGGUUCUAUAAUGCCACUUCGUUCAAACAAUUGCGUUGCAUGCAUAUGGGUUUAUCUUGUUUGAAAAGUGAAAAGAAUGACUGGAAAAAUGUGCUUUGAAUAUGGCUAACACGUAGUGUACAGCAGACGGUCUCUUGCAGAGGCGGACCGUUCUUUGACUUAGCCAAAAUUCAAGUUUGUUAUGCUGUGCUGAAAGGACGAAGGGCAUACGGUCCGACCCUAUCGGACGGUUCACCACAAGGGUGGCUGACUGCGGCGAGGUGGCACUACACCACAAGCGCGCGGCAGGUUAAUGUUCACCUGGGCAGACUUAAAAAAAAAUGUUUCACCUGGGCAGAUCAUCAGGUCCAAAAGAGAUAUUAAACAAACAGAAAGGUUAUGUGGUGUUGAAACAGCAGUGUGAGGAAGACAAGACGUGUCAUUCCUUUGUUCGGCUCAACACUGGGCCCUCUUUAUUUGUUUCCUAAUUAUUCAGGAAUAAAACUGCAAUCCAGUCAAACGGUGCAUGUGCUUCCAUCCAUAUUGGGAUCCAGUCAUGUCCAUGUGGCCUUAAUUACCGCAGCUGCUGGCAAGUUUUUUGAUGAAAAGCUGCUGGCAAGUUUAUGAUCGAAUUGCAUGCCCCCAGACAAGAUUGCUGACCAGAUUGCUCAAUUUUUAAGAUGUAUAUCAUAAGGCUGUAACCAGCAUGCAAGUUUUUGUUCCUACACUGCGUUUACUCAUUUUUUUUAUAAUGAUAAAACCAUGUAGCCUAGUAGACUGAAGUUUUCUGUCUACCAUAAGUCGUUAUUGUUAGUGAAAGUAUUAUUUAUUGAAUUGCAAAACUUUCCUAUUUGAAGGAUUGAUUUAUUAGCAGAUAAUCAUUGUUAAUUAUGUAGAGGAGAGACAAUAGGAUCAUCUACUGUAAAACAGAAACCGGCCUUAUCUUUAAUACAGAUGCACUAGGAAAUUCUAGCAGGCAUGCUGACAAAUAAACGUGUAAGGGAGCUUCUUCCCUUGUCGUGGUCAAAGAAGCAUUACCUAUAGGUAGAGUUGUUCCACAAAAAGACACCCCCACGAUUCGCCCCUAAAUUUGUGCCGGUAACUAACAAGGGAAACUUUGGGUGGCAGGCGACAGCAGUUGCUGAACUGUAACUAUGCUGAUCUGAUUUACAUGUGUGAACUGCUGUCCUUGACAGCACAUCCAAGAUCUGAUUCAUAAGAGCAAAGAAGUGGUUAAACGUACGUUCAAUACGUACGCACACAGCAGUCCGGCAUAAAUUCAAUAACUAUUCAAUGAAAAAUAUACCGUUAUAUUCCCGCCUGUCCCGACAAUGGCCAUGUACUGCUGAUCACUACCUGUCAAGUAGAAAGCAACAAGACUUCCGUAAACUCUAUUCAAUUCAGUUGUAGGUUCCGCUGAAUUAAUGCUCCAGAACUGUAAAAUUUCAAUAAAGCAUGUGUUACAACAAAACUACUCCUAAGCCACAGCAUGGAAAUUUGUUUACUCUUUCGAGAGGUGAAAAUAUGUUUUAGCAAGAGGGAAAAGAGAAGGCAACCUUAAUGCUGGCAGGAAAAUUGGGUUCCAAGCUUGCAGAAACACUAGCAAAAGUAUUGGUGUCCAUGGGAUUAAAGGUCACCUGAUGUAGAUCGUACAAGUCUCUCUUAAAACUCCGAGUACAAACCCAGCCCAUAUCCCAGUCCCAUAGCUUUAUCAGAUGGUCGUCAGCCGAGGAAAGAAGAUAAGGUUGAGUUGCAUGAACUGCCAGUGAUCUUACUGCUCCGCUGUGAGCAUCAAUUAUCUUAACAUUUUCUAAUUCAUCAGUAUGUGUGUACACGUGAAUUGUCCCCCGGCUAUCACCUGAUACAGCCCAUUGUUGUCUUGCAAUAAACUUCACUGAGAGGUAACGACGCUUACCCUCUGUUAUAAUGUGGAAUGUCUCAAAUGUGUUUGACUGCCGAUGACAUGAACAUAAGCUAACAAUUUUGAUAUGAACAAAUUAAAAGGUAGUACAACUAUAUAAAUGAGUUGUAUAUAUUCAGUUCUUUUGUAUAGUACUUUAUUUCCACGACAUUUUUAGAAACAAAUAAAUGCUACUUCAUGAGCCAAAUUUUGUAGAAUAAGCUAUAUAUAUGCAGUCACUAUAGCAACUAUAUUGAUAUACUUAAAAUAUAUCUUCAUUUUUGAUAGAUCUUUUUUUUUUGCUGCAACACCGAAGGUGAAACAAAAUCAUUAUCUGGUGAGUAGGCACGUACCUGCAGGUUUUUCUUUGAAAUGCAAACUCCUUUGGCAUGACCGGUCAAAAUCCUGUCACAUAAUUAAAUAAUUAGGAAUGAAUGCAGAAGUUAACUAAUUAUUAACUCAGCCCGAUGUUGGGACAACAAUAAGUAUAUGUUGAACCCUCACCAUGGUUUUGUAGGGUGCACAUCUAUAGAUUUCAGACCUCCAAUAGUAAACAAGGGAAAUCUCGGAGCAACCUAUACAAAGUGACUGUUAGCCUUAGAGAUGCUCAAACAUAAGAAAAUAUAGAAAGAGUAUGGAAAGUGGAGAAAUAAAUCUCAUGUAAACCAACAUUAACUAAAAAAGAGAAAGAAAACAAGGAACUAUUUUACAAGACAUGCCAUAGUAUACUACUCACAUGUGGCUCUCCUUUCCCAUUUGCUGUAUCCGGGUCACAGUUUAUUGUCAAAUUCAAAGGCACCUUGUGUGCUUCGCCUCCUUUCUCUCUGAUCUGUCCACACAGAUUGUCCAGCAGGAUUGUGGUGUUUGAGUGGUUAUCCAUAUCGAUGUGCUUUGGGAUAUGAUUCCGGCUCCAGGUGUUCAUGUACAGGAUUUGAAGUCCAUCCAUAUCUGAAGGUGGCUUCAGUUGCUCUUGAAUUGCAACAUAGAAAACACAAGUGGAAUGUGGCAACACAUAGCAUUCAUUUGCGCAGAUGUACCUCACCGAGUUGUUUGGGAUAAUAAGAAAGAAAAUUUCAUCUUCUGUCUUGUUGAUUAGGCUUACUGUGCACUGGAUGUGUUUGUUUGGUUUGAAUGGUAGGCGGAGCUCCAUGGGAUAGACAUCGAUCAAAUCAGUGUGAAUGUACCCAAGGCUUCUCUGCAAUUAAGAACACAAAAAGUUAAACCUGAAUACAUGUUAAACCAGAACGACGAUUACAAAAAGCUACAGUUAAAUCUGUAGUUUUGUGAUACAAAUUCUUAUAUCUUUAGUUUUGCGAUGACUAUGAGAAACAAUCUAUAGUUUUAUGAAAUUUACUCAAAUCCUGCCAAGCCAACAGUGAUAAUUAGGAAUAUGGAAAAUAGGGUGGAGGGAGAUACAGGAGCGGCAUUCAGCCAAGGGUAUUGGAGUCAGGCAUCCCUACAACAGGUACCUAAUUUGCAAAUUUUCUAGAGGUGUAGUAUUCCCCUUUUUUUGUCAUUCCUUUUGUUCUGUGAAGGGUUAGCUUUCGCAGUAUUGUUAAAAACAUUCAGUGGACUUGGGAGUUACUCAUGACACAAAGAGGCGGGCAUACAGGCUGAUAUUGUAAGAGUAAGUUGGAUCACAAUGACCUUGGGCAUUUAUGGCACAGCAAAUUAAAGAUGAGGUGAUAAAGGUGAAGAAAGAAAAACAUGGCCGGUAAGUUUGGGAUGGCUUAGGACAUGGUUGUUUAGGAAGCGAAGUCUCAAAGAAGGAAAUGAAAGGCUAGGCUUGGUGUGGAAUCUCCAAUAAAUUUUCUCAUACCCCCUCCCCCUCUAAAAAUGCUACAGACAGGAAAGAACUGAUUCUAGGAUCUAACAGUCACCGAAAUACAGUGGUAUUUGUUUAGCUGGAAUUGACUAUAUAUGUGAAAAUAGCUAAGUAGAUGACAUCCUACAAAGUAGUGUUUGUGGGACCAUGCUAUUUGUCAUGACUGAACGUACCUCUGCCACUGACAAUGCAUUCAUGCCAGUUCUGGAUAACUCGUCGGUACAUUCUGCUACAUCAAGCAUCUCAAUUAUUUGCUGUAUAUCUGGUCUUUUUGCUGGGUUCGGGUCCAUGCAAUCUAUGCUUAUUUUAGCACAGACUCGUAUUUGUUCCAACAGCACCUGUGUCAUUGAUAAAAUCUCCAACCUGCUUGUCCAGCUUUCAAGUACCUAUGAGAUUUGAAUGAUUAGUUAUUAUUUAAGAAAAAGAGCAACUAGUUUCCAAACAGGAAUUUGAACGAUAUAUAGUAUUGUUCGAUAAAAAAAUAAUAUAUAGUAUUUCCCAUGAGUGCAGAAACUGAUGGCCAAAUUUCUUAAGCAACAUGAAGUCUUGUGGCCGAGCAGGGGCAGAUCCAUGCCUCAUUGGUGGGCAUGUGGCAUGAGUGAAAAAUUUUGGUAUUGGUUUCCUAUUUUGGCACGUUAAAAUUUCUAAGUUCCCCUAACUUUUUCAGUAGUGCUAAGUCAUUUAAAAACAUGUCAAGUUUUAUGUCUUUGAAAAAGGGUUUUACUUCCAAACGUCAAAUACUACAAUUGACAUUGUGCAAUAAAUCUUUUUGCACUCAAGUUCUACAUACACUCAACUUUGUAAUGUUUCUCUAUAAGAAAGCUAUGUAAAGUAAAUAAAAACAUAACGUCGCAAUAAAUAUCUCUACCUUCUCAACUUCAGAAUAUCCUUUUUGUCCUGUCAGUAUCUCUUGGACUAUAACACCAAGACUAUAUAGGUCAGACUUGAAUGUCAUCACAUGACUAUGGGAUUCUGGCGCCAAAUAUCCCCUGCACCAAAAUUUGUAUGGACUGAUAAGUUAAUUUGCAGGAAAAAAAAAGAGUGUUUUUUUGGUAGGGGUGUUCAAACAUGAGGGACAAGCUCCAACUGGAUAUGUAUUAGAUGAAUAAACAAAAACUAAAUCAGGCCUCACAGAAGCUAUCUUGCCAGUCUGAAAUUUGAGGGAAGCAUUACUUUUUUGCAAGAUAACCAGUCUUACUUGAAAAUUUCCGUGCAAUCUUGUAGAGUUAGGGCCCUUUGUUUCAAAAUGAAGAAGCUACUCCUAGUCGUCUAAAUGCAAAAAAAAAGAAAGGAAACAAAGAAUAAGAGCUUUCUACGGACCAAGCUAGCUUACAUUGAUCCAAAUAGUUGAGAUGUGAUAGCUCGGCUUUGCUGUUCAUCAAAGCACUUGGAGAGACCAAAAUCAACAAUUUUUGGCUCCAUAUUGUCAUCCAGCAGUAUAUUAGCUGGUUUGAGAUCUAAGUGAACAAUACGCUCACCAUGAAGGUAAUGUAAGCCAUCACAAAUUCCCUUGAUUAUUUGGUAGCGCUUUUUCCACUCAAGACCACCAGAUGCGUCUGUAGAGGCAAACAAAUAAAGAGUGUUUACACCCUUGUGUCCUUAAUGAUAUAUGUUCGCUAGUUUAGCACAAAGGUAGAUACUUUGUAUAAUAUAUUGUCCUUUGCAGUAUUGAAUCUGGAAAGAUAUAUGAUUUUUUAAUCAAUCCCACCACAUGAUCCUACCGGUUAUAAAUUCAUGAAGACUCCCUUUAGGAAGAUACUCAAAGCAGAGCAACCUCUGUCGUACAUCUGCCAUGACAAACUUGCCACCAUAGUCACACAUUUUCCCCUGCGUAUCUGCACAAUAUCCAAGAAAUCGAACUAUAUUUUUGUGCUUCACUCUCAUCAAACAACCAACCUCUUGGUUGUAUUUCUUUUCAUCCAUAUCAAGCGUGUUCUUCAGCUUCUUAACAGCAACCAUCUUACCAUUUCCAAGCAGUCCCUGCAGUCAAAAGUCACACCAUUGCGUUCAUCGCACGAACACUAUUUUUUAAACUAAAAAAUCAACUGCAAUUAGGAUGGGGAGUUGAGGAUCAUUCACCUUGUAAACCACCGCAAACCCACCACUACCAAUUUGCAGAUCAUCAGAGAAAUCAUUUGUGAUUGCCUUUAGAAGUGGUAAAGGAAGAUCUGUUGGCUCUGUGUUUCUAUUAAGUAGCAUGUGCUCCAAGAUAUUGUGGGUACUAGCUUCAGAGUCCAUUUUCAAUUACAAAUAACUAUAGCCUUCAAAGUUCAAAUAAGAUAUAGGAAUAAAUUUUAAUGAAACCUGGAAAGAGAACUGCACAGCUAUGAAAAGGAAUUUUGGAACUGAUCUUGGGUGACAUGUAACCAAAAUAUGAGAAUAGGGAGAAAUGAUUCUUUAAUUUGGAGCCUGAACUAUAGAAAACAAUCCCAAAUUUAUCAUAUAAAUGUAGCUUCCUUGACACCUCUAGGUCUAUCCCUCUUUCUAGCCACCCAACACUUUUGGCUAUUAUUUAUCUGACAGGUAUGGGUGCCAUUUCAUUAACUUCACUAUUCGAUCACAAAGAAUAUAUGCUUUCACAUACAUGUUCCCAACUCAAGAAAGACAAUAUUGUUUACCAUGAGAAUAUGCAAUCUGUUAGAUUCUUUGGAUUCAUGAAAACUAUUAAAUGAAAAUACUAGUGUUAAACACAUGCAGGAGCAAUGAAAUGAGUACCUGCUGAAGACAUGCUGCCUGUAGCCCUUUUGGUGGUUAAGGAAACUGAACUAUCAACGAUGCAUUAAAACCCUGAAUCAAAUCAUGGUGAGAAAAUAGUUAAAAACCUGCAGGUACAACUGAAUAUAGGUGAACUGCCAAGCAAUUUAUAAGUAGAAACCAUGACCAACGAAAAUUCAAUGAGUUUGCUGCAGGAAAACAUGUGCUAUCUUGCAAGAAAAUAAUGGUUUCUGGAUUAUGUAAGUCCCUGCUGAAGCUCAGAAACAUGUAAUCUUGGAACGAAAAGAAAAUGUCUAAAGCACAAGCUUCACCCGCUCAACUUCAGCAGUAAAUUCAGUACACUGGAGCAGACCAAACCAGAACGACUUGCACUAGAAUGUUUAAGUUUAUGAAUCAAAUCAAUCAAAGUUCAGUAGAUAAGACGCACCUGUUUGCAACGGGAGGGACAAGAUGGGGACGAAAGACAUGGCUUGAGCUGCAUACGUAUAUGCAUCAAUACCAGAUCUGAAGUCUUCGCCUCUUUUCGUCUUCAUUUCUUUGACCUGAGAGCCUUAACAAAGUCCACACGCUUGGGGGCGCACAUACCACACUCCGCCACAAUUUUUAAUAUAUGUUCUCGUUUCAACAUUUGCUUCUAUACAGACAAGAAUACAAAAUACAUCACUAUCAUUUGGUUUCCUUUCAUCAGAUAGCAAUGUCAGCACUCGCCCAUCCCUCUAUUUCCUAGAAUAAAAUUUAUACAUCUACAAUCUUGCUACCAUCACCAUGUGAACUGGUUGAUACUCCUCCGUUCUUAAAUAUAUAACACCAUUGACUUUUUACUCCAAUUUUUACCACCAAUAUCUAUUGAACGAGUUAGUUAAAUAUACGACGCCGUUAACUUUUUACUCCAACUUUUACCACCAAUAUCUAAAAUACCAUUGACUUUUUACUCCAACUUUACCACCAAUAUCUAUUGAACGAGUUAGUUGAAUAUACGACGCCGUUAACUUUUUACUCCAACUUUUACCAUCAAUAUCUAUAGAUAUUGAACGAGUUAUUGAACGAGUUAGUUAGUUAAAGUAAAAUAUAUAUCAUUAUGUCUAUUGUCAAAUGUACUUUAAAUUUAAAUUUAAUUUAUACGUUUAUCUAUUUGCAAAAAUACUUUUAGAAAAAACGAAUAGUCAAACGGAUGAAAAAAAAUCAACGGCGUCGUAUAAAUUAAAUAGAGGCGGUAGAUAAGAAGCCACUUGGGUUUUUGACCUCUACUAUAUACAGCUGAAGGCUCGGAGAAAUGUUUUGAAAUUGAAACACCUUUAAUAUUUCUCCGCCGCCAGUUCGGCAAUCGGCAGUCCGCCUCCAGCACCCCGCGAACGGCCGCUAACCUAUGGUCGCCAUCGCCAUCCGCUUUUCCGCGCUGUGGAGCAGUACGGCGGAGCUGCGAGCCGGAGAGGGCCUUGGCGCAGGAUCCACCUCCGCGCCGCCAAAAUCGAGCUCAAUCCCCCACCCAACUGCCAAAUCGACAGGGUCGCCACGAAAUCAAACUCCAAUGCCCGGAAAUCGAGCUUCCGGCCACAGGAGCGGACGCCUGGACGCCCAUCCAGAUCCAGCAAUGCGGGUGCAGCUUCAAAUAACGGCAGCAGUAGAGGGAGGUAGGGAGGUCCUCUGGUGCGUGGAUUGAUUUCUAUCUUUGGAGGUACCUGACUCCUCGCUUGUAGGGAAGGAAGGAUUCUGUUGUUCGUUUGUGCUUCAAUUGAUUUUUUUUUUCCUAAGGGAAACAAGAGGAAAAAAAAAAGAAAGGGUGAAAACGAGGAAAGUGGGCUUCCCUUUUCAGUACGGCCCAACACAAGAAGAUGUGGAGCCCAUGAUUGCACAACUACCAAAUAAUUGUUGUCUAUUAAUCGUGUGCGCGCAAGGAAUUCCACCCAACAAACGAUGCCGCACAUCCUGCGCUGCAUCCGUUGAAAUUUCCUUUUCACUCGACAUAGAGGGGCUCAUGCUGUCACCAAAUUCGCUGAUGCCGAUCCGUCUGGAGCUUAUCCCUUCCGCCCUCUAUCUACAGUAGCAUCUCUAAAUCCCGUCGCUUCCAGCCCCUCUCCUCUCUCCCUUCGGCGGCUCGUCAGCGGCGAGAGGGAGGUGGGCCGCCCACUGCCUUCCUUUAUAGAUGUAUAUUAAGCUCGUUCGGCUGGCUGCUUUGCAGCUGGCUUCUGCUGCUCGGAUGGACUUUUUCUGAAGCUUGUGUGUGCUCGGAUGGACUUUUUGCGUUUCUUCCCCACCACCGCCGCCGCCGUUGGGCUUCUGCUCGUCGUCGGCAACAUGGUUGGCCAGGUGAAGCCGAUGCCAUCAGUAUAAAACUAACACUAUCUAGAUCUGUACUAAAACUAGGGGAUAUAAACACGGGAUACCGAACCGUGGUUCCUCCCCUCCCCCUCCUGCACCGGAGGGGCAACCGGAGGCAGGAGGAGGGAACCAGCGACAGCGGCGCCGGGAUGGUGACCGCCUCUGUAUUCGCCGGUCUUGACUGAAUGACUUUAGCAGAGGACUCGGGAAGACGCUGGAACUCUCGCAACGACGCAUGUAGGAAGAAGGGUCACUCCUGUCACCUGGGCUUGGGCUGGUGACAUUUUGCCACGUCCUUUUGUAGAUCCAACAAGAGGAGCCCUGGGAAUAUAUAUGAUUGUUAACUGCUCCCUAACUAGCUUUCUGAUGGAGAAAAUAUGUAUGUUUAAACCAUGCCCAAGAACAGAGCAACAAGUAGGCCCUAUCAUUAUGCCACCACGGACAAUCCAUCCGCAGCAGCAAGCCCGGUCAGAGUUGCUGAGAUCAAAUCCCCUACCUGCUUAGUCAUCUCCAUUAACAGCGGCAGGGCACUGAACCACGAGCAGCAAGAUCAUUUCAACCAAUUCAUGCAGCUGUGUUAAGUUUGAGAUCAUCCUACUCAUCGCUUUUAGCCAGUAAUUAACCGGCUGCAACGGAGAGGGGGUCCUCCGGUACAUUCGUUCGACUGGUGAAAGCCUUAACACUGACCGUGAUGGCUAUUGCCCGAAAUAUCUCCGGCUUGCCUACAGCGCCUACAGCUACAGCUUGUUCGUUGGUGCGCCGUGGACCACACGCACUCCCGAGCGGACCCACGGCUGUAAUCUUUCUCUUUUAGCCAAAUGAUACGGAACGAAGAAUAGAUUAAUAAUAAAAAACAAGGAAUGGAAUAAAGUGGCAAGGAGCAUCAAGGAACGGCUGGUUCACUGCAUUAUUGAGUUGCAUCUCACUGCAGCCCUCCUCACACUGGUACGGUGAGCUCCGGCUGCAGCUGCAAGACGACUAGCAGGUGCGUACUUGCUUCUCUGAAUUCCCGCUUAAUUGAAAGACAAGGCUGAACUCUGAAUUCCUUUCUCUGGGUAUACAUAUGAUCCUCCACAACUGCUUCAGUUUAUUUCUUUUUUGUGAACGUCCUGUGAGGCUGUGAGAUCUAUCAAAUCGGUUUGGCAACUUUCAUCGCAGAGAGAUCUGCUUCUACUGCCAUGGCAUCCCCAACAUCCAGUAUGGUUUCAUCACAAAACUCUACUACUUUUGCAUCUAUUGGUAAUUGGUUUCGUGUUUCUUUCUAAUUUCGUUCUUUCUUUUUUUUUCAAAAGAUUGAUUUGAUAGGAAGUGGUAGGAAACGAAUUGAAGAGAAGGUUUUCUUGGUAGUACCUGUACAAGGCUGCUAGUCUUGAUGUAGAAGAAUAACGCCAUGAAGGGUUGGACAGAUGACCAUCCAAGGAAGCUACAAUACUCACUAGUUAAAGAGAUUACAAAUAAUUUUGCAGAUGAACUUGGACGCGGUACAUUUGGACGUGUGUUUAAGGUACCCCUAUUAAAUUAAAAAUCUCCUUUGUAAUGUUCGUUGUAAAACAUACGAUGUUUUUAAAUUUAUUUACAUUCAUAAUCUCUGACCUCCUUCUAUCUCUUACAGUGAUUGUGGGUAAACCUUUAAACUAAAUAUCUCUUCUUGCCAAGCUAACAUUUGAACCAGGGUCAUGGUAUAAUUAAAAGUGUAGUUUAUAAUCCAAAGCUCUAUUUGUUGCAUAGGUGUCCUUUGAGCCAUGGGAAUGUCUCCAGAAAAACAUAUGUGGAAAAUAUAUCAAAGAUGGUUUCUGUUUCUAGACCUUAUCAUUAGCAGUUUUAAAUAAAAGAACAAUUUGCAAUGAGCUCAUAUCACAGAAAGUAUUACAAAAUAUAUCGCAAAUGGUUUUUAUGUCUAAACCUUGCCACAGAUACUUAGUUUUGAAAGCAAAACAGUCAUUGGUGGCCUUGAGACUAUCUGUAGUAGUGAAUGUUGGAUGAUAUUGUUGUUUAUUGUCUUAACAUCGGUUAUAUGAGGAUGUGUGCAAAAGGAACCGAGCUAAUCGUAUUCAUUUUCAUUUAUAAUUCUCUGUUACUAUAUAUCAGCAUAGAAAAAACAAAAUUAUUAUGUGUAAUUAAAGAAGGUGUUUAAUAGGGGCUGCUUGAUGAUGGAGAAGAGGUUGCUGUGAAGCUGCUUCGUUAUUUCACGCCUGAGAUCAGUGACCAGCAGUUCCAAAAUGAAUUUGGAAACCUUAAGAAGCUCAAGCAUCCUAAUAUUGUACAAUUGUUGGGGUUCUGCGAUGAACCUGAGGAAGAAAUUAUUGAGCACAAAGGAAAAUUAAUACUUUGCUAUAGGAUACGCAGGGCACUAUGUCUUGAGUAUGUGCCCAAUGGAAGCCUUCGCAAGUUUCUUUCAGGUAAGGUGCUCAUGUGUUAUUGCGUAAUAUUAUUUCGGACAUUAAAAAUAUUCUUUGCAUUAUGUAUAUUGAGAAUAUUAUGUUUGUUCUUGUAGGUGGAUGUCUUAGCAAGAAUUGGCCCAUACGCUACAAAAUAAUUAAGGGAAUCUGUGAGGGUCUACAGUACCUUCACAAGAUUCCCAUUUUCCAUCUUGACUUAAAACCUGAUAAUAUACUGCUAGAUGAGAAGAUGUUGCCAAAAAUCACCGAUUUUGGUUUAUCUAGGCUCAUCGGUGAAGGGAACACCAAAAGGACAAUGACGCCUCUAGGGACACUGUAAGAUUAUUGUCUCCUGUGAACUUUUGAUCUGCUAAAUUGUAGUUAUUCCUUAGUCUCACUUUGCUAUGUCAUUUAUGUUCUGCUGCAGUGGAUACUUGCCUCCAGAGUUCAUUAACAAUCAAAUAAUCUCCAGGGAAUAUGACAUAUAUAGUUUAGGUGUUAUAAUUAUGCAGAUAAUCACUGGAGUUACAGGCUUCUCUGAUUUUGCUGACAUGGAGCCCCAAGAAUUUAUUGAACAUGUAAGAAUAAUUUAAUUAAUCUUAAUUUAUAAGCCUCUUAUAUACUAGAACAUGUUCGAAUAAUUUAAAUAAUCUUAAGCGGGUUACAUAUAAUGGAUGGAUUGAGCCUAUCGACCAGUAUAUAUUAGGUAAAAUAUUUAGGGGGCGAGGCUCCCCCGGAUACAUAUGGCAGUCUACGAUAUGUAUAUCUACAAGUACCAAAUAUACUCUAACAUCCCUCCGCAGUCACAGCGGGAGUAGUGCAGACGGUGAGACUGGAGAAGAAGCCGGAGGUAGAAGCCUGUAACGCCCGCAGAAAUCACUAUCUAAAAUCACCCGUUAAAAAACCAUCUUUAAAAUCUUUUUACCGCUGAGCUCCCGGAAAUCGGAAAUCUUCCCGGUGUUUUCGCGGUCCCGGUACCCAUGCCAGCCCCCACCUAUCUUUUUCCGUGCCCGUGAAUCUCGCCGCGUGCCGUUGUCAGACGCCGUGCGCGUGCCCCGACCACGUGCCGCGAACGCCGCCGGUCUCUUCCUUUUUCCUUCUCUUUUUUUCCCCUUUUCUCCUUUUCUUUUUCCUUCUUCUUUCUUUCUCUUUCUUCUUUCUUCUUCCUUCCUCUCUCUCUCCUCCUCUUUCUUCUUCCUGGCACCGGGCGCCACCCCCCCCCCGGCGCCACACCUCCUGGCCGGCCAACGCCAUCUACUCCGGCGCCCCCAUCCCUGGCGCCAUACUGCCCCGUCGCCCGGACCCGCGCCGCCCGCCUGGGGUCCCGCCGGUCACCUCUGCCCGUCACCGGCCCCCUCGCUCGGCUCGGUCCCGCCAGUCACCUCGGCCCUCCCGGCCCUGCCGGCGCGCCUGGCGCCACGCCACCCGGCCGCCUUGGGCCCGCGCCCGGGGCACGUGCCGCCACCCGGCGCCGACUCCCCGGCCGGCCUACCCGGCCCCUACCCCGCCGUACGCCGCCGCCACUCCGCCCGGCGCCUGGCGCCACGCCGCGUCCCGGCCCCGCACGCCACCGCCGGCGCCCUCCCCGCCGCCUAUAAAAGCCGCCCGGCCCUCCCCACUCUCCACCCACCAACACCACCACUCCCCGUCUCCCCUGCCUCCGCCACCCGAGCCGCCGCCGCCGCCGCCGAAACCCACCACCGGCCGCACCCCCUUCCCUACCCAAAUCCCCGAGGUGAGUAGCAAAAUGGGGCCUCCCCGGACCCCUCCACCUUCUCCCGCCGCCUCCCCUCGCCGCCGCCGCCCCCAGGCCCGGCCGUGCCCCUCCCUCUCUCCCCCUGUGUACUGUGCGCACCAAAGGAAGAAGAAACCCAAAAUUCCGAUCUAACCCCCUGAAAUCCACUAUUCGCGAAAUAGUCCUUCCACCACUCUUGUAGCAGUUUCACAAAUAAGCCCCUCCACCCCCAAAAGUAAUUACACAUAGGUCCCUGGUUUAUUAUAACUCAGCCCUAAGCCUCCGUUUAAGCCCCUAAUCCAUGUUUAACCCGUCAUUUCAUGCGCCAAACUUCCUCCAAUUAAUCCCAAAUUUUACCACGUCAUCCUCUGGAAUACUUUCGCCGAUCUAUAUCCAAAUUUCCCAGAAAUAAUCCUUCUACCUAUUUUCCAUUCGCGUUUCCUGUUCGGAGCUCACGGUUAAAAAUCGUUUCCUUUUUUAUUUAUUUGUGUGUCUACUUGUGUGUGCCGUAGAUCGCGGAUUGACCGAGGAGGAGCCCGAGGAAGAGUUUGACCGUGAGCCCGAGCCCGAGGACCAGUACCGCGAGCCGGAACUCCCGGAAGGCUUUGAAGAUGGCAAGUCCAAUCUCACCCUUUGAUGCAUACUUAAUACCUAGUUUUUCAAACACAACCUAUUGGCCUGUUUUACAAAAAUGCAUAUUAUUUUAUCGCAAGACAUGGUUGGAUAGCCACCCCUUGAUUGUUAUGAACAUUCCUUGUUGUCCUAUGCCUAUCUCUAAAUAUGACUCGCUCUGUUUAGAUGAUAGCCACUGCUAGAACGCUUAGGAAAUUGUGACUCAACUGCAAUCAUUAUUACAAUAAGUGUAUUCGGAAAAUAAGUGUGUGUGUGUGUCCACGCAAGAGAAAUGGCUUUUGGGGUUGGGGGAAAAGGAUGUGUAGACGGGAUGGAUGGGUGUUCCUCGUGUGGGAUGCCAUGUUGUUGUGCUCGUACCUUGGUGGUUGAGCAAUGUCGGGAGAUAUCCAUCCUGUCGUAAUUAAGGACCGAGUUGAUGUGUCAUCUUGCCUAAUUCCACUAUCGUGCAACCACUCGACCGUUGUAUGGGCAACGCCUUAGCAUAAAUCCCACUAGCUGGAUGGUUAGUCCUCAGGGGUGCUGGUGAGCAACGGAAACCCAUGGAAAAGGAGUAAGAUCUUGGUGACUUAGGUCCCGGUUACGGUCUCAUGGACGAGCCGUGAACCCCUUGGGUGUUUUCCGUGAGGGCUAGCCAGCCUUAGCUAAGGUGGGUAAUGGCUUUGUUAGGAUCCGUACCGUCACUAAGGUGAUCGUGCUGCGGUACCCUACUUGUGGGAAAAGUGUACACCCUCUACAGAGUUAAAACCUAUCCGGGUAGCCGUGUCCACGGCAUUGGACGAGUUACGGCUUGGUCACAUAACUAGCAAUUGGGCAAGAAUGUCAUGUGUGUGUGUGUGUGUGUGUGUGGGAUUUUGGAAGAGUCCGGCAGUUGUGCCGUGCGCUAUGACGGACGGGGAGUCCGAUAGCGAUAAAAACUUGGAUCCUUUGUGUAGGAUCAACCCCACUCAAUGUCUCGAGUAUUAAAGGAAAACCUUACAAAAACCCUUUCAAAACGAUCCCCUGCAUGUGUUAAAAUUUAGCUUUUCCGCAAAUAAACUCUAGCCUAUCCUUGUCAUACUUGUGCAUAAACUUGCUUGUAUCCCCUCCGUGGAUGGGGUUGGACUUGUUGAGUACGUUAGUAAUCACCCUUGCUUCAUUACUACAGAGGAAGACCCCGAUUUCGUCGCAGAGGACCUCGAGUAGAGGUUGUGUCCGCACCCGACGCUGCCUGUGGUGUUGUCUUGCCCAAGAUGCUGCUGCUGCCGUGUAGUCCCGAGUGCUGUCUUUUGGCAGUCGCUUGGUUAGCCGCCGUUAUUUAUUUACUGUUUAUCGCUGCGUGGCUUUCACGUCCACUCCCUCGGGAGUUGUACGGUAACUGAAUUAUCUGUCGAAUAAAUAUGUUAUCAGCCUCCUGGGACUGAUAUUUGUAUCACAUUUAGUCUCUACUUAUGUGGGGACGCUUCAGGUGGUAUCAGAGCCGUCGUUGGCUGUAGGACGCGACCUUAGGACCGGAUUAGCCCUUUUUGACCAAAACAAAAGAAUUACAAAAUUUCUUCCUACCUUUGCUCUAUUGUAAAACUAAUUUGUGCCCCGGAUCUUUUCCAGAUGGCCGAGGAAGGAUGGGUCAACAGCCACUGCCUGGAAGAGCCUGGUUUUCCCAGAUUGCUGUUCGCCUGCAUGGACCGCCUCGGGAUUUAUGAGCGUCCGGAGUACACCAGCAGGGAGUACGAGGACCGCGGGACCCCUCGAUGUGAGAUGAUCAUCUACAUCGGGCGGAGUAGCCACUAUCCGGAUAUCCAGCCAUGGAACGUGACUGCCACCGGCUUCCGGCACAAGGAUACCUAUCAAGUGGCAGCCCGGAAGGCCCUCCGUUUCCUGUGUCAGAUCUAUGAGAGGCACAUUGGCCGCACUCCGAUGAGGUUCUACCCGCCUGUCAAGAAAAACCGCCCGGUUUGGCUGGCCCGGGUACGGACCUUGGAAGGACGUGGACAGCGCGAGGAUGACCCCACUGUGCUGCACAUGGCUGCCUACCUUCUCACCUUGGAUGAACUCUACGACGAGCAGGCUGCUAAGUUGAAGCAGCAGACCCGUAGGGCCGAGGACGCAGAGGUUAUGGUGAGGAGGCUUCAGGUGAAGUUAGCCGCUGCCGAAGCCCGAGCCGCAGCCGCUCAAAGCAACGAGGCCAUUGCCGUUGAGGCUCUCAAGGAGGCUGAGGAUCGGCACACCAAGGAGCUGAAGGAUGCCCACCUCACUGUUCGUGCCAGAAGAAGGAUGGUGGCCAUCGAGGACGACGAGGCUCCGAUCCUUGAAGGGAUUCCCAUUCUUCCAGGGCCCAGUAAGCGGAAAAGUCCGGACGCCACCCCGGCACCACCACCUUCGGAAAGGAACUCCGAGGUGUCGGAUGGAGUGGUUCCCGAGACCCCUCCCACGGGCGGGACUCUGAAGGAUGAAGUGCUGGCCCUUCUCCUCCCAUUGGAGGAUCACUCAGUCCAAGGAGAAGACUCGCCCCGCGAGUAGUGUGCCCAGCCAGGAUUGCCCAAGGAAUGAAGCCGUCAUGGUCCGUAGUUUAGAGUUGUACCCCCCAGUUGUGUUGCUGUAACCGGUCGUGUAGUGCGUGUUUUGGCCUUACCCCCAGCAGUGUUGUACCCCCGUGGCAGAAUAAAUAAAAUCGUUUGUGUUUGUUGCUUGUUAGUCUGUGUGUUUGUCGACAGAGGUGGAUUCUGUCUCUUCGAAAAUACGAAAUAACCACUUUAAAGAUCACUAAAAUCCAAAUCAUACUCUCAUAAAAAGGUCUCACUCAAUCUGCAGAUGCCGCCCAAGCGUGCCACCAGGACUUCCCCCAGUCAGGCCCAUGCCUCCCCCAGUGCAGAGAGGCAGCCAGAAAGGCAGGAGCCGCCCCCGGCAGUACUCCCUGAGGAGCAGGAAGUAAGCCAGCCAGAAGGAAGGGGAGAAAGCCAAGUGGGAACGCAGCAAUCACCGCCCCCACCGGUUAUCGAUCUGGUUCAAGUGAUGAACAACCAGACCCUUCUGCUGGAAGCUCUGGCCAACGCCGUUACUCGCCAGAGGCCCCGCGGGCAGAACAUGAAUGAGAAGUUGACGGACUUCCUCCGGACCAAGCCACCCACUUUUGGCGGGUCUGUCAACCCUCUGGACGCAGAUGACUGGCUACGCGUCAUCCAGAGGAAGCUGGAGCCCUUUGGUUGUGAGGGCAGGGACAAAAUUCUCUUAGCUGCCCACCAGCUCACUGGGACUGCCCUAGCUUGGUGGGAGAACUACUGCUCUGCCGCCCAGGAUGCCUCCACUAUCACCUGGGAUGAGUUCGUGACGGAAUUCCGUCGCUACCACAUUCCCGCCGCCACCAUGAAGCGCAAGGCGGAUGAGUUCCGUGAGCUCCGCCAGGGCAACCGAUCUGUGGAGGAGUACACCUUCCAGUUCAUGGAGCUGGCUCAUUAUGCUCCAGAGGAGGUGGACAAGGAUGAGAAGAAGCAGGACAUGUUCAAGAAAGGCUUGAACGCGGAGCUGAGGACCCUGCUCACUCCCCAGAUCUACCCCGACUUCAACACCUUGAUGAACAUGGCCAUCUUGACCGAGAGGGCUAAGGCAGAAGAGUGGAGGGACAACAAGCGUCGGUUCCUGGAAAACAAGGCGCACCAGCAGGACCGAUUCCAGAAGCCAAGGAGCUUCGGUCACCCCUUGCCCAGAUCCCAAGCUCCCAUGCAUUAUCGGACCCAGUCCCAAGCAUCUGGUUCGCAUCAGACUGCUGCCCCAUUCAGGAGCCAGAACUCUAUCAAGGCCCCACAGAGCAGCGCCAGCCAGGUCACCAGCAAUGGUAGAGCAUGCUUCAACUGCAGAGAGCCAGGACAUUUCAUCGCCAACUGCCCCUAUGCCAACAAGCCAGCAGCAUCAGCCUUGUCCAACUCAGUAGCUGGACCCAGGGCCGCCCUGUCAGGAGCCAACCGUGUGCCAGUUCGCAGCAGCGGCAACCCCAGCAACAACAACAGCCAGCAGAUGAGGCCGCCCCAGCAGUCAUUCGGACGAGCCCGUGUCAACCACAUCGGCGCGCAGGAGGCUCGCGAAGCUCAAGGCGUGGUGCUCGGUGAGUUCCUAGUCAGCUCAGUCUUGGCAACAGUACUUUUUGAUUCUGGAGCAUCACAUUCCUUCAUAUCCUCAAGUUUUGUGGAAAAACAUCAUAUACCUACAGUACUACUAAAGUUACCCCUAUUAACCCGGACUCCUGGAGCCGACAUUCAGUGUCGACUAGGCUAUUCUCGGGUAAGGAUCAAUUUAAGUGGGGUAGAAUUUCUAGCAGAUCUAGUAGUACUUAAGUCUAAGAGGAUAGAUGUGAUUCUUGGAAUGGACUGGCUGAGCCUACAUGACGGUCAUAUAGGGUGUGCCGAUAAGGUAGUGCACCUGACCAAUCGAGAUGGUGUGCAAGUGACCUGUCACACUAAGGGAAGUGGUCCAGACCCCAUGGUGUUCAGCAUGGAGACCAAGACCUUAGAAGGAGUCCCAGUAGUGAGUGAGUACCCGGACGUCUUUCCUGAAGAACUACCUGGAAUGCCCCCUGACAGGGACAUAGAGUUCUUAAUUGACCUCGUCCCCGGAACCUCCCCUAUAGCUAAGAGACCCUAUAGAAUGGCAGCCUCAGAGUUAGCCGAGCUGAAGAAACAGUUGGGAGAGUUGCAACAGAGUGGCUUCAUCAGGCCCAGCUCAUCCCCGUGGGGAGCCCCCGUGCUUUUUGUCAAAAAGAAAGACGGGAGUAUGAGGAUGUGCGUGGAUUAUCGCGCAUUAAAUGAGGUCACCAUUAAGAAUAAGUACCCUCUCCCCAGAAUAGAUGACCUGUUCGACCAACUGAAGGGAGCCAAGUAUUUCUCCAAGAUAGAUCUGAGAUCGGGGUAUCAUCAGCUCAAGAUCAAGGAGAGCGACAUCCCGAAGACCGCCUUUGUCACCCGUUAUGGUCAAUUUGAGUUUACAGUGAUGUCCUUUGGAUUGACCAAUGCACCGGCUUAUUUCAUGAACCUCAUGAACAAGGUGUUUAUGGAUGAGUUAGAUAAAUUUGUCGUAGUCUUUAUUGACGACAUACUUAUCUACUCCAAGAGUGUUCAGGAGCAUGAACACCACUUACGGGUGGUCUUGGAAAAACUGAGAGCCCACCGACUCUAUGCUAAAUUCAGCAAGUGUGAAUUUUGGCUUGAGAAGGUGGCAUUCCUUGGUCAUAUCUUGACCGCGGAAGGAGUAGCAGUUGAUCCUGAGAAGGUGGAAGCCGUCUCCAACUGGCAACAGCCCACUAAUGUUAGUGAAAUCAGGAGUUUCCUGGGUUUAGCAGGGUAUUAUCGGAGGUUUAUUGAGGGAUUCUCCAAGAUAGCCCGUCCCAUGACAGAGUUGCUCAGAAAGGACAAGAAGUUCACCUGGACCGAGUCAUGUGAACGGAGUUUCCGAGAGAUGAAGAAGAGAUUGACAACAGCCCCAGUGCUAACCCUGCCAGACAUCCAGCGAGACUUCAUCAUCUACUGCGAUGCAUCCCGACAAGGAUUAGGGUGUGUCCUCAUGUAGGAUGGGAAGGUUGUGGCCUAUGCUUCCCGACAACUUAAGCCCCAUGAGCAGAACUACCCAACCCAUGACUUAGAAUUUGCAACCGUAGUGCAUGCCCUCAAGAUCUGGAGACAUUAUCUGAUUGGGAAUAAGUGUGAAAUCUACACCGACCAUAAAAGCCUAAAGUACAUCUUUACCCAACCCGAUCUGAAUUUAAGGCAGAGGAGGUGGCUAGAGCUGGUAAAGGACUACAACCUAGAAAUCCAUUACCACCCCGGCAAAGCUAAUGUUGUAGCUGAUGCCCUGAGCAAAAAGUCCUAUGGACAGCCCGGACCCGAGAAUGCCCGUCUACGAGAGGAAGUGGCCCGGUUGAAUGUGCAUAUCAUCCCCCAGAAUGCUAGCCGUAGGCUAAGUGUCCAGCCCACCUUGGAGGAUAAAAUCCGAGAAGCCCAGGGUUCAGACCAAGACUUAGCAAAAAUCCGCAAGCAAACCGGAGAAAAUAAAGCCCCGGAUUUCAGGGUAGAUGACAAAGAAACCUUGUGGUAUAAGAACAGAAUUUGUGUCCCCAAGGACGGAGAAUUCCGGCAGAUCAUCAUGGAUGAAGCCCAUAACUCAGCAUACUCCAUUCACCCCGGAUCCACAAAGAUGUACAUGGACCUAAAGCAGAAAUACUGGUGGAAUGGAAUGAAGGCAGACAUAGCUCAGUUCGUCGCCCGUUGUGACACCUGCCAAAGGGUCAAAGCCGAACACCAGAAGCCAGCCGGCUUGCUGCAACCUUUGACUAUCCCGGUUUGGAAGUGGGAUGAGAUCGGCAUGGAUUUUGUAGUAGGCUUGCGCAGAACUCAGAAGGGAAAUGACUCCAUAUGGGUAAUAGUGGACCGACUCACCAAGGUUGCUCACUAUCUGCCCGCACGGACCACAUACGGUGGAGAAAAACUGGCUCGACUCUACGUCGACAACAUAGUGAAGCUGCAUGGUGUGCCCAGCCGGAUCGUCUCAGAUAGAGGAACUCAGUUCACCUCUAGGUUUUGGAGGAGCUUACACAAAGCCAUGGGCACCAAACUGGAUUUUAGUUCAGCUUAUCACCCCCAGACCGAUGGCCAAACAGAGCGGGUAAAUCAAAUCAUGGAAGAUAUGUGGAGGGCGUGUGUCCUCACCUAUGGGAAGGAUUGGGAACAAAGUCUACCCUAUGCAGAAUGCUCAUACAACAAUAGUUACCAAGCCAGUCUAGGCAUGUCACCAUUUGAGGCUCUUUAUGGUAGAAAGUGUCAGACCCCUUUGAUGUGGUCAGAAGUCGGAGAACGUUCCCUGGUCGGACCAGCUUUUAUCAAGGAAGCAGAAGACCGUGUAGCAGAAAUCCGAGAGAAGCUGAAGGCUGCCCAGUCCAGACAGAAGAGCUACUCGGACAAGAGAAGACGGGAAUUGUGCUUCAAUGAGGGAGAUUUUGUCUACCUCAAGGUAUCCCCGAUUCGGGGUACUCGAAGAUUUCAAGUGCAAGGAAAGCUAGCCCCUCGGUAUAUCGGACCAUACCAGGUGUUAAAGAGAGUUGGAGCCGUAGCGUACCGUAUCCAACUGCCCGAAGAAAUGUCGGAUAUCCACCCGGUAUUUCAUGUUUCCCAGCUAAGAAGUGCCUGAGAGUACCGGAGGAACAAGUGCUAGUGGAAACAAUAGACCUACAAAAGGACCUUCGGUAUCAAGAAGUGCCUGUCAAGAUUUUGGACACUGUCACCAGAAGGACAAGAAAUACGACAGUUCGGAUAUGCAGAGUACAAUGGAGCAGGCAUGGCGAAGAAGAAGCCACGUGGGAACGCGAAGACGCGUUAAAGAAGGAAUUUCCCCAUCUCUUCAGGACUCAGUCGAAUCUCGAGGACGAGAUUCAAUUUAAGUGGGGUAGGUUUGUAACGCCCGCAGAAAUCACUAACUAAAAUCACCCGUUAAAAAACCGUCUUUAAAAUCUUUUUACCGCUGAGCUCCCGGAAAUCGGAAAUCUCCCCGGUGUUUUCGCCGUCCCGGUACCCAUGCCGGCCCCCACCUAUCUUUUUCCGUGCCCGUGAAUCUCGCCGCAUGCCGUUGUCAGACGCCGUGCGCGUGCCCCGACCGCGUGCCGCGAACGCCGCCGGUCUCUUCCUUUUUCCUUCUCUUUUUUCCCCCUUUUCUCCUUUUCUUUUUCCUUCUUCUUUCUUUCUCUUUCUUCUUUCUUCUUCCUUCCUCUCUCUCUCUCCUCCUCUUUCUUCUUCCUGGCACUCGGCGCCACCCCCCCUGGCGCCACACCUCCUGGCCGGCCAACGCCAUUUACUCCGGCGCCCCCAUCCCUGGCGCCAUACUGCCCCGUCGCCCGGACCCGCGCCGCCCGCCUGGGGUCCCGCCGGUCACCUCCGCCCGUCACCGGCCCCCUCGCUCAGCUCGGUCCCGCCAGUCACCUCGGCCCUGCCGGCGCGCCUGGCGCCACGCCGCCCGGCCGCCUUGGGCCUGCGCCCGGGGCACGUGCCGCCACCCGAGCCGCCGCCGCCGCCGCCGAAACCCACCACCGGCCGCACCCCCUUCCCUACCCAAAUCCCCGAGGUGAGUAGCAAAAUGGGGCCUCCCCGGACCCCUCCACCUUCUCCCGCCGCCUCCCCUCGCCGCCGGCGACCCUAGGCCGCCGCCCCCAGGCCCGGCCGUGCCCCUCCCUCUGUCCCCCUGUGUACUAUGCGCACCAAAGGAAGAAGAAACCCAAAAUUCCGAUCUAACCCCCUGAAAUCCACUAUUCGCGAAAUAGUCCUUCCACCACUCUUGUAGCAGUUUCACAAAUAAGCCCCUCCACCCCCAAAAGUAAUUACACAUAGGUCCCUGGUUUAUUAUAACUCAGCCCUAAGCCUCCGUUUAAGCCCCUAAUCCAUGUUUAACCCGUCAUUUCAUGCACCAAACUUCCUCCAAUUAAUCCCAAAUUUUACCACGUCAUCCUCUGGAAUACUUUCACCGAUCUAUAUCCAAAUUUCCCAGAAAUAAUCCUUCUACCUAUUUUCCGUUCGCGUUUCCUGUUCGGAGCUCACGGUUAAAAAUCGUUUCCUCUUUUAUUUAUUUGUGUGUCUAAUUGUGUGUGCCGUAGAUCGCGGAUUGACCGAGGAGGAGCCCGAGGAAGAGUUUGACCGCGAGCCCGAGCCCGAGGACCAGUACCGCGAGCCGGAACUCCCGGAAGGCUUUGAAGACGGCAAGUCCAAUCUCACCCUUUGAUGCAUACUUAAUACCUAGUUUUUCAAACACAACCUAUUGGCCUGUUUUACAAAAUGCAUAUUAUUUUAUCACAAGACAUGGUUGGAUAGCCACCCCUUGAUUGUUAUGAACAUUCCUUGUUGUCCUAUGCCUAUCUCUAAAUAUGACUCGCUCUGUUUAGAUGAUAGCCACUGCUAGAACGCUUAGGAAAUUGUGACUCAACUGCAAUCAUUAUUACAAUAAGUGUAUUCGGAAAAUAAGUGUGUGUGUGUGUCCACGCAAGAGAAAUGGCUUUUGGGGUUGGGGGAAAAGGAUGUGUAGACGGGAUGGAUGGGUGUUCCUCGUGUGGGAUGCCAUGUUGUUGUGCUCGUACCUUGGUGGUUGAGCAAUGUCGGGAGAUAUCCAUCCUGUCGUAAUUAAGGACCGAGUUGAUGUGUCAUCUUGCCUAAUUCCACUAUCGUGCAACCACUCGACCGUUGUAUGGGCAACGCCUUAGCAUAAAUCCCACUAGCUGGAUGGUUAGUCCUCAGGGGUGCUGGUGAGCAACGGGAACCCAUGGAAAAGGAGUAAGAUCUUGGUGACUUAGGUCCCGGUUACGGUCUCAUGGACGAGCCGUGAACCCCUUGGGUGUUUUCCGUGAGGGCUAGCCAGCCUUAGCUAAGGUGGGUAAUGGCUUUGUUAGGAUCCGUACCGUCACUAAGGUGAUCGUGCUGCGGUACCCUACUUGUGGGAAAAGUGUACACCCUCUGCAGAGUUAAAACCUAUCUGGGUAGCCGUGUCCACGGCAUUGGACGAGUUACGGCUUGGUCACAUAACUAGCAAUUGGGCAAGAAUGUCAUGUGUGUGUGUGUGUGUGUGGGAUUUUGGAAGAGUCCGGCAGUUGUGCCGUGCGCUAUGACGGACGGGGAGUCCGAUAGCGAUAAAAACUUGGAUCCUUUGUGUAGGAUCAACCCCACUCAAUGUCUCGAGUAUUAAAGGAAAACCUUACAAAAACCCUUUCAAAACGAUCCCCUGCAUGUGUUAAAAUUUAGCUUUUCCGCAAAUAAACUCUAGCCUAUCCUUGUCAUACUUGUGCAUAAACUUGCUUGUAUCCCCUCCGUGGAUGGGGUUGGACUUGUUGAGUACGUUAGUACUCACCCUUGCUUCAUUACUACAGAGGAAGACCCCGAUUUCAUCGCAGAGGACCUCGAGUAGAGGUUGUGUCCGCACCCGAUGCUGCCUGUGGUGUUGUCCUGCCCAAGAUGCUGCUGCUGCCGUGUAGUCCUGAGUGCUAUCUUUUGGCAGUCGCUUGGUUAGCCGCCGUUAUUUAUUUACUGUUUAUCGCUACGUGGAUUUCACUCCCACUCCCUCAGGAGUUGUACGGUAACUGAAUUAUCUGUCGAAUAAAUGUGUUAUCAGCCUCCUGGGACUGGUAUUUGUAUCACAUUUAGUCUCUACUUAUGUGGGGACGCUUCAAAGCCGAUGGACUGUCAUUGCCCUGCAAUUAUAACAUCGAUGCGAUGCAGAUGCUACGACUAAACAGAAAACCGGUGAGGAACUCAUGCGGAUGAUAGCCCUUUGUGCCGAUGUCGACGUAGCCGAGGUGAGGACAAAUAGCCAUGGUCGAGGAUGCCGUGCGUAGGGUAGCUGUGGUCGACGUAGUCGUCAAGGUUGCCGAAAACGAGGGAGUUGGACAUGAAGCUGCGGGCGUACGAGGAGACACCACGGGGAUGGUGGCGCAUAGGGGAAGACACCAAAGACGAAGACGGUGACGCGUCGAGGCAAUUGUAGAAGGAGAGGUCGAUGCGGAAGUCGAUGCUGUCAGGCCGACGUGUAGACCAGGCAUAUCCGGGUUUGCCAAGCCCGGAAACACGUCGGGGAUGAUGGCACGCACCAAUGUUGCCAAUACUAAACGUGCAAGGUAGAGGGCACCGGCCAUGUGUCAGCGUCUGAGGGACUAGCAGAGGAGGCCUCCAGGAUGGUUGCGGGCGCGGAAUGGCGUGGGGGUAGAAGGUGCCGAUGCAGCCUGCGGUUGUCGGAGUAGAAGAAUGAGGUGGAUAUGAGACGGCAACACUGGCGACGAGGUGGUGCUGGACGAAGUAAGGAGGUAGACCCUAAUGAUUUGGCGCAAGGCCCGAUGAUCCGGAUGAUGCAGUGGUGGAGCUUAAAGGAGAUGGCGAAGAACUCGAACACCUUGAUGAAGACCAUGUGCGUGAUGCGCACAAUGACGUAGUCGUGGACAAGGUUGCAGACGCUGUCGAGGAAGACGACGUGGACGUGGUUGAGGAUGUAGUCAAUGGCGAUGAAGAUGCAACGACGGGGAGGACCAGGGAUGGCAGCGCUGUUGCUCGAAGAGGCAAAGUAGCCGCAACCCUCAUGUCGGUGGUGGUGCGCACGUACUUAGGACAACCGUCCCAAAUCCGCACAUUCCGCGACCAUGCAUUAUUAACUGAUCGGACAAGGGUGCACGUAUGAGAUGACGGACGACGAUGUCGUGCAGAUCGGAGUGGUAGCAGCGAUGUCGGGGAUGACCGGCGUGGAGAUCGUGUGGCAGAUGGACCUGGUGGUGCCCCUACGCGAACCGCACGCUAGCCCGGACCACACAGGUGUUGAAGAGGAAGGCCGAUGACGAUGUCCAAGAAAAGGAGCGCAGAGUCGACUGGCGUGGGCGACGCAAACCCAAUAUCUGAUAGGAAGAAAAAAAAGGGACAGCAGUAGGAUCGAUCUUCAUAUAGAACUCUGGGUGCGCAUAGCUUUAUUUCCCAACUCCUUAUCUCUUCCCGUCCUGGUGGUCAACGGAGACAGGAGAAAAGAAUUGAGGUCUUGUUUAGUUGCCCAAGUUUGGAGGUGCCAAAUUACUGCUAUAGCACUGUAGCACACUGUAGCAUUUCGUUUGUAUUUGUGAAUUAUUAUCCAAACAUUGACUAAUUAGGCUCAAAAGAUUCGUCUCGCAAAGUACAACAAAACUGUGCAAUUAGUUUUUUCUACAUUUAGUACUCCAUGCAUGUACCGCAAGUUUGAUGUGAUGGGGAAUCUUCUUUUUGCAUAGUGCCAAAGUUGCGAGUUGGGGGUGAACUAAACAAGGGCUGAGAGAGAGGGAGAACGUGGCCUGCAGCGCAUGUCAGCGGUGCGUCUCGCAGAGUUUGGUCAGCCCUGUGUCCCUGACGGCAGCGCCGCGCAGGGGUGCCCAUGCACGGCACAACGUAGGGGGUGUUUGAAUACUAGGUGCUAAACUUUAGCAGUGUCACAUUGGAUGUUCGGAUGCUAAUUAGGAGGACUAAACAUGAGCUAAUUAUAAAACUAAUUGCAGAACCCAUAUGCUAUUUCGCGAGACGAAUCUAUUAAGCCUAAUUAAUCCAUCAUUAGCAAAUGGUUAUUGUAGCACUACAUUGUCAAAUCAUGGACUAAUUAGGCUUAAUAGAUUCGUCUCGCGAAUUAGACUCCAUCUGUGUAAUUAGUUUUGUAAUUAGCCUAUAUUUAAUACUCCUAAUUAGCAUCCAAACAUCCGAUGUGACAUGUGCUAAACUUUAGCAUUGGGUAUCCAAACACCCCCGUAGUAUGGAAUCGCCACGCCGGUGGCAGAGCAUGUCGUCGGGAUAGGCCACGCAGCUUGGCUGGCCACGGUAGCGACACCGCCGCCCACCGGCUGCAGCGGAGGGGAUCUGGAUGGCGACGACACGACCCCACCCGGCUCGUGACCAAGCUUCAAUCUGUUGCUGCUUGACACGACGCGGGCGACGGAAUCAGCCGCUGAAAGAAGGACGCUGCCCCUAGCGAGAUUGAUCUCCCCGGAGGAGCACGGUUAGGGUUUGUCGUUAAGAAUUAGUCGUAAAAAAUUAGAACCUAAACUUGUGAUACCAUAUAGAAGGAAUAGAUUACGUAUAAUCGAUGUAUUGAUGGUUAUUGCAUUGAGCUUCUCGGCCGGUACAUAUUAAGUACAAGAUUUGGGGGCGAAGGCUCCCCGGAUACAUAUGGUAUCUACGACACGUAUAUCUACAACUACCAAAUAUACUCUAACAGUUCGUUUUGUUUUGGAGAUUCUUAUUGUAUAUCAGCACGCCAGGUUGAUAGUCCUGUUGGAACAAUAUCCAUGAAUUUAUCACCAUUUAAUAGCAGAUGCAUGCAAGUAGAGUGUCACUCCAUCAGCUUUCAACCACUUUAGAUUCAAGGGAGAUCUUUCUGUAAAUCACACUGUGGACUCUACAUGUUGUGGUUAUUAUUUCACUCAUCACAUUUGGUCAGAACUCUAAAGUUCAUUAUAGUGCAACGAGCCCAUAUAAACGUGACAGUUCAUAACGAUUUACUGUUACAAUCAAUUCCUAUAUUCAAAACAAAACAACAUGAAUUUGCAAUAGGGCAGAGUACUAAAUUCCAUAAUAUUAACCGCCCUUGUACUUGUUCUACUCUGUGUUUUAACUUCAAAGGUACAUGACAACUGGAAAAGAAGUCUAGAAGAGAUCCCAGAGUAUGCGUCACUUGAAGCGGAUUGCAAACAAGUGAAAGGAUGUAUGGAAAUUGCAAUAAACUGCAAGAAGAAGAAGCGUCAUGAAAGGCCUACAAUAGAGGAUAUUAUCAGCAAAUUAGAUGAGACGGAAACUGUUAAAAUUGACACGCAGUUGUCAAUUAAAAAGGUACAACCUAUCAUUCAUCUUAUAUAUGUAAAAAAUAUACAACCCAUAGUUUAUUUGUCCCUAAAUAUUACCAGUGGUCGAAAAUAUAUACUUGGCUCUUUAUACGUCCACAUGGCAACUUUCACUAUGUUUGUUUUUAAAUAUUUAAGUUGGAAACAGGGAAAAUAAAUUGUUUGAUUUGUGUCGGAAACAUGCAUAUAUCGAAUAUAAAAGUGAGCAAAAUACUCAUGACUCUCAGUAUAUUAAUGUCUCUCUUUCUUGCCACUGUUAAUUUUGUAUGCUGUAAUUCUAACUAGAGGUGCGCGCGCGCGUUAGAAAAUAAGUCUACAACAGAUCCCAGAGUAUGCCAUCAUGUGAAUUCAUACCGACACAAGUCGAUGAGAUAUCAGCCACGGCCCUUGCAAUCGUAGAAUACAAGACAAAAACAAUAAGUUAACUAGCUGUGCAGAUAUAAACGAGAGGCCGACGUCUCUGGAAUUAGCCACCGUCUCCUAUACGAAGGAAUGAACCACGACGAAACAUGAUUAGAUUAGUAGACGCCCGUCUGUGCAAAAUCACUAACAAUGUGCCAAAAAUAAAUUAAUUAGCUUUAGGAUCUGUGCUAUUUUUUUAAAGGAGCGCCGGAGCAAAAUUCACAAUGUAAUUUUUACUUUAUUUCGUAGGAUGAGCAAACACCAUUUUCCUAAGAUUUCCCAUUUGUUUUUAUUGACAGGGUUACUUUGAAGAAUCCAGAUUCUUAUCUAGUGGCAUCCUGGGCAGGCCAUGUCAAUGUUAGUAAUGUUACAUUUAAAAUAGAUCCCUUCAUUUACUAAAUAUUUAAUUUAUUUUUAUUGAAGUUUGAUAUCGAUAUAAUGUAGCAUGCUGUGUGUUGGUGUAAUUGUGUUGUUCAGUACAAUCGGCUGGAGCGGUACUCCUUGCUGUCACGAAGAUAGGUUCCAUUUUAGGAGAUGAAACCUCCAAGGCUGUUAUAAAUAAGCUGUCUUGGAAAGUUCAUUCUCUGAAGGAACUGCCAUGGAAAGUCGAUCAAAUAAGGAUGAAUCUGACAUUCAUGAGCCAAAUUAUACAGCAGAUUGGAACAGUCUACCUCACAGAUGAGCUUGCCAAUAAUUGGAUCGGGGAGGUCCGGAAGGUGGCUUACCGUGUUGAAGAUGUAGUAGACAAAUACUCAUACCAUGUUUUUCAACUGACGCAAGAAGGGUUCCUGAAGUUCUUCAUCAAGGGAACCCAUAAUGACAUUGUUUUCAGCGCAAUUACAGAUGAGAUAGCUCAUAUUGAAGAGGAGAUUAACCAAGUUAUUCAUAUGAAGGAUAAGUGGUUACACCAAACACAGCUUGUCUCUAACAAUCAACAACUUGCUGAGAUUGAAAGGCAGCGGUCCCAAGAUGGUUUCCCAGAUUUUGUCAAAGAUGAAGAUCUAGUAGGAAUUGAAAAAAAUAGAAAAUUGCUGUCUGGAUGGCUGUACUCGGAUGAGCUGGAUAGCACCGUGAUAACAGUUUCGGGUAUGGGUGGGUUGGGAAAAUCUACCCUGGUAACAAAUCUUUAUGAACGUGAAAAGGUCAACUUCCCUGUGCAUGCUUGGAUUGUUGUGUCACAGAUCUGCCCGGCAGACGCUCUGUUGAGAAAGCUACUCUGGAAGAUUGGGAACAAGAGGGCAGUACACGACUUGAAUUGACAAAAUGGAUGUACACGACUUGAAGGCAGAAAUAAAGAAAAAACUCCAAAAUAGAAAAUGUUUGAUUGUAUUAGAUGACGUCUGGGAGCAAGAGGUAUACUUCAAAAUACAUGAUGCUUUCCAGAAUCACCAAGCAAGUCGUAUUAUACUUCAAAAUACAUGAUGCUUUCCAAAAUACAUGAUGCUUCGUUGGACCAGCACCUUGAGCUAGAACCAUUGGAUGGCCCUGAUGCAUUUGACCUUUUCUGCAGAAGGGCUUUUCACAACAACAAGGACCACAAAUGCCCCAAGGAGUUUGAGGAAAUUGCUACAUCUAUAGUGGAUAGGUGUCAUGGCCUGCCGCUGGCAAUUGUUACUAUAGGCAGCUUGUUGUCUUAUUUGGAAUACAUUAUUUGGAAUCAAACAUAUAAUCAGCUAAGGAGUGAGUUGUCAACAAAUGAUCAUGUCCGAGCAAUAUUAAACCUAAGCUAUCAUGAUCUAUCUGAAGACCUCAGAAAUUGCUUUUUGUAUUGUAGCUUGUUCCCUGAAGACUACCCCAUGUCACGAGAAAGCCUUGUGCGACUGUGGGUUGCAGAAGGCUUUGUUCUGAGCAAAGAAAAGAAUAAACAUUUGGAAUCAAACAUAUAAUCAGCUAAGCUUUUUGUACUGCAAAUUGUCAACAAAUUGCUUUUUGUACUGCAGCUAGUUCCCUGAAGACUACCCCAUGUCACGAGAAAGCCUCGUGCGGCUGUGGGUUGCAGAAGGCUUUGUUCUGAGCAGAGAAAAGAAUACACCAGAGGAGGUGGCUGAGGUAAAUCUCAUGGAACUGAUUCACCGCAAUAUGCUUGAAGUUGUGGACUGUGAUGAGCUCGCAAGAUGCAUAAUAUUAUGCGGGAUCUGGCACUCUCCAUUGCCAAAGAAGAAAAGUUUGGUUCUGCAAAUGAUUAUGAAG
rnacentral:lncRNA from 1 species